UUUUUUUUUUUUUUUAAUUUCUCCUCCUCUCAUUUCUUUUCAAUGUUUGAAGAAAAGCAAAAAAUGUGUAUAAACAUAUAUUCCAUGAUGAAUGAUCCAAAGUAAUUAAGGUGGAUGAAGAGACAUUUUUUAGUGUUAAAUUUAAACAUGUGACUCAUUUAAUUAAAUAGUUUAAUCCCACUUUAAUAGUAUUUCAAACCUUAACUAGUCAUUACUUAUUACUAUGAUAAUGGAUGGUAUGAUCAUAGGGAAGAAAUAUUUGAAAUUAUAUUAUCGUGUAUAACUUAAGAAAGUACUUCAUUGAAUAUAAUAUAUAAUACAUAGUUGAAGUUAAGAUAUAAAUCACAUGUUAGAUCAAAGAGUGUUUGCAUAGAUUUCUUUCGGGAGGAAGAACUGUAAUAUGUGCAUACAUGAAAACAUCAAAUUAGGUAGAAGUGACAAAAAUUUUUUACAUUAUAUUUUUGGUAGCUCAUCUAUUUCUUUUCCCUAACAAAACUAAUAUAUAUUAUACUUUUUCUUUCAACAUAGACACAAAGUUUAAAUAUUUAUUCAUUUUCAUAAUUAUUGUAAAUGUUAAAGCUAUAUAAAAUAUUUACAAAAUCACUAUAAGGAAACACCAAUUUUCUGGUGCAUGAAGUCAUCGAAAAAUGUUCAAAAACAUGUCAGGAGUUUGGUCGGAAUAUUCUCAAUGGAAGACUAUCUCCCAGUUCACAAAUAUCAACCCUUGAAAGUUAUGGAUCAACACCAACAUACGACGUUUGGAGUUAGGGAUCUCCCGAUGAUUCUAAAGAUUGUCGAGAGUUUGGUCGAUUUUUUAAAAAUACUUUGUAUCAUGUCAAUUAAAAUGUAACAAUUUUUAUCUCAUAAUAGAAAUUUUGUAAUUUAUUACAUAACAUAUUUAGUAAUAAUGUCUAAUACAAUGAAAGAAAGUCACAAAGUAAUUUUAAACAAAACACAAAGAUUCAGUAAGUCUUGACUAUUAAAGUAAUGAACAUAACUACAAUAAUACACCAACAAAAAAUUCAAAUACAGAUUGAAAGUUGAAGGACGACAACACAAACUUAAAAAUUUAGAUGAGAUUGUAACUUAAUCUAAAUUAGUUUAGCUUUGUUUACAAUCAUAACCUCCAAGGAAGAUGCAAGUAACAUAAGUCGACGGUGGCACAUGUAACAAUCUAAGACUGCUAUCAUACCAUUAGUCAGAUUCAGUUUGAUUCUACUCGCAAGUUCUUUUUCUUUUCAUCUUUGUCAAAAUAUAGGACCUUGUUUCCUCAAUAAUCCAAAUCCAACACAAUUGUCAACGCAAGAAAACUAUUGAAAGACUACAAAGUAUACCAAAUUACCAAGUGGCAGAGAGAAAUUUUGUCGUCCAAAUUUGUGCCGAAUAAUAAUUUGAAUCGCACACUAAGAACUAGUCUUAGUGGUGGGUAUGGAUCGAUUACAGAGAACACACUAAUUCACAAUCAAACUAAUUCUCAACUCGAGGUAACCGAUAGGGGUGGGAGGUUUUGUGUCAAAAUUGUCUAAGAAAAUAAAUUGCAAAGAAGGAAAGUAUGUAAAACUUGAGAAAAUCUCUAUGUUAAAAGACUCUAGCUUGAGUUAUGACGACUUCUCCCUCAUUCAAAGAAUUUAUUCAUUGAACUAUCUUUACUCAGCGUUAUGAAAUUUUCACCUAACCAAUUUAAUUGGAACAAUCAGUUAAACAAUCAGUUAAAUUGUCUUAAGAUUCUAAUUGUUCUAGCUAGCUAACCCAAUAUAAUUUAAAAUGCAAUUUGAGUUUUCCAAAAAAAACAUUAAGUUUAUUUAGGUGGAAUCACAAUUUAUCAACGUCAUCUAAUUGACAUUUCAUUGUUCAAUUCUAAGUUAGUUAGAAUCACUGUCCAUCAAAAUAGAUUUACAUGCUAACCUUAUCUAUUGCUUCUAACCAAUUCUUAUCUAAUUGUCACGAGUUAAAGUAUUUAGUGCACGCAUAAUUUAUACAUUCCCUAACAUCUAACAUACAACAAAAUAUCAAUAACAUUAAGAGUUGAAUCAAAGAUUACAUUAAAGCUAAGUUUAAGUUUUCAUAAAUUCUAAAGAAUAAAGGGAGAAUCUAAAAAACCCAAGCUAGAAACUGAGUACCUUAGCCUUUCAUCCACAUGUCAGAUGAUGAGGAGAUGUUUGAGAUUGAAAUCAAUAUGAAAAGAUAUAGAGAAUUGAGAGAAAGUAAGUGUAAAGAGGUUGAAAAUCAAGGUCCAAUUCGGUUGGCAAUAGACAUGCAUGUUUAUAAAUUUGAUGAGGCGCUAUAGUGUUGACAGACGAAGACGCGCACCUUAAUUUCGGAGCACCGGGGAGCCCAAAGGCAGCAUCGUGGUGCUUGGACCUUUUUUUGAGGUAGUAGCUCUCUGCUUUACAGUAGCUCUAUGUUUUAAGGCAGUAGCUCUUCACCUUAUAGUGUCGCGCUAGACGCGGCAAGGCAGAAGCCUUUUGGUUUUUUUUUGCACCUCCAAAUGCUUUGAUUUGCUCAGAUUUUCCUCGGUUGACAUCGUAUGACUCUAUAAUGGCUCAAAUUUUCUUCAAAAUGACAUCGACUCCAAAUGACACUAUGAAUUGCUCAAAACUUAUAACACACUCAAAUAAUAUCGUAAAAUCAUGAAACAAACUCAAAUUAAGUGAAAAGAAAUAGCAUAUUUCAUACGCUAUCACCAAGCAUAACAAAAACAUCCUAGAGACGGCCAUUGAAAGGCAAAGCGAUGAAAACUCAACCUCUCCACAACACAGAGAAAUAAUGCAAAACAAACCAUCAAAAUUCCAAAAAGCAUCAACCACUAUCCUCGUUUGACAUCUCUAAAUAUACUUUUCAUCAAAGAAGUUUCAAACUAAAAAUAAUCAUACAGAACCAUAAAAGGAGUAAAUUUGAGUAUAACUAAAAUAUGCAAAUCUACAUACCUAGUGUAAUGCUCCAAGCCCAAGAUUCAGACCAAGAUCUAGAUUUGGCAACUAAUAUAUGGCUCUGACAUUCCCUGCAGGCUGACAAUAUUGUCUUACUCACAUGCAUCCUAGGAAAAUUACCAAGGGGUCACCCUUACAUAGAAUUGUUCCACACUGAGCAAGCUUAACUUUGACGUUCCUAUGACUGAGUCAUCGAAAGGAAGGUGUACUUUAUUGGUGUAGGUAGUAACUUUCAAUUCUUUCAAUCAUUUAUUAAUCAUACUUACAUGUCCUCAGAAUCCCUCUCAUUCAAGAUGUGAUAUUGAUCGUUAAUUCAUGUCCCCUUCUUAAACUCAGGUCGUAUUACCCAAAUUCAUAAAAACGAAACUCAAAUAAAAUAUGCAAAAAAAAUGGAAAAAGAGGUGAAGAAGUACCUUUAAACAAAGUACGCUAAAGAGAUGGAGAAGGAGGAGACAAGUAGAGAUCCUAAUCCAAUGGGAUCUAAAUGCAGACAACAUACGGGCACUAAAUCGACGAACAAAAAAAAAAAAAAAAAAUCAUAGAGACAAACAACGAAGGUAGAGGGACAACUAGAUAUAGAGACGAAAUUGCGGUUAGGGACAUGCAUAAAGGUUGAUUGAGAUACAUAUCAAAGAGAGGAAACGACGAGGAGUUGCUCGUGAUUUGCAAUCAAAAUUUCAAAUUUAGGGUUUUUAAAAUGUAACUCUCGACUAUUGUGAUACUUGAAAAUUUUCUUUUAUUCCCUAUCUCCCGACGCCUUAAAAUACGGUGUUGGGAGAUAACGCUAUAUUGUAUACAUUGUCAAGAAAUGGUAUUUCUCCCGACCACUCAACUCUCUAAGGGUUUUUUAGCAUUGGGGAGAGUCCCUUUUUUAGUAGUGAAUAUAGCAAAAUUUCAUAUACUCUAUCAAUGAUGAAUAUUGAUAGACUUUUAUUAGAGUCUAUCAAUGUCACUAAUAGAUAUAGAUAGAGAUAUGAAAUCUUACUAUAUUGUGUAAAUAUUUCGAUUUAUUUUAUUGUAUUUGAAAACGUUCCUAUAAAAAAAAGUUAUUGGAGGAAAUAUAAAGUAUUUAUUUUUCAAGGGAAGAACUCAUAAUUACUUACAAAGGAAAUUCCAAGCCUAACCCUGAUUGGUGUUUUCAUAAUAUAAGAAUUAAGAGUGUGUUUGUAGUCCAACUUCUGCUAGACUUUGUUGUUAUCAAUUAUCACUAAUUAAUGGAUAAAGAUGCGUCUAAAAUAUAUAUAUUCGUUCAUUUGUGAAAAAGAAUAAAACAUUAUAUAAAGAUAAUGAAAUAUUAAUUUGAGUGAUAGUGUAUUGCUAAACGUGAAAAAUGAAGCAUAGUUUUGUCACUUAUGAGAUUAUUCUAAAAUAAUAAAAAUAAUAAAAACCCAAAAUUUAGAAGAAUAGUGUUGAGCAAUUGACAAGACCAAAGGAGGCCCCAACAUCAAAUCUUAAUGGCUAAUCAAUAUGUAUAGGACAUUGAUUUUAUUUCUCGUGUUCAUUCAAGCCUAUCGUCCAUGUUAACUUAAACAUGAACAUCAAAAUCUCAAACAUGGGUUGAGUGUAUUAUGCAUUAUUCAAAAAAGAUUUUGGAUUGUUUAAAAGAAAUAUGUCGUUAAGGAAGUUCAUUUAUUUUUUUUGAAAAGUCCUUGUAAUACAACUAGAGAGUGGGUAUUUAAAUCUACAACAUCUUUUGUCCUCAGGUACAAACAGGUGACAGUUGAUGACAGUUGAGCUGUGUUCAUGAUGGCUAGCUAAGGACAAUCAUUUUCAAAUAAGAUGUUGUUCUAAAUAACAAAGUUGUUGAAAAUAUUUAUAAAUUUAAUCUAUUAGCGAUAAACUACUACUUUAAUUUGACAUAUGUGUCGCGAUAAACCCAAAUACUAUUUUACAAAUAUAGAAAGUAAAAAAAUAUUGUUAUAUUUGUAAAUAUUUUGAUUUAUUUUACUAUUUUUAAAAAUAAUCGUAUAUGUAAAUAUAUUAACAUGAAAUAUCAUAUAAUAAUAAUAAUAAUAAUAGGCUUGAGAAAUUCUAAACUAUUUUUUUUAAUACAACUUGAAUAACAUAAUAUAUAUUUAAAAAUAGUUAAAUGUGAUCUUCACUCAUCUAAAAGUAUAUCUACCCUAAGUAUAUAUACAUAUGCUUUCUUUAGCUCCUAUAAGCAUCAAUUAGGAUGAUUUGAAAUUAUACUUUAGAGAGUUCUUUCACAUCAUGAAAAUAUAUGUACGAGUUUUUAGUAAUUGAUUAAGUGUUACCACUAAUUCAUUUACUAAAAAGUUGGAUCUAUUUUUGUUUUUUUGUAGGGUUACAGCCCUCAAACAUGAGAUUGCUUUGCUUCAAUUUUUUCUCCUUUUGAAAGACAUUGACACCUAUGAUUGUUUAUAAGUCACCUCAGGUCAUUUUUCAUUUACUUUCACAAACUCAACUUAGCUUAAAAAUAAUUAGCCUCACUUCCAUUUGAAAGGUAUGACAAGUUAAUUUCCUUCUCUCAUUUUUACUAUUGUUGCAAUAAUUUAAAAACAAUUUUGUUUAAUACUAACUAUUCUAUUAUAUUUUGUUAUCAUAUUCAAAAUUUGUGAAAGAUUAUAUAUUAAAACAAUCUAGCUUGGGUUAUUGUGAUUGCUUCCUUAUUCUAAGAACUUAUUCGUCGAACUAUCAUUACUUAGUCAUACGUAAUCUUCACCUAACCAAUUUAAUUGGAACUGCCAAUUAAAUUAUCCCAAGGAUCUAAUUGAUCUAACCCAAUAGCAUGUAAUAUCGAAGUUUCCAAUUAACAUUAAGUUUUCUUAUAUGGAAGGCUUAAUUUUGUAGCAUUUAUUUGAUAUUCAAUACGUUCAAUUCUAGGUUGGUUUAAAUCAAUGAGCAUCAAAUUAGAUUUUCAAGCUAACCUAACCUAUUGCCUCUAACCAAUUCUUAUCUAAUCGUGACAAGUUAAAGAAUUUAGUGCAAGCUAUAAUCAUACAUUCUCAUGCAUCCAACAUAUAACAAUAAAUCAAUAAUAUUCAGAAUUGAACCAAAGAUUACAUUGAAACAAGUUUAAGUUCUCGUAAAAUUUUAAAGAACAAAAAGAGAAUAUAAGAAAAUCCAAACUAGAAAAGAGUACCUUGACCUUUCAUCCACAUGUCAAUGAUAUGAGGGAUAGUUCUGGAACUCAAAGAACAUGAAAAACAUACUGAAAAUAGAGAGAAAUGGUGUAAAAAUUAGCUAGAAUUGAGUUUGGGUUUGGUUGAUGGUGAAACUUCUUUUUUUUUAAAAAAACAAAAUGUCAAAAUGUCGUGGCACUCAAGGAAGCAUCGUAGUGCUUGACCUUUUUUUUUGAUAAAAUAGAGCUCACGACCUUAUAGCGUCACAAUUGCAUGGUAGAAGCUAAAAGACUUCUUUUGCUCCUCCAAACGCCUCGGUUUGCUCUAGUCGAUGUCAUAUUACUCCAAAUAUGCCAAAAUCACCAUCGAAAUGAGAUAAUCACCACAUUCAUCCAUGAAUUGUUCAAACCCUAUAAAAUAUCCAACGAAGAUCGUAAAAUCACAAAACGAGCUCGAAUUAAGCAAAAAAUAAAUAGCAUAUUUCAUACACUAUCACAAAUUUUGAACAAGGAAAAAUGCAUAUAUUCUUCACGUGGCGACAAAGGCAAAUAUGUAAUUUAGAAAAAAACAUUACUGUCAAGAUGAAAAAUCUAUGCACUGUGUAGUGCUUGCUACGAAGGCUUUGAUGCUUAAGUUAUAAAGUGUACACAUGUAGCUAGUAAAUAGUUUGAACAUUAGAAUAAACUUACCUUUCUAAAGGUUAUAAUGGAAUCCCAAACUAGGGCAUCCUUUAUUUGAGUUUCGAUCUAGUCAUAUUAAAUUAUGUAUCGAGCUAAAUGAGUCGAGACAUGCCGUGUUCUUUAAUUUUUUUAAAAAUUUUGCUAUGUUAGCUCAUCAAUUUAAUUUUUUCAAUUAUUUAUGGUUUUGAUUACCAAACUUAUUUCAUAUGAAUGAUGAAGCUUUUUGAUGUGCUACAUUUUCCAAUUUUCUAAUUUUCUCAUUUUUUGAUUACCAAAUUUUUGGCUUGCAUUUGACAUUCACACAUGGUAAAUUAUAGUGUAAUUAAGACAUAAUAAAAAUUUCAAUAACUAAUUAUAACAAUUUUUUUUAUAAAAUUUUGUGAAAUUUUCUUGAAUAUGGAUAUUUUGAUAAAAGAAGGUUAGUAUGUAAGGUGAGAUGAGUGGUUUAGAUGGUUGUUUGGAUAGUGGAGAGACGCUUUUUGAUUGGCCUAUAUGUUAAACUCAAUAUCACUUAAUUUAUAAAAGAUUAAUAGAUAUAUAUGUCACUUUCAUUUAGUUUUUUUAGUGGUAGUCUUUUAUUUAUCACAAUUUUAAAUUUAGCUUCUCUCUUUUUCUUAGGUUUUUAAGGAUUAAUAUUAUUAGAUGAAAACUUUAAGGGAAUCAACUUUUUAUUUUAUAACCCUCUUUAUAAUGUGUACUUUUUAAAAACAUUUAAGGGUUACUUUAUUUCCAUGUCAAACUUUUUUUUAGGUGUUAUUUUACUUUAUUUUUUAAUUGGGUGUUAUUUAUUAUUGUAACAACUUGACUUUUUCAUAACUAAGUUAGGGUUAUUACUAAUCUAACUAUCUUAACUUUUUGAAAACAAUAGUGGAAAUAUAAACCAAACAGUUUUUCAUAUGUCUGGUUAUGGGUUCUUUUUCUUGUUACUCGCCAACUUGCCUUUUUUAUUACCGUUGCCUGAAAGGUUAAACAUUAUAGAAAGGGUAAGCAUAAAGAUACCUAAUAAGGGACCCACCACUGGUUGUGCUAGAUGAGCUGUUAACUUCUCAUUACAAGGUAUUCUCAGUCAUAUCAAUCUUGUGUUCUCGAAUAAACACACACCAAUCAUAUUAGUCUGGUAAUCCCAUAAGAACACACAUUAUCAGUCAUAUCAUUUUGGUGAUCCUGUAGGAACACACAUCAAUCAUAUUAGUGUGGUGAUUCCGUACAAACAUAGAUAAACCAUAUCAGCCUUGUGAUCCUGUAGGAACACACAUAGGUCAUAUAAGUCUGGUGAUCCUGAAGAACACCUACAUGCAAGGUACACUAGCCUAAUAGCUAAAGUUAACAACUACCUUCAGUCCAAAUAAGCCUAUUGCAGUCAAACUUAGUUCAAUAAUAGGCAUAAGCAUAACAUGCAAACAUCAUCCAACAAACUCCAUAAUUACAUAUUUGGUCAAAUAAGCUGUAAAUCAACACUAUUUCAGUGCAUACACUAAUCAAUGCAUUUUAAAUCUGUCUAUAAUCGUUUGUCAAUCGAUACAAUACAACUUUAAUCUUAAAUUGAAUGUUUGGUAGAAGAAAUCUCUUACCCAAAAAAGAAUUUCUUGUGCAGAAUUCCUUGAUGCAAAUAAAACAACAAAUUAACCUAAACAUAAGGAAACUAAUUAAUAAUUUUACUUAAUAAAAUUAUCAAUUAUGCCAAAACAGUAGUCCCUUAUAGGCAUGCAAAGAAUCAUCAUACUUUUCACAAUAAGCAUUCCCAAGUAUGAACAAUUGACAUUAAAACAACGCAUUAUCGACGUCAAGAGAAGGGCACUGUCGAUGUCCUGUUCAAACUUUGGGAGAGGGCUUCUCACAAUGUCGCAUCGGAAAACCCUUUCAUUGAUGCGUUCACCACAUCGAGGACAGCGUUAGUCCGACAAUUUUCUGCAUGGGGAGAUAUUUUUAAUAUAUUUUUCCAAUUUAUUGAAUUUUUAAUCGUGUGGUACUCUUUUCGAUUUCGAUUCAAUUUAAACGGAAUAAAAUUGUAAAGAAUAAGCAACAUAAAAUUAAUAAAUAAUUAUAUAAAAUACGAAAUCAGAAUUUAUAUUAUAAACAACAAUUUCUAAUUGUUGCAAAGAAAUUACAUAGAUAAGAAAAAAAUUCAUUAAUCCCCCAAUGGCCGCAAAUGCCAUAUUCUCACAAGUCCAUCGCUACAAUGACAUAAAAGUAAAUUUAGAUAUACAUCACCGAAGGAAAAUUGAACAGCUUAAAAGUUAAAAAAUACGUACUACAAGUGUUCACAGUCCUCUCUGUGCCCAACUCAUUUCCUCAAUCAUCUUUUUCAUUUCUUCCACCUGUCAGACAUUUUCUUGCUUUUGUCUGGUAUGUAUCUUUGACGUUAUUCUUCAUUCUUCAAUCAAAAGUUUAGCUUCUUCAAGCUCGCUUCUUUGUUCCUUAAUUAAGCAUUUAAUUUAUCUUCGACCUCCCUAUAGUGUAUUUCUUGUGAACAUGAGGUCAAAGAAUUAGCCCUCUUCUGGGACUUGGGACUUGGAGCCUGAACCAAGACCUUUUGAGUAGUUUCGAUCGUAUACCCAUAUCUCGCAUAUCUUGUCCCAAGAGAGUGGUUGAAAACCUUUUGAGGUGGAUUGGGACUGGACUUCACGUAUUUGAUUUUGCACCAAAAGUUAUAAGUUAUGAGUAGUUGACAAUUAAAAGUAGACAGUAUAAGAAAAUGUUUUCAUAAACUUACAUGCAUAUAUGUGGCCGCUUGUGGAACGAAUUAGCUAGUCUUGAUGGCGUGUGUUUCUCUAAACAACUUCACAAGGUUUACUAACUGACCUUGGUGUUCAGCGAGCUCAUGUUGUCGUUGUAUGAACAACUUGGACUCGCUUUUGUGGUUGUAAGGCUGCUACGCUUUAGCAACCCUUAUUGGUCCUUGAUUGCUCCUACAUGCAAACAAUAAAAAAUGUUACAUACAAACAACAAAAAUGAAUUAACGUCAAGGAACAUUAAAAUAUAUAAAUCAUCUGAAAUUGUGGACUAAAGUAGUAAUCAUAGAGAAAGUCUCAAUCUUCCACACGAUUCACUAAUCUGGGGGGUGGGUUGGCACAUGCUUGUUCAGGAUCACUGAACUUCUUAAAAUGUCUAUGGUUUUCUCCCCUGAACUCUUUUCACGUGUUGAGCAUUUGAUGCUCAACAAAUCGAGUAAAUGCUUGAUCAAUAAAAUCAAUCACGAAUCAUUGCUACAAAAGGAACAACACACAUAUUAAAUUUAUAUACAUACAUACAUACAUAUAUAUAUAUAUACAUACAUACAUAUAUAUAUAUAUAUAUAUAUAUAUAUAUAUAUAUAUAUAUAUAGGUUUAACAUAUAUGUAUGGUAAUUUAAAAACUUACCUGUAGAUCGUCAUUCACAGUCUUGAUGUACUCAAGAGUAACAUUAUCUCACUUAAGGAAGCAAACUGGAAAUGUAUCUUGCAUUCACACACCGAUGGUGUUGUUGAAGCGAACAACAUGUGGCGAGAUAGGCUUAUUUGCUCUUGGGACAAUGGAUAUUAAGAUCUUUCCAUUUUGUUGUACGUAUAUCUCUAACUCUAAAUUUCUAGAGUGUUGUCGUCUCCUAGGAUUGUGAGUAUUUGGAUGAGAGAUAUCUACGAAAACAUAACACUAUAGAAAACAGAACUCCAUGUUUAUGAAAUUUGUUUAUGUAAUGGGAAUAACCUGAAUGUCGCCCAUCGAGGAUGUUCCUCCCACGUUAUUGAAUGCGUCAUCAUCGAAAUCAAACAAAGCAUUUGUCUUUCCGAAACCUUUGGGGAAUGACAUAGUACCUGGGGACAUAAAAACCAGUGGAUUGUCGGAACACUUGGCGUGGGUUGUCUAAAUGUAGCUUGUCGUAGGUAGUCACCAGUUGUCAUUAGUUGCCGUUGGCCGAAAUGUGGCCGGCUGAUGAGAAGGAGAGGGUUGAGCACUUGGGAUUUGUUGUCGGUUGAAGAGAGGGUUAGGGAUUUGGUGUUUUUUUUUUUAAUUUUUUGGUCGUGGAAGAGGAAGAAAAAUUAAGGCUUAGAAAAAAAAUUAUAUAUUUAAUAAAUGAUUGAAUGAAAAGUUGGAGGGAAAUUGGAAGAGAGAAAUUUUGAUAAAGUUUUAGCAACACUUUUAUUUGUUGCUAAAACUAUUUAACUUUUAGUGACAUUAUUUCGUGUGUUACUAAUUCUUUUAGUGACAGAGAUUAAAAAUAUGUUGCUAAUAAGAAUAUUUUGUGACAAUUUUUUUUUGUUGCUAAAAAUGAUCAUUUACUAACAAAAAUUAAUUGCGUCACUAAAAAUUUGUCACUGAAUAAUAAAUUUCUUGUAGUGACAACAUUUUCAAAUAUAAUAAUCACAAGAUCCAUAAGCUCAUAUAAUUCACAUAGCAUCAUAUCACAAUCACAAACUUGUAUCGCAUCAAGCAUAGUCACAGUAAUCACAAUCAUUCCAGGUGAUUCAAGUCAUUAAAGCAUUCACAAAGCAUCACAAGGAUAUGGAAUUCUUCCAUCGCUUGGACCUGGGAUUCACUUCACUAGCGUCUCACGAUUUUUCUGUGAUUUUUACUAGCAUCUUGUAAUACUUAUUCUUUCUCAAAUAUGGGAUUCAUUUUCACUAGCAUGCAUCUCAUUGCCUAGACUUGAGAUUCACAUUCACUAGUGUCACGCGAUAGACCUGAGAUUCACUUUCACUAACGUCUCACACAUCAUUCCUCACCUAGAUCUGAGAUUCGCAUUCACCAGCAUCCAACAUCCAAGUACAUCAACAACACAUCUCAUACUCACUCAGAUAUGGGAUCACUUCUACCAACAUCUCAUCACCUAGAUCUGGCAUUCAUAUUCACCAACAUCUCGCAAUAGACUUUGGAUUUCCACCAACGUCUUGCGACAGAUCAUACCACACCACAAUCAACGACAAGAAGAUAUUAAGUAAUAGUUCUAAAUAAUAAACAUUAAGCAUAUGAUCAUAAGAAGUUACAAAGAAUACUCUUCAUACAAUAUUAAUAAAACACUUUCCUUAUCUGUAAGGAUCAUAAAUUACAAUGUAUCAAAGAUAAACAUUAUGCAUUAAUGUAGAAAAAUAUGAAAUUAUUCUCAACAAUCAUUUGGAUUAAAACACAUUUUCGAAAGCCAUUUUUAUUUGGAAAUACUCCGCAAGAAAAACCAUUCACAACAAACAUUUAUUUAUAAAGAAAUCACUCAUAACAAACAUGUGUUUAUAAGGAUCACUCACAAAAAUACUUAGCCUCAACUCUUUUUCCCUUUGGCUUCCGACUUCUUCUUCUUGCCCAACGAUUCCUCUCAACCAGAAGUUCAACACUCAGAACUUUCUCUUGACAAUUUACCUGAAUGUCUAACAUUUCAUGCCAUUUUUCUUUCGACACUUGGUUCUAUUUAUAGUGACAUUUCUCAUCUAAGGGUCAUCUCCAUGUUUUACACGUGUCACUUUCCCAUUUUGUUGUGCUAUGGAGCCUGUAGCCUAUUUUUAUCCUACCAAUAAUUUUCUCUAAUACUUAUAUUAGUAAUAAUUGCUAAAUUAUUUAUUUAUUUAUUUACUUUAAAAAAGGUACAAAAAUUAAUAAUAACAUAAUAUCUUAUAAUAUUUCAUUUUUAUCAUUUUAAAAAACAAAAAUAAAUCAAUUUAUUUUUUAAAAAUCUUUUAAUAUUAUAUUUGUACUAUUUUAGAAAAAAAGAAAUGAAUUUGUUUUAAAUAAAAUCUUCUAAUAUCAAUUUUGACUUACUUAAAUCAUUUUAGGAAAAAAGAAAAUCAAUUUUAAAUAAAAGUAUUUUAAUAUUCAUUUGAUGUAUUAAUAUAUUUUUCACAAAAUCUCAAAAUAUCUCAUUUUAGGAAAAUGAAAAUUUGUUUUAUUAAUAUAAUAUCAAAAUUUGAUUUUACUCUUAUUAUUUUUUCCUAAUUUGUGGUACACUCUGGGUCUAUAAAUAGGGACCAUUGUCAUUUAAAAAAAUGGUGAGGAAGAGUUUUUUUGAAACAAAGAAUUCUUUGGAAAAAAAUUUCUUACAAAAAGUCUCGAGAGAAAACGUUAGAAAUUUUUUAGAGAGAAUCUCUUAAAGGUGAGUUUUCUUAUUCAUUUCAUUACGUUAGUGUUUUACUUUUGUCGUUUUUGUUUUUGUUCCUCCCUAGCAAAUUAAAUUUCAUUUUAAAAUACACUUUGUUGGAGGUUCAUGUGGUAGGGAUUUACUCCCAAGGAUCCGCACCUCAUCGACGAGUAAAUUUUAUUUGGGAUUUGAAAAUUUGUUUUUUUUUUUUCUUUUCUUUUACGUUAAUUAUUUUUGUGUAUCAUUAUUUUAUUAAUAUUAUUAUCAUUAUUAUUAUUAUUAUUAUUAUAUAUAUGGGUGGCGGCAAGAUUUAAAAAAAAAACUUCCUUUUCUUUUCCUUUUAUUUUUUUUAUUAUUUAUAUAUUUAUUUAUUGUAGUUGUCUACCAUUUGUAUUUUCCUUUUUUAUAUUUAUUAUUUUAACGUGUUUUUCUUGCAUGCAUAAUAAUUAUUAUCAUGUAAUAUUAAAUUUAUGAAUAUUUUUUACACUUUGCAAUAUUACCAUGGUAUUUCAUAUCAAUUAUUUAAUUUUUUCUCCUUACAUCAUAUUUAUUUUUACAUUUUUUCAUUCUAAAAACAAAUCUGACGAUGGAAUUAGAAAUAUCUGAGAGUCCGUUAUUUCUAAAUUCUUGAGGUGAGUGAAUCGAUUCUUUGGGAAUCCAAGAUUCGAUUCCCAAUAUUUUUUUAAAAAAAUAAAAAGUUAUCUUACUUGCUUAAUUUAUGGUAUAUUAUAUUUGAUUUCAUUGUGCAUUAUUUCCUAUUGACCUAAUUUUGAAGAUCUUUCUUAAAUUUUCUUUUUUAACUGUUUAGAAAUUUUUACUUUACAACUGUUCCUUUUAAUUUUUUUUUAAAUGUUUAAAAUAUAAAUCUAUAUUUCAUAUGUUUUCCUUAAUCAACUUUUUUAAUAACUAAAUUCUAUUUCACUAAAAAUAUUCAUAUGAUGGAAUCUAGGAAAUUUGGGAGUCUGAUUUCCUAGAAUUCUUAAGGUGAGAGAUUACAUCUUUGAAAGUCCGAGAUUUGAUCCCAAGAAAAAAUGAAUUUAAUCAAUGAUAGAUUUUGAGAAAUUGUAAUAAUUUCUCAUUUUCUUAAGGUGUGAAACUUUCCUUCGAUAUAUAGUCUAAUUAAUGGAUUAUAAUUCCACUUAUUUUAUGAGAUUAUUGCUUCAAAUAUUGGAGUAAUGAGGGAUGAAAUAAAACAUUAAUUUUAAAAUAAAUUUUAAAAUAAAUUUAAAAAUAUUUUUAAUUCAAGAUUUUAAAUUUGGCCACCGUUUUUCUAAAUGGGUGUUGUGGGGUGCUAAUACCUUUCCCACACACAAAUGACUCACGAACUCAAUUCUAUUUUUCGCAUAUCAUUUUUUAAAAAAUUGUUUAUUUUAUUUCGGUGUCCAAUCACACCAUAAAAAAGAUUGGUGGCGACUCCUAUUUUAUUUUAAAACUAGCUCUUUUGAGGACGUCGGCCGCUCCGCGUCGUUUCGGGCACGUGGCGACACUGCCAAUCCAAAUUUGACACUUAAGUCAAACGUUAGUUACGAAUAGAUACUUUUCCUGAACCGCCAACCUUAUCUCCUUGGAAAGCCAAACUUUCUCUCGUCUAACUCUCCUCAAGAAGCCACAAAACACUUAGUUUGCCUCAGAGGGUUGUCCAAUCACCUCAUACGAAUGUCCAACUUCUUAACAAAACAUCUACCUCAUCGCGACCACACUUAGGUGCAAGCACUUCUCUUGUGUCACUACACCCAACGCCUAAUUCAUAGCAUCCACCAUGGCCUUCUUCCUCGCCAGCUAAUCUCAUCAUGUUGCUUAGUUUAACACGAUAACACUUAGACUCAAAAGCUUCUCGUCGGCUCGCCUUAUCUUCCAUCGCAUCAUUCUUCGCAUAAUACCCUCUUCUCAACAUAAAAUUUCACAAAGUUCCAAAAAUAAAAAUUUGUCCUUUAAACAUAUUAAAGGAAUAUUAGUGAAAAAUAAAAAUCUUACAAUGAUAGAUUUAUCAGACUAUUACUGCGUGUGUUAAUAAUCAAAUACAUUUUUUAUUAAUUGUAUGUUAAUUACAACAAUAAUUAUAGAGAUAAUUGAUUGUGAUUGUGAUCUAUCACUCUGUGUUAAUGGUAAAUGAAUUUAAGACAAUAGUUUUAACUUAACGUUUAGGUUUUCAUUUUGAUUCGUGUGAAAAUUGAUGUAAAAUUUGAAUCAAUCAGAGUAUUUUUUUUUUUUAAGUCUAUGAGUAUUUAUGAAACAUUUUCAAUAGUUCAUUAGGUAUUUUUAAAACGGUUUUUUAUCUAAAAUUAUUGACAAAAUAUUGACAACUUUUUUUCUUUUUUUUUUGUUGAUAACAUAUUUUUAUAUAUUUCAUCAUAUAAGUUAAUCUAUAAGUCCAUGAUAACACAUAACUAUUAGUCAUUAUAAUAUACAAAUAUUAUAGUUGUUUUAUGGUUUAAUAACUUUUGUCUAUGACAAUUAAAUUAUGUAAUUUAGGUCUAUAAAAAAUUAUGAUGAGACUCAUUAAAAGAAAAUUGAAAAAAGAAAAGAAAAAGUAAAAAGAAUCCCAUGUGUUCAUAUUUUUUAAUGGAAAUUUAGAAGAGUGUUGAAGAUUAUCAUGUGUGUGUUAUACACAAAGUCAAAUUGCAUAUAAUUUAUGACAAUCUAUACACUAAAUAGAAAUAACAGAGAUUUCUUUUCCUAAACAAAUUACAAACAACCAUCCACAUGCUUCCCUCAUCAAUUGUAAUAGUCACAUGCACUGCCACAUCAAUAUCCUUUAAUAGUUGCCCAUGAUAUGUACAUUAUACAUACAAUCAAUUAUAGUCCAAUUACCACAUUUUUCAAUGUAUAUAUACACUCGUGCAGUUUUUCCCUCUAUUAUAUGUCUACUUAAGUUUCGACGGACGGACAGGAGGGGAUUGGUGGUGGCGACGGGAUUUCAGACGGUCAGAAAUGGGAGAAAGCCGACGGGACUUCACGCGGAGGGGAGGAAGAAAUUGGGGGAAAUUUGGGGGAAAGUUAGGGCACGCGGAUGGGAGGAAGAAUUUGGGGAAAAUUUUGGGGAAUUUGGGUUUUUUUUUAAAAUAUAAAUAUGUAAUUUUAAUUUUUUAAAUAUAAAAUAAUAAAAGUUUUAACCCUAACAUUCUAUGACAUUUAAUAACUGUCGCGAAAAGUGUUUUCCGAAAAAUUCCGUCUUUUCCCGCCAAAAACGCGAAAUUUUCUAUUUUGUGACAGUUUUUUUUUUUCUAUUCAUUUUUUGAGAUUUAUAACUGUCAUAGUAGACAGGUUUUCUUCUAGUGAUCAUACUUUUUCUUAAAGCUUGCUUUCAUUUAUUACGCUACAUAACUUUGUGAUAAGGUAGGAAUGAUUUAAAGAAAGAACAAAAACUUUAAAGUUAAUUGUACUGAAAUUUGAUUUAAUUUUAACGUUACCAAAUAUAGUUGACAUUGAUAUGAAAUGUUAAUAUAUUUUGUAAAAUUUUUAGUUUAUUUUGCUGUAUUAGAAAUGCUCUGAUUUUAAUUGAUGAAUGAUAAAGUUUGUGGUUUUACGUUUAACUUUGACGAUCUCAUUUCUAUUCUUUGGACUUAAAUAGUUUGAGUUUAUAUGCGGGUUUUGAGCCUUGCAGGUUGGAGCAGGCUUCAUCAAUACUUAAUUAUUUUUCGUAAACUUAAUUUUUAAUACUUAAUAGUCUUUAUUUUUGUCGUUUUAUCGUUGUGUUGUUAUGAAGUUUCCAAGGAUCAAAGAUAUAUGUAGUUCUCUUCUUAUCUGUUGUUCUUUUCUUGAGUAUUCUUCAAACUCUUUAUCAUCAUAAGAACUUUGAAAUAAAGGGUCUGAAAUUAUUGUCCUUUACUUUUCUUAAUGGAUAUAUGAUAUAUCCUUCUGGCCUUGUGCAAAAUAUGCAUAUAUGAACGCAUGAUAUAGAGUCCUACAGAAAAAUGGCACUUUGGUUGGGAAGAAAGGGUACAAAGACAACUCAUAAAAUUUUAUAAAGUCAUUUAUUCAUUGUACACCAAUUUCAUGGACAAGAAAAUAACAGUGAAACAUUAUAUGAUGGGAAGAUAUAAUUGCUCUAGAAAGUUGAAUUCAUUGUCCUCUCACUUUCCAUGAUUGUAAAUAUAACGUGUUUUGUCAUUUUAUCUGACUCUUUUUUAGUCUGAAUCAACUUGAAUAUGUAUAGUUUAACUCAUUAAGAUGCAUAUCUUCAAUCAUCGAACCCCAAAUUCCUUCACUCACACGUGUUGGACUUUAAAACAAAAAACAAAAAACAAAAGCAAAAGUAAAAGUAAAAUUUGAUUUUUAAAAAUAUAUUCCCAAAAGAAGUAAUUCUUACUAGUGUAUGUUGUCAAAAUUAUAAGACUAGGUUUUUUAUGCUAAAAUCUAGAUAGGAAAUGUAUCUAACCGUGUCAUGACAAGAACUAUAAGUUUGUUUGUUUUUUUUUUUUUUAAAGAACGUGACUUACAAGAUAAGAAAGCUUUACACAUCGACGUGGUCCUUGCCACACCGACUUCUAGAAGUUAACAAGAUAGAUCUAUGUUAAGUUAACAAAGAAAUCUUUAUGGCAAGUAUACAAUUUUAAUAUUAGAGUCGACUUACUUUCCUCGAGGUUUUCAAUGUAGUUAACUUAACAUUUAGUUAUUGUAAUAGGUAUAUCAAGUUUUUGGAUAAUAAUCAAGUGUAUAACAACAUUUUAAAAAAAAUAUAAAUAUAGUAAAGUCUAUUAUAGCAAUAAUCUAUAAGUGAUAGGAUAGACUUCUAUCACCGAUAAACUUGUAUGAUUUAUCAGCAAUAGUCCAUCAGUAAUAUAAGAGUCUAUAACAAUAGAAGUCUAUCGUUGAUAGCUAGAUUUUGUUAUAUUUACAACUUUUUAAAAAUAUUGCUAUAGAUGCUAAUAUUGUUAUUCUCGUUGCUAUAUUUUACCACUUUUACUCUUGUUGCUAUAUUCUCUCCUUAAAAGUAAUAGAAAAAUGGUAAUUUCUUUUAAGAAUCAUUUUAAGAGCCAAGUCUUUCCUUUGGAAUUUUUUUUAUGUUGUUUUUUUUUCUUAAUUUAUGUUAUCCUACCGAUUAUAUUUAAAUUCUUAGAGGUCGUUUAGAACAAUGAUUGAGUUAUAAUAAUAGUCUUGAGAUUAUAAUAGUUUGUGUUUGGGUAUAGAGUAUUAUAGUUUUGGAGUGCAAACUAUUAUAGUAUGUGUUAUUAUAAUAUGUGUAAUUGGGUUGCAUAUUAAUUAUAGUCUAUCACUAUAAUCUGUGUUUGGAGUGAAGACUAUAAUAAUCAGGUUUUUCACGUACACUUUUUUGGCAUACAUAUAUUGUACAUGAAAUACACAUUUUUCUUCAUUUGAUUUUAUAAAAUAUGGUUAAUUAGGAUGUUCAUUUAACAAAUUUAGCUUAAAACUGAGUUUUUCACUAUCGUGAGUGACUAAUUGGUGUCAGUACAGAGAAUUGAACAGAUGAUGGGUCAACAAACAUAAAUGCUAAAAAGAAACUCAAAUAAUAUUAUUUUUCUCUUUUUAUGAAAACAUUAAUUAGUAAUAAAAAAUUGUCAUUACAUAAGUCACGGACUUUAAUUCAUGAUAUGUCGUAACAGUGUUGGGUUAAUGACAAUUUACGACCACUCGAUCAACAUAAGAUCAUCUUAGAGAAUCAUAAAAAGUGAAAAUGAGCUAAAAAUGUUUAAAUGCUAUUUUAAUUAAUUAAAUUUAAAUAUUUAUUUAUGCUUAAUUUACAUAAAUAUAACAAAAUUCAAAAAUACUUACGGUCCAUGUAACAAAAAAUUAAAGUCUGAAACUACCAUUAUUUUUUCAUAAAAUUCAAAUAUGUCCUUUGUUAUUUUUUAAUAUUGUGGAACCAUUUUUCACUUUACUCUUCUUUUUCUUCUCUGUGAUUUAUUCUUCGCGAUAUUUAUGAAUGAUAAAAAAUUUCUUAAACUAAUGAUAUGGAUGUUAAAUGCGUCAUAAUUAUGGAGAAUAAAAUCAUUUUAUAAAAGAAUCAUUAAAUGAAGUAUUUUAUGGAAGUUUUGAUUUCAAUUUAUUAUUACAUUAAACGAACUAUUCUAUGGAUUGAUGGUUAGAUGCAUAAUUAUAUAGAAAUAAAAUCUUAAUAUGAAGUUGUUAUUAUAUCAAAUGCACGAUUUUAGGAAAUGAUACAAAUUUAAAUUCAUAUUUGGAGAUCUUUCGACUAAACUUUCAAAAUCAAAUAAUAAAAUGAAUAUUUAUUAUUAUACAUAUAAUAUGAAAACAAUAAAGGAUAAAUAUGAAAAUUGUGUAUUUGUAUGAUAUAAUAAAAUGUUACUAAGUAUUAAUCAAACCUUAUGAAACGUAUAAUGAAUAAACUAUAUUAUCAAUCAUUUUAUGGUUUGCAAAAAAGAGUAUGAAUUAAAUAGCUAUUAGUAUAUAUAUAUUAAUAAAAAUAAAUUAUUAAUUACUUGAUUUGAAACCUACAAAUCCAAAGAUCUGGUAUAAAUUGCCCUUAUAAAUCUAGCGAAUGUUGAUUUAAUCACAUCAAUCUCGAAAAUAAAUAUUUAUUUAAUAUUUUUAUGAAACGGAAUGAUUUGCAAAUACAGUGUAUUCGUGAUUGUGGGUUAUAUUUCAUCAUUCUAACCUACACAAAUACACUGUAUAUCUACGAUAAAGGAAUUUCCCUCUAUGGAGGGGUAAAUAAAUAUUUUUGAAAUUUACUAUUUUCUAAUUUAUUAUCCAUAUUAUUUUGUCAUUCUCAUCGUUUUCUCGAGAGAAAAAUAGGAAGAAAGAAGUAUAAACUAACAUUACGCUUCAUUUCCUUCUAAAUAUUUAGCCAUACAAUAGGAGAAUAUGAUCAAUAACAAUGGGGGCUAAAGAUUAAUGAGACAUCCAUAAGUAAUGACUGAAUGAUUCAAAUCACAUUCUUGAAAUUUCAUUUCAAAGAUGAUGUAGUAAACACUAAUGACAAAAUUAUUUCAUGAAUGGAGAAGUAAAUGCCAUACCAACCCAUAUACAGAAUGCUAAGUACGUACGGAUCCAUAAAUACAAUUGCAGCCCUAAGUAAGCUUCAUAAGUGUUGUUCUCUUUCUUUUUCAUAUUUCACUUCGUCAAAUCAUUAUUCCUAGCCAAUACAAACAAUAAUAACUUUACACAGGCACUCUAACUUAAAUCUUUCAAACACAAGCACACGCUUGUUCUCAUCACCAACCAUUGUAUAGCCAUCCAUCAUGGUGUGAUAUAUGUCAAUUGGAGCAUCUAUGCCUUCUUCUUCCAUUUCCUUUACCAAAGCUUCAGCUCUAUCCACAUUGCAUCUUUGACUAGAGCCAAAACUAAUUAAUAUAUAUAAUGGUAUGUCCCUUGUAAAAUACCAGCAAGUAACCAAAGAAAACAGAAACUUGACGACAUAAACACAAGGAACACAUUUGUCAUUUCUAUAAUAAUUAAAGUCAAAAUUGAUAUAUGAAAUUACCGGUAGGCAUAUAUAAUAUUCACAUGAAUGAUUGCAUUCAAUGAAGAGUGUUGUGAUCUGCAGAUCUUCCAAGACAAAUGCAAAUGUAAUACAAUUUAGACAAAACAGAUGCAAAGGGAAAAUGAAUUACCAAUAAUGUCCAUGGGUAUAGAAACAGAGAAAAACAUUUAAAAGACUAAAAAUUGACUUUCAAAACCAGUUCAACAAGAGUAAGAAAAUAAAAAGAAGCACACCUCAACGAUUUGGUGUCAUUAUGCUGCAAAGAAUGAGCAGGAAGGUGCUUAGAGACUAAAGAAAAAGCAUUAGAGUGACUUCAACCCCAUAGCCCAAAGAAAUAAAAUUUAUGAUUUUAGGAAAAAAGGGAUUUUUAGGACAAAAUUAGUAAUCUAGCUUAUUACAUAUUAGAAGAGAUAGUAGUGACGGCAUCAAAAGAGAAAGGUCAACGACAAGGAUGGUGGUCGGUGGUGCACUUUCGUAACUCAAUGUUUCAAAUUUCUUAUAGUGACAUUAAUAAUAACACAAAGAGAUACAUAAAGAGUUAUGCAUAACUCAUACUCAAAAUGAAUCUAUUUAAAAAACAUUACAAAACAUUGAGUUUAUACAAAUCUUUCGUCGCAUGAGUAUUUAGCGUAAGAAAGUCACUCACAUAGGAUUGUUUAGUUUAGGGAAGUCACUUGCGAAAAUGUCUGAUCUUCUUCUUCCCCUUACACCUCUCCUUGCCUAGAACUCUCUUAGCGACAACUCUACUCCUUGCAAUCUCUCGACAAAACUUCUAAAUAACAGCACUUCGUUUAGAGCCUUCACCCCUAUUAUUACUAAUCCUUUGGACCGGUUACCCUCUUUGCUCUCCAGUUCGGAAUUAUAACUUUACACGUAUCACCUUACCGCCUUGCAACAUUAUGCAGCCAAACCAAGCUCGACACGUAAGCCAACGUCAACUUAAGAUUAGACAUCCCCUCAAGACACAAAUCUUAUCAUCUCAAAAAGCUAAACUCUUUUUCCUGUCUUCUCUUUCUCGCGAUAAACCACAACCACCCACUUCUCUUAUAACUCCUCUUCGCAUUACUUCACCAGAUCGCCUAACUCUUCUUAUGAUAGAACUUCUUCACUGUGACAACUCUUCCUCCAUCGCCUUCUUUUAAUGCGACUUUCUUCCUUUCCUUUGAUUUUUUUCUUUAGAAUGAUCAAUUUUUUUUAUUUUAGAAGGAUCAUCUCACUCGGCGCCUCUCUUCUGCAACAGAACUCCUUUCUCGGAUAUGGACCUCACAAUGUGGGUUUGUGGGUUUUUUUCUUUUUCAAAAUUGUUUUAUACUAUGUAAAUUGUUUUAGAUUUUCAAAUUUUCUCUUCAAACUUCUAAACUUUAUAUAUUUACUUAGACUAUAAGUUUUGGUCAUUUAAAUUUUAAUAAUUUUGAUUCUAAUAAAAUAGUAACAUUAUAAGCAUUCUUUAAAACUUUAAAAAAUUAUUAUUUUUCUUUUAAAACUUUUGAUAAAAUAUCAUUUAACUUUAAACUUGUUUCAAAUUAAAAUAUGAAAAUUGAUUUUGUGGUCAAAGUAGUGUUAAAUAUCCAUUGUCAUUAAUUUUUAUAAAUGAUAUUACAAUCUUUUAAUUUUUUAAUGUAAUGCAAAUUUUUAUUUAAUUUUUUAAUUAAACUACAUCUUUAAAGAUAUACAUGAACAAAAUUGAUUUCAUGAUUUUUCUUGUGGCAUAAUUAAAAUUUGUAAAAUAUAUAACAAUCCUUGGGGGGGGGGGAGGGAGGAGAAAUGAUGGAGGAGUAUAAUAGUCUUAGUCUCAUCCCAAGGUUAGCUUACUCGAGUUUGUCGUAGUAUGAGGGUCAAACGACUCCUUAAUAUAAUAUAUAGCAUGUUUUGUUUAAUUGUUUUCCAUCCUUACUUUUAGAAAUGAGUUAUUGAAAAAUUGUAAAAUAUAUAUUUGGCUAUACCACUUAAAUUUAACUUUGGAAUUUCUCUUAAAUGUAGUCCAAACCAUUUUGAGAGAAGAGUGAAUUCAAAUAGAAAUACAAUUUUUCAAAAACAUUUUUUUAUUGUGAAGUAGUCAAACAAAUCCUAUUAUCUAGUCAAAUUGACAAAUAUUGAAUGUUUGUAUUUUAUGAUGGGAGAAAGUACUUAUAAAAACAAAGUUAAAUCAAAAUUCAGUAAUCAAAUAAAAGAAAAUGUAGAAUAGUUAAUUAAUAAUAUAAAAAAUCAUAGGUAUAAAUUGAUAUAUUGUUUUCUUUAAAUUAUGAAAUAUAGUCAACUUGGGUUGUAUUUUUGUGUGGUACAAUGUUUGAAAAAGAGAAAGAAAUAAGCAUGUGUAGAACUAUAUUAUUCCAUGAUAGCAAUAUGCCAGUUUUGAAUAGUAAUUUUCUAUUUCAAACCAAACACACUAUAUAAUAUAAUCAUUGCUGUUGGCCCUUUCUUUCUCUCUUUCAUUUAUUUUGAUAACAUCAAAUCCAACUCCAAGAAAGAUUUUCUGUGUAGCAAUAUCAUCCAACAACUAUUUGGGUAUGUUACAUGUUGAUGCCAAUAAAUAUAUGGAUGUUUUAAUUUUACGAAAAUAUCAAUAAAUGUAUUAUAGAUUGUGAAUGUUGAUGGAAUAUUUCUCCAAAAAAUAUUAUGAACACAACAAGAAAAAAAUUUAAGCAUUUUUAGGAUUAUAGAGAAGUUAAUGUGAUUAUCAUUUAUGUAAUUAAUACUUACAUAAAAAGUAUACAUUUUUAGUAUAUAAUAAAAAUCAAUUAAAAUAUGGAGAUGUGAACAAAAAUUUAGUAUGAUGAUUAUCUAACAAAUAGUUGGUUACGGAUUGAUAUGAGUUUCAAAAGAGAUACCAUCGUCUUAACUUUAUUUGGUAUAUUUUUCUCCAUUCAAAGUGUUAAUACUGUUUUCUUUACUUUAAAUAUAAAUUUAAAAAAUUAAUGUUAAUAUUGUAUGAUUCUUUUCUAUUUUUGUCUUUUGAUUAUUAUAAAUGUGGAUGUUUUUAUCAUCUGGAAAAUGUUUCUUUUUUUAAAAAAAAAAAAUUUAUUAAAAAAAAACAAACUUGUAAAUUAAACCAUGGCUAAUAGGAGAAAGAUGAUGCUUUUUAAGUAAGGUAUCGGGGUUUAGUGUAACGAACAACUUUUGACGCCAUGAACUCGUGUCAAGAGUUGGACAACUUUUGUACUGCGUCGUCGGGAGUUUCCUUUUAAAACCAUCUCUUAGAUAUGAAAAUUUCAGAUCUACAAAAACAAAAUCUUUCCCCAUUUUCGAUCGCUACAAAAACCCUUCUCCUUUUUCCUAUUCUGCUGGUCCUCCUACUGUUGUCAUCGCUCCUCUCGUUGUCCGUCGUCUUUGUCCCAUUAUCUCAGUUUCGUGAAUCUCUUCCUAUUUUCAUUACAGAUUACGUUGAAGUGGGAUAAAUUGUGUUUGAGGGAUGAUUUUGCUUGUGAUAUACAUCUUGGGUUGAAGUUGUUUAAUGUAUGAUUGGGUUGAUUGAAAUUGCUUGUAGGAAGAGACUUUCUCCCAACUAGUGGAAGUCAUUGGAAGUUAGCAAGACUACUAGUGGCCUUCUCCAGCUCAUUGGGAGUUUUUCUCCCAAUAGGUUUUUCUAACCAUUUUGUUAACAACCUAUUGGUGAUCAGAAGUGCAAUUUCAAAGGCCAAUGUCCUCAUUAUCUAAGGUGUCAAGAGAUAUACUUUUUUUCUUAUAGUGUGUGCAUCGUUCUCAACAGAAAACUCGUAAAUUAUUAAAUAUCAUAGUUACGACCACUAGUUUAGUCAUUUAUGAAGGUCACUUUACAACGUGUUAUUCUUGGUCACACACUCACACACUUAUUUUUCUCUUUAACAUUUUGAUUUUCUUUCAUGUCCUUGUGCUGCUGCUUGUGUAUCCCACCAUUCAAAAAUUGGAUUCCAACAUGAGGUGACAUUCAUGUUUUUGCUUUAUUUUCAUUUUUGGACACUUACACACUUAACUUUUUAGGAAAUUUAUCAUUCUCAAAAUAUUUAUAAAUUUCAUAUUUUAUACACUAGAAGAUACUAUAGGCUUUUAUCAAUGUCAAUCGUUAAUCUAAUUUAAAAUUUUAUUAUAUUUUGUAAAUAUUUUUGUUAUAUUUGAAAACGUUUUCUAAAUUUUUUAUACUGCAAAACUAUAACCUAGUUUAAAGAAAAUUAAAUUGGAUUGAAAUAAAAUAGUCCGACCAAUUACUUAAAUGUAGUCAAUUCCAUUCAUUAUCUUACACAUUAACUAAAAUUUUUAAUAAUUCCUAAAAACCAAUUAUAAUUUUAAGCUACAAAAUGGUGUUAAAAAUGAAUUAUACAUUUUUUUUCCCAAGGUUGCAAUAUUAUCUUCCAUCCAACACUUCGAAUGGAGUAAAAUUUUAGAUAGAUCUUGAGACCUAAAAUAAGUGGUGAGAGAUUUUUGUCUUAAUUUAUAUUCAAGUCACUACCACGUCAAUUCAUAUCAGAAUAGUUUUGAAAUAUUUAUAAAAAGAAACGGUGAAUAUUGCAAGUUGGAAAGAAGAAGAAUGAUUUUUAAAUAGAAGACAAAAACUAAAGGUGUUAAGUAAGUUAUAAAGGAAUAAGAGGAUUUUGAAGACAAAUGAAAAAGAUAAAAAAGAGAGUAUUAGUUAAUUGUUUUUGUUCAUAUACUUCAGUAAUAGUAUUUAACCAUUUUUUGUGACAGAAGACACUGAUGGUGAACGUAAGUUUUAGUUUAACAUUUCCAUCUAAAAUCAGCAAUAGAAUAUUUUAAAACUGGUUUAAAAAGUUUUAAGAGUCUUCUCCAAAAAAAAUUAAUAUCCAGUAUAAAAAGAGACCACAAUUCUCUAUAAGGUUAAAAGAAAAAGGUACCGUAUUAAGAUAUUCUCAUGUUUGCAUUUGAUUGAAUUCCAAGAAUGUGACCUCCUAUCAUAAAUCAGAGGAAGACAGCCAUUACUCAAUUGGCUUGGAUCAUCAUGCUUCCAACCUUAGUGCUAAAAUGACUUCAAUUCAUUUGAAUAGGAAAUAUCAUUUCAAUAGAAAAAUAUUUUAUCAAAUUAAAUCAUAAACUAAUAGUUGUAUCCAUCCAUAUACGUAUAUUCUCACUGUCUAUUUUGUAAACCGGCAUUUGAAAAAGUUUACACACGCUUAAGAAUCAAUUCAUGGUUUAUUUUAACGAGAGAUAACCAUAAUGAAAUAUCCAAAUUGAUUAAUAUAUGAAAAUUUAGCGGUUUACAAAAUAGAUAUUUGAAAAUAAAAAAUAAAAAAUGAUUAAAAAAAAGUUAUUUUUGUCCCCAUUAAAGUCAUUAUAGACAAAAAAGAUAACAGCAUUUAGCACCUGCUAGAAAUGUUUGUGGGUGGUCCUUGAUCCUACCUGAAUAAACAGUAAAUAAAGCAACAAAUAAACAAUCCCCAAGUUUUUACCUCUUCUGCCCCUUUGCCAUUGCAAUGUGACAUGCUUCAAUUCACAAUUUAUAGUUCAAAACGUUCAUCACAAACACAAAAACAAUAACAUGAGGUAAGGUUAAUCUUUAUGUAAUUGAUGCUUCUUUUAACUCAUAAUUUUCAAUCAGUCAUCAAGGUUUGCAAAGUACGUGAAUUCGGUGGUUAGACUUGGCCGAACACCCCAGUGCUUUCUUCACAGUUCAAACUGUAACCCUUGUAACAGUUCCAAGUGAUGAAGUCUAGUUCAUCCAAGAUUCAAGUCCCUCCAUGUCAAUUCAAUAUUCUUUUUUCUUUCUCAUCAAACACAUCCUUUUGAAAAGAUUCUCAUGCAAGGUAAGUUCGAGUAACUCAAAGAAAUUGACAAGGGCCUACACAAGAAGUGGAGCACGUGGUUUAAUCAACACUCCCCCUAUCUCUGAAAGCUACGGCCAACUUCCAUGUCUUUCUAUGUAAUGGAAUGACAACGACUUUCACUUAAGACCCUCUAUGUAGUUGUUGAAAUAGGGUGAUCGAUCUACAUCUUCAUCCAUAGCUCUAAGGCAGUGUCAGAUAAUUCACAGAACUUUUAGGUAAGAUGAAAAGCAGCAAUUGCAUAGCAUCAUCAUUUCAUGACUGCAUAUGGAUGCUGCAGCAAAGAGUGGCAAGGAAAAUGUAACUUUGCACUGAACUAUACUAAUUCCUCUUCUUCCAACCUGUUAGUGUAUAAACAGUAAACAUGAAUCCAAAACUGUCAACUUCAAGACCAAAAAGGCUCUAAAUAAAGAUAUAUCCAUAAGAACAUUUUCUUUCAUUAGAAUAUAAGAAUACUAACAGUUGUUUCCUAAGCAAUAAUCCCUGGAGCGGGCGAGCCAACUCAAGCGCUUCAAGUAGCAGUAUUCUAUCAGAAUUACAGAUCGUCGAGAUUUGCACAGAUAUGCUGGAAAUAACAUGGGAUGAUGAAGAAAUGUGCUUGAAGGAUCAGUAUACACAAGAGGGAAAAACAACCUCCGAGUCAGAGAUGUUGCAACUUCUCUAAAUUUAAAGAUGCUCUCUAUCUACUUAAUGAAAUUCAUUGCACAAACCAAGUAAACACCAAUACCCUUCUAUAUUAGUUGAACCACCACCUGAUCGAUUAUAAAAUCUUAGAUUGAGUUAAAGAGAAGUUUUUGAUAACAAGAACAUCAGAAACCUCACUGAUUCCAACACAUUCUAAUUCUUCUAUCCAAAAUAAUAAUAAAAAGAAUUCCGUAGAUGUUUACCAUUAUUUCCACUAAAAGCACAAAACUGUCACUAAAAAGUGAUCACAGAUUAUUGGAGAAAGUUUGAAGCCAAUGCCUCUCUAAUUUGUGGGCUUGGUCCAGGAAUUGGUUGUAUGUUGUCACGAGAUCAACAUAAAUUGAUAUCCACUCUCUCAAUUCCAUUUUUCUAUAAGCCCCAUUUCAUUACGGUUUUGAGGUUUUUUUUUAGGAAAAAGUAACUGAACUUGUACCCACCACUCUCACCUAUAACUCUUUUUGUUUAGUUAUUCACUUUCUACCAUGUUUUGAAAAACAGAAACUAAGGUUUGAAAGAUAAAUAGUUUUUCUGGCUAAAUUGCAAAUUUGGUCUCAUUAGAAUUUAAUCUCUAUGGUUUGACACAACUCUCAUAAAUUGCCCUUGUUAUAGUAUAUAUCUUGAAGAUAUUAGUCUUUUGUCCUUUAUUGUAAUUUACCAGUCUUUAGUUAGAGGUUCCAUGUAUGCAUAUAUAUUAAACUCUAUAGCAUAGAAUGAAGUAAGGAGUUCUCUCAUAUUUUGCUCUAACUUUCACAUGGUAUCAGAGUGUAAGGCCCCCAAUUAUUCACACAUAUAUGAGGAAGGGUAGAAGGGUAAGUACACCAGCUAUUAAUAAUGGAAAAUGAUUGGAGAAUGAAUCGUGCAGGGUAGGGCCCACUGGGAUGAAAGAUAUGAGGCCUAUAAAUAGCUAUUAGUAAGUAUUUGGUAGCUAGGUUAGGUUAUUUUUUGUCUUCUUUAUGGUGUAAGGCUGCUGCUGUAGCCACAAGGAGUCUCUAUUUGUUAAAGGAGGCUGGAAUAUUUCUUUUCUGUUUUUUCCUUGUUUAUCUUCAUAUUGUGACUGUGUAAUCUCUUUUUGGCUUAUAUAUAAAUAAAGAGAAUCAAAUUACCGCAUCUGUUUAGCCAUUGUUAGGGAAUUUUGUGUGUUAUUAGUGUUGGUAGCCUAACAUUUGGUAUCAGGGCCAGAAAACUGGGGUAGUUAUAAGACUCGUGGCACAAAGACAAAUAGAGGAAAGAAUGGAAGGAACAGAGAAAGAAAUAAUGGGCAUGAAAGAAAUACUAAUCGAAAUGAAGAAAUCAAUGGAGAGAAUGGCUGAUGAAUUAAGGAAAAGCCAUAGCUACAAAAAAAAGAGAAGAGUCUGGGACUUCGAAUGGAUCUAUCAUGAAGCUAAAAGGAAAAAUAGAGGAUGUGGACACUAUAAACGAGGCAAACAUGACCACAGUAUACCAAAGAAAAUACAAAAAAUUGAAAAUGCAGAUUUUUAUGGGAGAAAACCCCGUGUCAUGGGUCUACAGGGCAGAACACUUCUUUGAAAUCAAUAACCUACCAGAAGCAGAAAAGGUCAAGGUUGUUGUAGUAAGUUUUGGACAGGAUGAAGUAGACUGGUAUAGAUGGUCUCAUAAUAGGAAGAAAGUUGAAUCAUGGGAGGACCUUAAAGGAAGGAUGUUCAAAUUUUUUAAGGACACGAGCUAGAAAAGCUUAGUCGCAAGGUUGAUCAGAAUUCAACAAGAUGGCUCAUACAACAACUACGUGAAGAAGUUCGUUAAUUAUUCAGCUCCCCUACCUCACAUGGCAGAGAGUGUGCCAAGGGAUGAGUUUGUAACAGGAUUAAAACCAGACCUUCAGGCCGAAGUUAUUUGCAGACAUCCGCAAACUUUGGAAGAUUGUAUGAAAGAAGCCCAGUUGGUCAAUGAUAGGAAUUUGGCAUUGAAAUUGGCAAAGAUAGAGUGGGGAUUGAUGGAACAGAAAAAAAGAGAAGGGAACUCCGGUAAGAAUCAAGGAGGAGAGAAGGGAGUUCAGAGGAAAACAAAAUUUCCAAUGAAACAGGUAACUAUUCCAAUUAGAGGCAAUUACCAAAAGAGUGAACCCCCUUUGAAACGACUAUAAGAUGCAGAGUUCCAGGCUUGACUUGACAAGGGUAUGUGCUUUAAAUGUAAUGAAAGAUAUUCGCCAAGAAAUAGGUGCGAAAUGAAGGAAAAAAAGGAGUUGAUGUUGUUCAUCCUAAAUGAAGAGGAGAGUACUGAGGAUGAAGGCAGAACAGAGGAAAAUAUUGAGGAAGUAUUGGAAUUAAAACAGAUCAACCUAGCGAAUGGAACAGAAAUUGAACUAACGGCGAUCCAUGAAUUGACAUCUAAAGGAACCAUGAAGUUAAAGGGAGAAUUAAAAAGGAAGGAAGUCGAUGUGCUAAUUGACAGUGGACCCACAACUUCAUACACACUAAGAUUGUAGAGGAAAAGGAAUUACCCUUGGAAAGGGAGACUCAAUUUGGUGUCAUGAUUGGAGAUGGCACAAGAUGCAAAGGAAGGGGGAUGUGUAGGAGAAUAGAGCUGAGGCUUAAAGAAAUCACGGUUGUGGCUGAUUUUUUGGCAACUGAACUUGGAAAUGUGGAUAUAAUCUUGGGGAUGCAAUGGCUGGACACCACUGAAACAAUGAAGAUACAUUGGCCUUCCCUAACUAUGACCUUUUGGGUAGGAGCAAAACAAAUUGUCCUCAAGAUUGAUCCCUCUCUCAUUAGAGCUGAAUGUUCUUUGAGAACUAUAGAGAAAACCUAGGAGGAGGAGGAUCAGGGCUUCCUCUUAGAGCUGCAGAAUUAUGAUAUAGAUUUGAGUGAUGAAUUCGAUGAAGAACAUGAAGUGAAGGGUGAUGAAGAAGAGGCACCCAAUGAUCAAACUUCUUCUACAACAGUAUGCAUACUUAUUUGAGGACCCUAGAGAGCUACCUCCUAAGAGAGAAGUGGAUCACCGCAUUCUUAUAUUGUCAUAACAGAAACCUAUCAAUGUGAGACCAUACAAAUAUGGGCAUGUCCAAAAAGAAGAAAUUGAGAAACUGGUGGCAGAUAUGCUACAAACAGGUGUGAUUAGGCCUAGCUUCAGCCCCUACUCCAGCCUAGUUUUGUUAGUGAAAAAGAAGGACGGGGGAUGAAGAUUCUUUGUUGACUACAGGAAACUAAACCAAGUCACCAUAUCCUAUAAGUUUCUCAUACCCGUGAUUGAGGAGCUGUUAGAUGCAUUGAACGGAGCAACCGUUUUCUCAAAGCUGGACUUGAAGUCAGGGUAUCACCAAAUAAGGAUGAGAGAGGAAGACGUUGAGAAAACGGCUUUCAAAACGCACGAGGGCCACUACGAGUUCACAGUCAUGCCUUUUGGCCUCACGAACGCACCGGCUACCUUCAGUCAUUAAUGAAUCAAGUAUUUAAACAUUUUCUAAGACGGUGUGUAUUGGCUUUUUUUAUGAUAUACUGGUGUAUAGUGCGGAUCUUACCAAGCAUGAGAAGCAUCUUGGGAUGGUUUUUGCGGUGAUGAGGGAUAUCCAGCUAUUCGCUAACAAGAAAAAGUGUGUGACAGCACACUCACAAAUUCAAUAUUUGGGGCACUUGAGAUCCAAUAAAGGAGUAGAGGUAGAUGAAGAGAUGAUCAGGGACAUAGUUAAUUGUCCUCGGCCAAAAGAUGUGACGGGUGGGUUGAGAGGUUUUUUAGGAUUGACAGGGUACCAUAGGAGGUUUGUAAAGGAAUAUGGUGAGAUUGCGGCCCCUUUAACCAAGUUAUUGCAUAAGAAUUCCUUCCAUUGGAAUGAAUAAGCUACAAUAGCCUUUGAUAAGUUGAAGUUAGCCAUGACUACAAUCCCUAUGCUAGCAUUACCAGUUUGGAAUUUGCCCUUCAUUAUUGAAACCGACGUCUGGAAUUGGUUUAAGGGUUGCACUAUCCCAAAAUGGUCAUCCCAUAGCUUUCUUUAGUAAAAAAUUGUCACUCAGGGCCCAAACAAAAUCCAUACAUGAAAGGGAACUUAUGGCAGUAGUACACUCUGUACAGAAAUGGAGACAUUACCUUUUAGGUAAGAAGUUUACAAUCAUAUCAGAUCAGAGGGCCUUAGCAUUUUUUUUAGAACAAAGAGAGGUGCAUCCUCAGUUCCAAAAGUGGUUGACUAAACUCCUAGGAUUUGAUUUUGAAAUACUCUACCAGCUAGGGUUACAAAACAAAGCGGCUGAUGCUCUUUCCAGAAUAGAACCACUGGAAUUGAAGACUAUGACAACCAUAGGAAUAGUGAAUAUGGAAGUGGUAGAGAAGGAGGUCGAGUUGGACGAGGAUCUCAAAAGAGUCAUCGAGGAAUUGAAGAAAAAUCCAGAUGAGUCAAGUUUCAAUGGGGCAAUGGGAAUUUAUUUUAUAAGAAAAGAAUAGUAUUGUCUAAAACUUCUUCCUUAAUAGCCACCCUGCUACAUACGUUUUAUGAUUCUGUUUUGGGAGGCCACUCAGGAUUCUUAUGGACAUAUAAAAGGAUGAGAGGAGAACUGUACUGGAAGGGCAUGAAAACAGACGUUAAAAAGUAUGUCGAGCAGUGUGAUGUUUGUCAGAGGAAUAAGUUUGAAGCAACCAAACCAGCGGGAGUUCUGCAACCAAUUCCUAUUCCAGAAAAGAUUUUGGAAGAAUAGUCGAUGGAUUUCAUUGAAGGACUACCCAAGGUGGGAGGAAUGAACGUUAUCAUGGUAGUAGUAGACCGGCUAAGCAAAUACUCCUAUUUCAUAACCAUGAAACAUCCAUUCACUGCCAAGCAUGUGCCUGAAGUGUUUAUUGGAAGGGUGGUGAGCAAACAUGGAAUACCAAAGUCAAUUAUAUCCGAGGGGGACAAGAUCUUUAUUAGUAACUUUUGGAAUGAACUAUUUGCAACCAUGGAAACAAUUUUGAAAAGUACAACCUUCCACCCGCAAACAGAUGGUCAGACAAAGGGUAAAUCGAUGUGUGGAAACAUAUUUAAUGUGCUUCUGUAAUGAGCAGCCUCAGAAGUGGGAUAAAUUCAUUCCAUGGGCUGAAUUGUGGUACAACACAACCUUCCACGCUUCAACAAAAACAACUCCUUUCCAGAUUGUGUAUGGUAGACACACACACCCCCCCCCCCCCCCCCCUUGUCCUACGGAAACAACAAGACAUCUAAUAAUGAGGUAGAACUGAUGCUGAAGGAAAGGGACCUGGCCUUAAAUGCACUGAAAGAAAAUUUGAACAUAGCACAAAAUCGAAGAAGAAGAUGGCAGACACUAAAAGGAGAGAACUCAAAUUCAAGGUUGGGGAUGAGGUCUAUCUAAAACUGAGACCCUAUCGACAACGUUCCUUAGCUCAACAGUAAGGGCUAUUGCUAAUGAUUUUAUCAGACCAUAAGGAUUAUUUAUAAGGUUCAUCAAACCAUAGGGACUAACUAUAGUGGUCAAAUCUGUAUUAACCUUUUCUUUUAAAGUAAUUUGUCUAAAAAUUCAAAUGCUUUUGUUAAAAAAAUUGAAAACGGGAAUGAAAGAAAUAAAAAUAAAUAGAAAUAGAAAUAAAUAAAAAAAGAAAUGGAUCUUGGAGCUUGAAGCCUCUCUGAGAAUUGGAGAAAACAGACCCACAAACACUGGACCCAAAUAUUGUAUUACAUAACAAAAUGUAAAAUUAAGGAAGAAAGCACCACAAAAUCCACAAGAUUGAGAAUUGAUAAUAUGCAUUAUGCAUUUCUCCAUUGAAUGAGCUCAAUAAUCCAGCAGUAAAUAUACUCAUCUGUAAGCUAGAUUGUUCAUUAAUUUGAAUGCGUGACCAAAACUGUAGAAUUGGUUCAGAGAAAUGGCAUCAAUUUGACACAAAAUAUCCAACCAUUUUUCAAAUUCCUCAACCAAGAUAGAUUCCACAUAAGUAAAGGCAAAACAGUGAAAAACAGUCAUUUGUAUUGUCACCUUUCUAACUUUACAUGCUAGAUGUAAGCAAUGAAAAAUACUCAAAUAGAACUCUAACCUAUUACCAACAUAACGAGAAAUAUAUAAACAGCAGCAGCUAGUCGAUUCAAAGUAGUGGCUUAAUUAAAAGCAAAUCUUCCAACCUGAUAGAAUUAAUUCAGAUCAUGUCAGCCAAUUAAUGAAAUCCUGAUCCAAUUUGCUUUUGCUUUAAGUCAAGUGCAAGGCGCUCAUUUUCAAGCUUCAUCCUCUCGUUCACCAUCCUCAUUUUUUCCAACUCGCGGUCCUUUUUCUUGUUAAAUCUCUCCCACUUAAACUUUUGUUUCUCCAGUUCCAACAUUUCAACUUGAAUUUGAAGUUUCUGAUCUUCCAAUUGAAGUAAGCGAAGCUCCAUCCACUGCUUUUGCGAUGUAGAAGCUUUCAUACUUUCAGUUUCUAAAUGAGCUGUAUCAGCUUGAGUAAAUUGUGCUUGUGAAUGAGGAUGAGAACUUUUGUUGCAAUCAAGAGGACUCAAGGAAUUACCACAAGCAUGUGCAUCAUCAUGGUCUUGGCCUCGUUUUAGCCUCUUCACCGAACCUCCUAAUACCCCAAGCGAUCGCCUAUUGUCCGUAUGGGGUACAAAAUUCUCCUCAUAAUCAUCAUGUUCAUCAGUUUCAUCAGGUUCGUGUUCAUCAAAAUCAUCAUUUUGAUGUCUUCUUGGCUCGUCAUUAUCGUGAUCAUCCCUUGCUCUAAAAGCCAGCUGCAACGAACGCUGCAAAGCAGGAUCAUGGGGCAGAUGAAGUCGAUUUGAGUUAUGAUAAGAACACAUCUCCUCAUAGAACAGUUGCUUUGAGUUUAAAAUUUUUCUCACAUCAUCCUUAUCUUUUUCAGUUAAAUAAUCAAUGACAUCAAGAAGUGCUGGAUUCUCAACAACCUGACAAGAAGUGCCUCUCCCAAUUAUAUCAUUGAGCCUCUUAUACCUCUUAUUGAGGUCAUUAAAUUUAUCCUCACACUGCUGAGGUGAAACUUGAUAACCCCUUUCAGCAAUGACUUUUGAUAUCAGUUUCCAUUUACCUUUCUUCUGUAUAAUUUGGCAUUUCCUUCUUCCACCCCCAUCAAUAUCUGAAGCAAUAUCAUCUCCUAUAUAAGACACUGCUGUAAUCAGAAGCUUCACCAUUUUAUCUGUCCAUUUCACGCGGUGCCACAUCGAUCCCUUCUUCCCCUUACUAUUCUCAUUAUGACCAUCAAUACUAUCCUCAUUAAAACUCGGAUCUUCGUCGCUAGCUGAGUUUUUACACCUUUCUCCCUUGUUAUACUCUACCAAAGACAUGGUAUGGUCACAAUUUUGUACAACUCCCAUGGAAAGUGAAAAUCCCUCCUGAAUGGAGGGAUUAGCUGAUGAUCCCUGACGAGUAUGAGGAUGAUGCUGUUGGUGUAAGGCAUGAGAGAGCUGUCCCUGAUUAUGAACCUUAAACGGUCCUUGCAAAUCAAGACCUCCAUAAGAACUCCCUCCUGGAAUCAACCCUCCUUGUGAUAAAUUCCCUUCCAUAUAUUUCAAAGGAACACUUCACCUCAUACUCAAAAACACAUACCCCAGAAUCCCAUCUUCCACAGGAUCCUUAAACUAUUAAAACCACCAAUUAAUCAUCCCUAAGAUAACAGAAUGGACAAAUCAAGCACACCCAAGCCGAAAUUUCCCCACUAGAUAAUAGGAAAUUUCUUUCAAACAAACCCCAUUUUCCCAGAACCAAGAGAAACCCCUUCAAACACAACUAAACUCAAAUAUUGGACAAGAACGAUUAAACUGAAAAAAGAGGUAAGAUAAGAGAAAGAACCCUUGAAAGAGCAACACAAUCAACAAUCAACAAAGAAGCAAAAUCACUUAUCUGAGCAAAACCCGCCAAGAGCUGAAAACCCAGAUAGAAGGAAACAGAUCCAGGCGCUUAUUGGGUGAGUGUGGCGAUCGAGAAGGGAAGAGAGGGAAGAGAGGGAUAUGGGUUUUAUUGUAUUUUAAGAAGGAAAAAUGGAAAAAUGUCAAAUGGGUGGGCGAAAGAACCGAUCAGAGAAGCCAAUACGGAUGCGUAGGUUAAAUGAAUCGAAUGGGAGGAUCAUUUUUAAAUUCGACGUCACAAAUGCUGACAAAAACUUGUUGCGUGCUAUUGGGUUGUGUUUAAUCAUAUCAAUCAAUACGCCAUGUUUGAGCAGCAUCUCCUCAAUAAGUAUUAACGUCCGUUUCUUUGAUUAUGGCUGCUUCAAUUACAAGACUUUGAUUCCCAUACUUUAACUUUUCAUCCCUUCUUUUUUUUUUUCUUUCUGCACUCUCUAGAUUCAACUGCGAAUUCCUUUUUCAAGGAGUAAAGGUUCUUCUUUUUCUUUCUUUGCUCUCAAUAGGAAACAUUUUGUCCUUUUUUGAGUUAAAAGAGUUUUCGUUUUUUGUUUAUUUCACAGUCAAAUUCUUCCAAAGUUUUGGUGUAUCUAUUUUGUAAGACCAUUCAUGAAUCACCCUCACACUAACUCACACCUUUCCAUUACGAAAUAGAGUAUUUUAAUUUGGUUAACCACAUACAAAAAAAUUGUUUACGGUUCAAAAAUGUGUAGGGUAAUUUGCAAUAUUUAUCAUUUAACACCUAUUUGAGAAAUGUGCAAGGUUCAUAAUGUCAAAGUAGGUGUAGUCUUUAAAGCUGUACGGUGCAUAAGCUCAUUUCAACUAUUUUUCUUUAGUUGAAACGAAUUGAAUUAGGUUGGUUUCAACGUUUGACUUUUCUUUUCAAGGUGCCUAUGAACUUUGGAUUGUCCAUAGGCUUGGACCUUAUCUCGAACAAGCCACCGGAAAGAUUUAUUUAAUUACGAUUUUAUUUUCUUUUAAUUUUUAAAAGGUAUAUUUUUCCAAUUCUUAAUUAAAAAAGUCAUUAAAAUUCUUGAUCCAAUUAUGAAACAUAGCUGUUUUUUAUUUGAUUUAUUAGAAAUGAAUUGAAAGUGAAUUUAAAAAAAAAAAAAAAACAAAGAAACUACGUUUGAUUGGGUGAGUUAGCUUUGAACCUUUUCUUAAAUAAAUAAUUUAGAAAAAAAGCCACUAGCCAGGAAGAUCUAAUUUUUAAAAAAACACGUGAUUGAUUUCUCAUUAUUUUAUAAAAUUGCUUUUAUGUUAUGAUAAACAUUUUAAUUCAUACCCAAAUUUCAACCAGCACCUUAUUUAGUCUGAAAAAUUUUACCAAAUAUUUAUAACUUAUAGUAAAACUUUUAAAAUCUAUCACCGAUAGUUAUUGAUAUGUUACAGUAAUAAAAAUUUAUCUAUAACUAUCAUUGAUAGAAUCUAAAAUUUUGUUACAGCUCGUAAAUAUUUUAAUUUAUUUUUCUAUUUUAAAAAAUAUCCCUUGAAAAUAUUGGUAACUGUUCAUAAUUUUUUUAAGUUUCACUUAGGUUAUAUUGUGUGAAAAUAGAUAGUGAAGAGAGGAAUUUUUAAAAAUAACAAAAUAAACUAAAAUAUUUACAAGCUAUAGCAAAAUUUUGGAUUUUAUCAAUGAUAGUCUUCUAUCACUAUAGCAUAUCAAUGACUAUCAAAACUAUUGAAAAAUUUUGCUAUUUUAAAAAAAUAAUAAAAAAAAAACUAAUAGAUUGGAGUAAUAUUUAGAAAAAUUAAUGUAAAUAUCAAAACUAUUGAAAAACUUUAUAAAAAUAUAACUUAGAUUCUAUCAUUGAUAAAAGUCUACCAUUGUCUAUUAGUAAUAUAUCUGAAAUUUUGUUAUAUUUUAUAAAUAUUUUAAUUCAUUUUGUUAUAUUUGAAAAUGUUGUGAAUUUUUUAUAAUUUGGAAUUGAGUGGAAUUUGUUUGAAGUAUGUUAAAAAGAAAUAAUAAUGAUAGUACCCAAGAGCCAUUUGUCUUCUAGAGUUAUGAGGAAGAGAAAUUGGAUGAAGAAAAAUAAUAAGAUUUUGUGUUAUAAAAUAAAGAAUAAAGAGACUAAAUAAGAACCAUGAAACAACACAAAUAAGAGAGAAAGUAGAGAACAAUUGAACUCAAUUGUGGUGUGUUUUAUAAAGACACCACAUACAUCUCAUGGUAUGGGUUACAUAUGGAAUUCAAUGGUAUGAAUGUUACAACGUAUAAUAAAGGGAGAGUUAUAGGGAAAUUGGUAACACAUUGUAGGUUAUGGAUAUCUAUAUAAUUAUAUUUAUAAUACUCCUCCUAGAUAUCCAUAUUAUAUAAAAUAAAUAUCUCGUUAAAACCUUACUAGAAAAAAAUUUAAGUGAAGGAAAAAGAGUACAUCAUUUUAUAUAUUAAUAAUUGCCUCAUUAAAAACCUUGCUAGGAAAAACCAUAGUCAAGGGAAAAAGAGUGUAGUAUUUCUAUUCCUUGAAGACAAUAUUUCUACUUUCCUUUGAAUACAUCACUUGAGUUAUUUGAGUCGUUGCAUUCCAAUGUUGUGCACUAACUUUUCAAAUGUUUAUGUAGGUAAUGUCUUUGUGAAUAAUUCUGCCAAGUUUACCUUUGAAGAAAUUUGUUGAACACUGAUGUCACCAUUUUCUUCAAGGUCAUGUGUAUAGAAGAGUUUUGGUGAGAUAUGUUUUGUUUUAUCUCCUUUUAUAUACACUCAUUUAAUUUGUGCUAUAAUGCAGUAUUAUCCUCAAAUAAUAAUGUUGGUAGAUUUUUAUUGAAAGACAAACCACAUGUUUCUUAAAUAUGAUGAGUCAUUGACCUCAACCAUACACAUUCUCUACUAACUUCAUGAAUUGCAAGAAUUUCUGUAUGAUUUGAUGAAGCGGGCGUAACGGUUUGCUUUAUAGAUCAUCAAGAUAUAACAGAUCCUCCACAUGCAAACAUAUAACAUAUUUGAGAUCUUGCUUUGUGUGGGUCAAAUAAAUAUUCAGCAUCUGCAUAACCAACUAAAUCAAAGUUCGAUUUGUUUGAAAAAAAAUCUAUAUCAAUUGUCCCUUGAAGAUAACGAAGUAUAUGCUUAACUUCAUUCCAAUGUCUUUUUGUUGGAGAAGGACUAUAUCUUGCUAAUAAAUUUACUGAAAAUGCUAUAUUUGGUCUCGUGUUAUUAGCAAGAUACAUUAGUGCACUUAUUGCACUAAGGUAUGGUACUUCAUGACCAAAUAAUUCUUCAUUAUAUCACUCUAAUAUAGAAGGAAAUUUGUUAAAAUGCAAAUAGUAAUUUUUUGUGCCUUUAAGAUAUCUCAACAAAUAACAUAAAGUAUCCCAAUGGUAUCUGGCAGGAUUAUGUGUAUACCCACUAAAUCUACUCAUAACAUAUAUACUAUGGUUUAUUUUUAGUUUAAAAACAUUUUUCAUUUUUUUUCAUUAAUCAAUUUAACUAGAAGAUUUAGGAUUUAUUUUAAUUGACAUAAGGAGAAGGUGUUUAAGAAAAAAAACUCAUUUUUAAAAUCAUAAUUUUUAUUAAAUGUAACUCUACUUUACUUUCGCUUUUGCAUAACCGUUUUGGUUAUGUUUAUUUUGAAACCCAUAAUUAGAUCAUUUUUAAUGUUGCUUAACUAGAACUUUCGUAAAUUUCAUCCGAUUACAUAAUUUGUUAUAUUUUUUUUAAUAAUUAGACCAUUCAUGUUAAUACAAUUGUAAUCAAAAUUAUUAUUAUUUAGUAUUAAAAUUUCUCGUUUUUAACAUUAUUCCUUAAAUUCAAUAGAGUCAUAAAUUUAAUUAGAGAUACAAAAUAUGAAAAAAAAAAACCAAUUAAAAAUUUGAUACAAAAUAAAUGUCAAGACAUACAAUUAAUAAAAAAACUAAACAAAUUAACUAAACCCAAAAAUUAAAAACCAACACCCCAAACACAUGUAUCAGAAUCCAGAUUUCCAAAUCAUGCACCCCAAACACAGGUAUAUGCAAUUUUCACGCAUCAGAACCCCAUCAAAUAAGCCCACAAACAUUUGAUUCCGAACCUACGAGCCAAACACCUUUUGAAGGAAAUUUCUUGGUCUCUCUCGGUUGUGUGCGUUACCAAGAUAGUGCAUUUUUCUAAAAAAAAUUUGUGGCCUCGAGAUGCACCUAACUGAAAAACAUAAGCAAUUAUGUCAAUGAUCUCUAAACAAAGUUGCCUCAAAAUGGCCCUGAGCUAAAAAAAUAUAAGCAUUAUGUAGUAUGAUUUUUGGAUUAAGGUUGCCUCGAGUUGUCCGAAGUUUAAAAACAAAAGUUCUUCCAUCAUUUUUUUGUUAUUUUUGCAAGUGCCCUUAUUUUUCAAAAACAAUUCUAUAAAAACACUUAAUUCAAGAACAAAUUAAAACAAAACUCAAAUAUGAAUUACAAGAAACCUAAAAACUUAACUAAAACGAAACCGAAAUUUAGGUUUUAAGUUUGGUUUUGAGUUAAGUUUUUUUAAUUCAAUCGUUCUAAAAUGAGAGUUGUAAAAAAAUAGCAAAUUUGACAAAAUAUUUACAACAAAAAUCUAAUUUUGUAUGGUUGAGAAAAAGAAAAAAAAGGAAAAUGAAUAGGAACUAAAAACAAACGUGGAUCGGGUCGGGUCAACAAAGAGAGCAUUGGGGAAUUGGGGUUGGCAUUUUGUUUUGGGGAUCGGAAAACUCAUAAACCCCAACUCGUCAGUUUGCGAUUUCAGAGCUUCCAACACCACCAAAAAUGGCGACCGAAGAAGAAAGCACUGUUAAGGAGCCUUUGGAUCUCAUAAGGUUGAGUCUUGACGAGCGUAUUUACGUCAAGCUUCGCUCUGACGCGAACUCCGCGGCAAACUCCAUGUACAUCCUCCCAAAUUACUUCUCUCUUUAUCCCUUUAUCAUCUUUCUUUCUUUUCUCUAAUUAUUAUGUCUCUCUCUAUCUCUCUGUCCUCUUUAAUUGACAACCCCCCAAUUGUUAUUGUUUUUUCUUUCGAUCAAAUUAAUGUCUUGGAGAAUUAGGGUUUUGUAAUUGUUUGACUUUCUUGACGGGGUUCCCUUGAAAUUUCAUUUUGUUGAAAAAGGCGAUACUUUAGCUUCUUCCAGUAAGUAAUUAACCUUUCUUCUAUUCAGUUUUUGCGUUUGGGAUGGGGGCAGGGGCUGCUUUCGAACUUCUCUAUUUUUGGGGGAAUGGAAGUGCCCUAAUGGUGAAAGGCGUCAAAGCUAGAGCAGACGCGUUUCUCGUAAAUCUUACCAUUGGAGAAUAAGUAGGAAGAUGACUAUUUUAGCAUGGUCAUUAUCUACAUAGAUGUUCUCCGUUGUGAAUGUGUUUAACAGAGGCUCCAAAUAUUACAAAUAUUUAACGAAAAUGGUCAAUUGUUUUAGAUUAAGAUGUUGAUUAUGAUUAGUAGCUGAUCACUCUGUUGCAUUUCUUUUAGUUUUGAGAUGCUAUUGUGAAUACAAAAUGUUUAGCUUUUCAUUUUUUUAUAUCAUUGAUUGCCGAGAUUUUCCUUUCCUGGAGUUUUAACUGCAUUCUGUUGCUGGCUAUCAUGUUUUGCAGGCUUAUGAUCAGCAUCUUAAUAUGAUUCUAGGUGAUGUCGAAGAAAGUGUUACUACAGUGGAAAUCGAUGAUGAGACAUAUGAAGAAAUUGUUCGGGUAUGCUUGUUUUCUUCAUUAGGGUUGCUUGUAACUUUGUACCACUCUUGGUUUUUAAUUCGAAUGUAGUAGAGUUAAAUAAUUUACCUAUGAGAACAGUUCAAGUGCAUACUAGUUGGUCAGAACGUCACGGAUUAAAAAAACGUGUCUUUGUAUUUAACUCCAUUUCCAUGCUAUGAAACAACUAUGUACCACAUACUAGAGUCCAUUCCAUAUGAACUCAAUUUAUAACCAUGGCUAGAAAACAAAACUACAGUGCAGAAGAUAUUUGAAUGCUCUCUUAUUUUCAAUUAAAUCAGGUGAAGUUCAAAACCAAAAGAACAAAAGAAAAGAAAAUCCCUGUCCCUCAAGCUGCUUCAUUGAGUCUAUCCCAUACUUCAUAUGCCUGAUACCAUAUUUUCCUUGUAUAUACUUUAAUUGAAAUUUCACUUAUUUGUAUUUGUCUAUUUUCCUUUCCAGACAUCCAGGCGAACGGUUCCGUUUCUCUUUGUUAGAGGAGAUGGUGUCAUAUUGGUUUCACCUCCACUGAGGACUGUGUAACUAAGCCAUCAGUUGCGUGCAUCUUUAAUGGGAACUUCAUAUUCGCCUUCUCUACCAAAUUGACUGGAGUUGGAAUACUGUCAAGUACUCAACGCAUUCAUAGACUAGGUUUAUCAUUUACUUUUUAUGCACAUGUUCUAUUACAUAAACUAGUUAGUUGUUUUGAUAUAUUUGAGUGAUAGCUGUAGUUUUCUGACACUUUAAUUGGCUGCACAAAUUUAAGGCCUUCAGAUUUUGAAUGCAAGGCCAAGUAAACAAAAUUUGAAAUUGUGCAUAAGCCUCGCUUGGUUUCUUAUCUGUUUUGAUUUGUCUUCAUUCUUAUUGAAAAGCUUGUUUUGUUGGAUUCUUGGACAAGUUUAUUUUUACCAGAUGAAAUUUGGAGUAUUAGUUAGUGAGUAUCACGAAUUGAUCUCAAAUGACAUCUCAGAACCAUUGUCAUUGUAUACAGGUUUCUGUGUGGCACAAUGACAUGAAAUUAUCAUCCUUCGUAUUUCUUUAUUUCCACAUCUUGAUUUUCCUUCCCUUGGUGAAAUUAUGAAAUGGUAUAAAAUGAACAUUUCCAAUUCUGUACUUGAAUAGCUUUUCAACUCAGGCCAUCACUACUUAGUAACAUUGAUAACAACAAUUAUUCGAACCCAUUUCCUCUGUAUAUCAGGUGAUAAGGCAGACGUAUGUACCCCCAACCCUAUACAACUGUACUCUCAAUCACCUCAACCAAAUUCAAAUUAAUUUAUAGAAGAUUGUCUCCAUCAAUAUUCAAACACCAUAUUCUUCAUUAAAUCAGGGAUUUCUAUGGUCGCUUAAGAGCAGUUCAAUUUGGCUCAACGACAGGAAAAUAUAUAUACGAUACAGCUGCCUUGUCAAUGCUAAACUCUUGCUUUUAAUAGCUUAAAGCAAAAACUUAAUCCCAUACUACUACGGCAAAUAUUAAGUUGAUACAUUCCAUUCCUGCCGUUGUUGAGUCAUUUCGACUCAAUCAACUGCUCAAUGUUAAAAACUGCUCAAUGUUAAACAAUCUAGUGUAAUAAUCAGGGGUUGGAUUAGUGGUAUAUAAAUGGCAUACAAUCUCAAUAGCUAAUUAAAGAUUAUGGAUUCCAAUAGUCACUUAUCUAAAAAUUAAUUUUGUAGGGUCAACUAGGUUAUCUCGUAGGAUUGGUCAGAGAUGUGCAUAAACUGAUAUGGACACUCCAACUCGAUUAUAUUAUGGAAUGAUGCUGGAUGCCAUACAAAAAUCCACAACUUGUCAAUUAACAUAUUCACCUUUGCAUUUUUACUUGUGAUCAGAAAUUGAGCUUUUAAUGAAAAAAAAAAAAGAGAAAAAAGAAAGAAUGCACAUGUGAUACCAAUUUUAAUGAUAUGAGAAUAUCAUUUAAAAGUGUAGACACAAAUGGUUUUAACUUCCAAGCACGAAACAAACAGUGAAAUGAGGUGAGGUACUAUGAACGUGAUUACAGAAAAUUAAGCCUAGAAGUUCCAGCGAGUACCUACCUAUCAGUCAUGUAGGAUCAUCAUCAAAGAGAGACUGAUAGAAUCUUUUCCUUUCCUCUGGCUCAAGUAAACCUCCUAGAUUAUUUCCUUGACCAUUAGAAUCAUCUGUUUCAAAAUCUUUCCUCUUGUUCUUCUCUGACCUGCCCAAAAGCAUUCCCUUCAUUCUUUUCUUUUCUAAAUUCAUCAAAUGAUGUCUCUUGUUAUAUUCAUGAAGUCCCUCCUGCAUCAAUUCUCCAAACUUCUCUUUAACAACCACUAAUGGAUCUUUCUCAAUCAGUUCUGAUCCAUUAUAACCUUCUCUAAGAACAACAGUGUAGAUCUGAUACUUGUUUGAGACAUAGAAUAUGCCAGGGUGCUUAAGCAGUAAUGCAUUCAGCUUCAAUGGCAGACCAAAUUCCUUGGUGAAAUGUCCAAGCUUUAUAAUUGAUGCUUUCUUCCAUAAUGUCAAUGACAAUAUCUCAUGAAUUAACCCCACUGUCCUCUUUUCCAUCUCUCUGGUACCUUGCACCAAGCCUGCAGGGUUUACAUAUGGUGAAACAUAUGGAGAGGCAUUAAAUUCAUUGAACUUUUCCCAUGAAUUUACCCAAGUUGUUGGCAGUGAGCAUGAGAAAGCUGGCUCAACCCCAUGCUUGCAAGCUGAAGAUUCUAUGCUGGAAAUUGCUAGUUCUGGUUUCCAAGAUAUGAGUUCUAUUUCCAUUGAGUUCUUUUUUCCAGUAUAAUUUACAAUCCGAAAUAUAUCUGAAUGUUUGGGAAUGAUUCUUAUCAAGAAGUCAUCCGGGAGCCCAAAAUUCCGCCUUAAUUCGCUGAGUUUCACGACAUUUAGUCUCUGAUUCGAAGCCAUCAUCAGCAAUUUUGUCAAACGCUUGACAAUAGCAGGCUCCUGCAUAUCUUUGACAACUUCUUCCUCUUCAACCAAAGCCAUCAUCCUCUUUGUCAGCCGGAAGUAGUGCUCGUCAUUGUCGAGAUAAACUUCAAAGCAGCAAGGGUACUUUUUCAGCCAGUUAAGGGCUUUUCCUUGAAGGUCGAGGGUUUUAAACUUCUUUUGGAGAAAUUUAACAGGUGCUGCCUGAUCGGGGCAACGAAGGAUGAUAUUCUUGAUUUGGUUAUUGGCAAUCCAUCGACGAUUACGAGAUAGAGCUGAUUCAAGGUCAGGAUCUUUCUUCAUUGACCAUAAAGAAAAGUUCCUAAGGAUGUAUUUGAGGGGACAAGGAGAAGAGAGCCCAGGAUCCCAAUACCUGGACUUCUGCAGUACUUUAUACAACAUCUUUUCCUAUGGUUAGAAUACCAUCAUACACUCUGGUUGUAGAGACAAGCCUGCCUGGGGGAAGACGAUUAAAAUGAACAAAGACAAAUCAAAAGAAUAUAAAUGAAAGAGGCAAGGAAGGAAGAAGAACCAAUUCCACGAAAGCAAUUAAAAUUUAAAGAGAUGACCGGAAUCGGUCUUAGUCAUCUAGCCAUGAAAAUGGCAAAGUUAAAUGGUUUGGGAUCAAGUCCACCAUAAAAUUCAAUGACAGGUCGUGCCACAAAGGUGAUCCUGGAAGCAAACCAUACAAAUGCCUAAGUUAAGCGACCAUUUGAUAGAGUUUUUCUAUCUUCUUUUUCUACCUCUUCCUUUUCGAAUUCUAAAACCAACUGUAACUAAGCUCCAAAAUUAUUUGGGUAAGAUCGACCUAAUUAAAAAAAAAAAGAAAAGAAAUUUGAAGAUUUGAUGAUCUUAAUCUAAGCAUUUAACUCAUUUGAUCCAAUUUCUCAAAUUAAACACCAGGUAACAACUCUACUUAAUCCAAUUGAGUUCAUUUGAAUUAGAGAAGAUAAAAUCUUAAAUAUGCUCAAUGAGUAAAAAUAGUUUUAUUGAAAACACAAGAAGUUACACAAAGCAUAAGAAAACGGCAGAGAUUUCAAACGGCGGACGGCGAACGGAAGCUUCAAUGGAGGCAGGCCGGUGACCGGACGAGAGGGGCAGAGUGAUAGAUAGAGUGAGAUUGGCGUGCGUGAGGAGUGUAGAGGGGAGGCUAUCUCGUGAGUCGUGAGUUCCCGAUUGGAGUUGGGACUGGGAGGGUUCGAUAAAAAGAAAAAAAAGAAAAUUAAUAUAUUAGGUUUCUUUAUUUCAUUGAUAGGGGUCGGGAGUUUGGGCCUAUGAUAAUAAUGUAUAUAUCACGUUUUGAAGGGUGAUUUUGAAAAGGGCCAAUCCAUUCAACCUUUCAACAUGUAUGUAUGGUAUUUUAGUAAUUAAAUUUAAGGAAAAUUGGAAUGAAUAACCAUUUCAGCAAUAAUUUUGAAAAAGGCUCGGGAGUUCAUUGAUAGUUUUGCUAUAUUUGCAAUUUAAAAAUGUUGUUAUAUUCUUAAUUAUUAUUCUUCAAAUGGCCAUCCAUUACAAUUAUCCUUUUAUUAAACUCGUCUCUAUUUUUAAUUAAUUUGUGUUAUAUAUUUACAAGUCUAAACAUAUAGCAAUUUAUAUUAUAACUCCUUCCUAAUAUCUCGGUCUCAACUUUAUUCAAUCCUAUUAAUUUCAAAAUAAGCAAAUUAAAUUUGAAUUUCAACAUAAUAAUAAAGGCUCUUCAAAUCAAUAAAAUUAUUAAUUAUUUUUCAAAAUUGCUAAAUUUUAACCAUCUAUGAAUUUUAAAAUAAAAAUUUAUUAUUUUUCAAUUACGGGAGAAUCUCUAAUUGAAUUUCAAAAUAAUAUAUAUAUUUUUUCCAAAAUGGGAAAAUUUAACUUGUUCCCGAUUUUAUCUUAAUUUUAGAUUAAUGAUUUGAAUAUUAAUAUAUGAGAAUUUCUAACUAUUAAUUAUAUUCUAAAAUAACCUUAACUAAAAUUUAAAUUAAAAAGUUUUUAUUUUUCAAAAUUGAAGAGUCUAACUUGUUGCUAUUUUAUCUCAAAAUAAGAUUAAUUAUUUGAAUAUCAAAAUAAUCAAAUUAUUAAUUAUUUUCAAAUUAGAAAAAUGUGAACAAUUAAUUUUAUUUUAAAAUAAUCUUAAUUGAAUUUUCAAAAUUCUCAAAUUAUUAUUUUUCGAAUUGGAGAAUUUCAACGGUUCAUUUUAAAACGCAAUACCUUUAAUUGUUACAAUUUCGAAAUAAUCAAAUCAAGCAUCUCAAAAUCAAGUUGACACCAAAUAAGAAUUAAUCAAAUUACCUCAAAUUUGGGAUUGAAUUGACUGAACUAAGGUGUGUGACACUUAUGUAUACGAUUAAUUGUUUGAGAAACCGUUAUGCUAAUGUUUGAUUAUGUACUGGUUUGGAUAAAUUGACUGUAUAUAUGUUGAACUGAAAGAAUGAUAUGAUGGUAGCUUAAAUUAUAAUUUGAGUUGAUUGUUUAAAAUGUUAGAAUGAAGUUAGGGAAAAUUGUUAGUUUUAUCUAUAGGAUAGUGUGCCUUGUAGGUGACCCACACGAUCACUACUUGUUGUGCAUCAUUCAGAGCACUAGACUGAUAGGUACAUCAUUCGGGAGCAUUGACUGAUAGGUGCAUCAUUUGAGAGCACUAGACUGAUAUGUGCAUCCUUCGGAGGCAUGAGAUUGGUUGUGUUCAUACUACAGGAUCACAAGACUGUUAUGAUGUAGAGUACUUUCCAAUAAAGAGUUAACAAUUUUACCCAUAACUGGACGAGUAGUGGGUCUCUUAGUGGGUAUAUUUAUACUCACUCUUUUAUGUUUAACUUUUUCAAACAAAGGUAAUACGAGAGGUAGACCGACGAGGGACAAGGAGGACACGUGAUCGCCAUAGGGAAACUUUCUUUCAAAAUUGCUUCCGCUUACCGUUUUUCAGUUUUGAGGAUUUAAAAUGAGUCUCAUGUUUAAGACGGUUUGCUUUUAAGUAAUUUAUAAACGAUACUUUAGAAAUUUUAUUUUGUUUAAAUUAGGGUUCGAUUGAAAUUUCUUUGAUAAUGAUUGUUUCAAAUAAAUUUUAUCGUAUUUCGUGUCAACCAAAGUGUUUUUGUUUAAAAUAAUGACUUCGACUUAAUCUGAAAAAGUUGGGUCGUUACAUGAUCGUUUAAAUUAAGGUAGCAAAAUCUAACAAUUUUUUAAAAAGAUUCUUUGAUACACGAUCGUUUAAAUUUGACUAGUUUAUUUCACACGAUCGUUCAAAUUUAGUACAAGAUCGUUUAAAUUUGAACAACCAAAUCUAAAAGAUUUUCUUAAAGAUGUUUUGGUAGACGAUCGUUUAAAUUUGUUUAUUUUCGUACACAAUCGUUUAAAUUUAGGCAACAAAAUAUAAACGAUUUUUUUAAAGAUUCUUUUGUAGAUGAUCCUUUAAAUUUGGUUAUUUUUGUAGACGAUCGUUUAGAUUUGGCUUAAAUUUGGGAUGUCAAAUCUAAACAAUUUUUUAAAGAUUAUUUGGUGUUUAAAUUUGGCUACACGUGAUCGUUUAGAUUUUGCUAUCUAAUAUCCCAACGAUUUUUUUUCAUGAUUAUUUAUAUUUGUCACAUGAUCUAAACAACCAAAUAACAAUUUGAAAUUUUUUCGUAAAAAAACAUAUUGUAUAUUUGGUAUACGAUCUUGAACCAAAUAACGAUUUGAAAAAAAAUAAAAGAAAAAUUGUAAAAAAAAGUGAAAAAGACAAUGAAAAGAAAAAAAGAUUGCAGAAGAGGAGAAGAAAAACGAUGAAAAGAAAGAAUACUGUCAAAGAUCAUAAAGAAGAGAUAAUAGAGAACGAUGGAGAAAAAAUCGAAAAGAAGAGGAAGAAUCAAAAUUGAAAAAUCGUUAUAAACCAGUAAGGGCAAAUAUGAAAUUCUUAAGAAAAAAAAGUCGUAAUGAGUUUUUUUAAAAAAUUGUUCUAUGGUUUUGCCACUUUGUUCUUUUUAUGAAAAUUAAUCUUGUUUUAAACUAAUUUGUAGACUAUAUCUUAUUUGUUUAAAGUUAUUUGUAUAUUAAUUACAUUUUUUAUAAUACAUCAUUUAGCAUUAGUUUUCAAAAAACUCGUGUAUGUUAUACAACUAGAAAACAAUAAUAGAAUUAUAACAAAUAAGUUUUUGAUAUGGCUUUACAAUGAGUAAAGAUUGUUUUGGAUGGUAGAUGGAUUGAAUCUUCCCAACAUCUGAUUAUCGUAUUGUUGAGGUAUAUGUUCCAGUUUCAUCUUCGUUUCAAGAAUUGGUAGAAUGUAUUCAAGGUAGACUUUUCCCAUCUUCCAAUCUUUCUGUGUCUCGUUUGAUCGUUUAUUAGAAUAACUGCAACAAUUUCAACCUUACUCAGACUGACGAGGAUACGAAGUCCUAAUAUGUAUAUGUAAUCAAUUUUAAGUUAUAAUUGUACAAGGCUAUGCAUAUAAAAAUAUCUUAAUAUAUCAAAUUAAGCUUACACCAUAUAUGUCACCAACGUUAAAGUCUUGACUUCUUGCAUGCUAUAGAAGUCAACAACAUCUUUGCGCAUAGUACACAAGUAUUUCUAUCGAUACUAAACAACUCAACUGGUAGUUGGUAAUGAAUGUCAGAAUCUUUGUCCAUUACAUUGUCAGCAAAUCUAAGUAUUGUCUUCAAAGGUAGUGGCAUGUUGAUAGUGAACCCACAAGUAAACUCUUUUUCAUUAGCAACCUAAGAAAGCCAUAAAUCCAAUAAUAUCAAUUUUAUAAUGCAAAUAGCAACCGAUGCAACAAAUUGAGUAAAACUUAACUAGUUAUUGAUAACUUGUAGAAAGACAAUUUAUUAUAGCCUUUUAGUUAGAAUGAUUAAACUUUAACAUGGGAAAAAGAAAGAAAUCGCGUAAAAAAAAUAGAUAAAAUUAUAUGAUCACGCGUUACAAGUGUCAAAAGUGUAAAGCGGUCGUUUAUCAAGAUUUUUGUCACACCCCCUCUCGAACCACCUGCUCUUAGCCCGAGAGACAACGUGAAGUCAACAGACAUCGUCCUCCUCCCAACGAUUCCUCCUCCCAACGAUUCCAUCUAACCCUGCUCAAAUAUUUAACCUAAUAAACAUACUAUUCUUAUAUAAGAGACAUAUUACAUUCAAACACAACACAAUAGACUCUAAUAUAAACUCAAUACAAAUAUCUGAUGCAACCCAGUAAACUAAAAAAGAACAGUAACUUGAUAAAAACAUUUACGACUAAUGUUCAAUACCAAAUUGCAACAAUUUGCAAGACUAACCCUCACUACCCACACUUUACUUUAUGUUUACAAAUUUCAACUUAUGGCUAUACAUACUCUUAUGCACAAACUUCACACACGUAUAGAAAAUAGAUCUGAAAACUUCUAACAAACCGUGAUAGUGUGUCAGAGGCACAAGGUGCACAAUCUCUACCUGAAAAAGUGGAAAAGCAUUUUGAAAGGGUGAACUAUAACACCCAGUGAGUGACUCGUUUAUAAAACCAACAUUCUUAUAAAUUAGCAAGUGAUAGCUUCUCAAACAUACAUAUAAAUCUAUAAAGCAAAGCAAGCUCAUGUUUUUCAUGUAAACAACCUUUCAAAUACUCCGCAAGUAUGUUUAUAAUCUCUGGCAAGACAUUUCAUAUUUAUAAAACUAUAUAACUAGCAUGCAUUCACUACCUUGUGUAAGGCAAACCCCAAUACAACUAAAGUUUACUAGCUCUAUGCAUUCACUACCUUGUGUAAGGCAAACCCCAAUACAACUAAAGUUUACUAGCUCUGUGAUGUAGUGUGGUCUGCGGAGCACUCUCAUUGUCUUUGUUAUAGUGGGACCCGCACAACACUCACUUCAACAUCGUUGUCAUGGAGUACACUCAACAUCAACAACAAAAUAUAACAUGUGUGCACACGGUAUCCCUAGCCUCAUGCUUAAUAUCUCAAUCAUGUAGUCAAUGGAAAUCUAAGAAAUUACACGAAAAUAUUAAAACAUGCUCACUUAUAUCUUUCUUACUUUAAACUCAAGCCUACUCAACUUACUCAUGAAAACGUGGAAGCUUUUAAAUAUUUGCUAAAAUACAAAUCAUACUUUGCUCGAAUCAAUAUCGUUUCAAAUAUUUGUUAGUACCUCAACAAUCACAUGGUAAUAUAUAAAUCUCGUUAAAUAAUCUAAACUUGAAACUCAUGUUUGAAAACUAUUCGUAGAAACCAUGUUCAUUUGUAAACUUAUAGUCAAGCAUAUAUAAAACAUUUAGACUUAUGUAACUUUUAGAUUUUUUUUUUUUUUGAGUUAAAUUCCUGGUCCGUAGACUUGACCUAUCUCCUCUUGACCUAUCAAACAAACCAAAGUCGGGUAUCAGAACCUUAAAUUUUCUUUUCCUUCCAUAACAUGCUUAAAAUGACAUGUUUCUUAUGAUAUUCUUAAGAUAAUGCAUCUUUUUAUUAUUCAUGAAUUCCAACCUAAAAAAAUAAAAUCAACUUUCACAAUUCUUUUUUCUCCCAAAAAUUCUUCAGUGACCCAAUUUCAAUCACUCGUAACUUUUUCAAUUCUUUACCAAAAUUAGUGUAUUUUAUAUCAAGCUCUUCGUUUGGAAGACCUCUGCAACUUACUUAAAUGAGUAAAGAUCAAAUUCUCAGUAGAUUUACUCAAGAAUCCCUCGAAACAGAGCUACUCUAAAAUCACAAUCUCUACAACCCUUUGUCUUCUUCCUGAAAUUUACCUCAAUUUUAGUCACGUUUAACCCAAAUUAACUUCAAGAAAGUUGUAGAUACUUGAAUAAGCUUUCCAAACCAUACCAAAUAAAGCUUCUAACGCUUCUUCUACACUUAAGUCAACUCGAAAAAUCAAGGAUUACUCGGAUUUUAGUUCAAAACUGAUAAGUUAUCUUCUCCUUCAAAAUCCAACCACUUAACGUUAGAAUUAGCUCAAGGUUGCUUCAAGAAAUUUUUAGAAAAUGAGUCAACUUUCGAAUCAAAUAGACCUCAGCUUCUGGUUCUCCUUAUGUAAAUUGCAGUCAACAAAAAUGAGAGGUAAGCUGUGUGUUCCCAAUCUGUCUAAGUUGUAACUUCAACUUGGAUUUCUCUUAUCUUCUUCAACCCGAUUCUCCUCAAAGUAUUCUCCUCUCCUCUCACAAUCUUCUCCUACAAAAGCUCUGCUAAAAUGGAUGAGAAAUGAUGAAGAAUGGUUCUUAGCGGUGGAGAAAUAGUUUGUGGUGGACCUUAAAGCAUGUAAGACAUUUGCAUCGUAAACACUCACCUCAACCUUCUCCAUUUCUCUUUUCUUUUCUAUUUUAAUUUCCCUUCCUUUUCACUUCUUCAUUUCUUAUUUCUUUAUUUCCUUUUUGUUUUCUUAAAACCAAUAACAACAACCCUUAAUCCUAUGGUUUGGAAAGAACAAGAAAGUCUGAAGUUUGCAAUUUUCAUGUUUAAAUGCAGGUUUUUUAGGCGAAAAAAAGGAGAGGUAGCUACGCGACAAAGGUCAGGUGAUGAGACACGUGACAAUCAGGCAAUAAGUGAAAUGGUGCUAAUCCACGUUGCUAGAAGUCAAGAAUGAUUGGCGUGAGAAUGUCAGAAAACAAUGACGAAAGAAUUAAUGACGCUUAGAGGAUGUUAAGUCUCAUCAGUCAUUGCUUAUAAAUACAAGGCUAUCUCCUACAAACAAUGACAAAUUCUUUAUGUGUUUUAGGUGAGAGCUUAUAGUAUAGUUUAGAUACAUCCAUACCCCAUUCUCCCCCUUAGUUGUAAUGAGCAAAAAAAAAUGGAACCAAUAUGAGCAUGAGAAAUUAUGGUCAGCCACUCAACUCUUUUCUUUAUGCUUUCACAGUUUAUACUUUCUUUUUACUUUGUAUUUGUAAUUUGAAUCCAAUGGCUGAAAAAUCUAAAAGUUUUAUUCAUAAAUGCAAUUUAUUACCACUUUCACUCUCUCACAUUUCUUUAUCUCUUCAUAGCAGUAGUUCUUUGUAAGCAUGAUAUAACACAAGGCAUAACUAGUAUUAUCAGAGAAUAUGAAUGUUUGUAUUGUUUAAUUUAUCUUGUUCAGUUAAGUGUUGUAAUUAAUACUUUAUUUUAUUUGAGAGAAAAAAUGAAGUAUUGGAUGUUUGUCACUUGAGAGAGUAAUGACUUGGACUUUACUAAACAGACGAUGAAGAGAAAGUAGAAGUACAAUCUUGUCACUAAAGUCCUCUUUAACAUACAUAUCAGAAAUGCGAGUGUGUGUGGCUAUAAGGCACCAAGAGGUUGUUUUCCUUAAAUAGGAUGAAUUGUAGAUAAUGCAAUCAUAUGAAUUAGAUACAAAUCAUCUAGUAACUUUGAGUAUUUGCAAGGCGAAUAAAGUAUGGCAAAGACACCGAAAGAAGGCCUGCCCUAAAUUUUAAGUUAACAAAUGAUUUGUAUUGUCUCGUCAACUAAUUAGCCUUGUGUUGAGUUGGGUUACAUAUAGACAUUUCUUUAUUUACAUUGUCUAGGCUAAAUUGAGUUUAUAUCACACAUAACACCACUACAUCCCCUCCCAUCUUGUUUCUCCGUGCAUGUAGUAUAGACAUACUUAGAUUUAGAUGAUAUACUAUGAAUAUAGUUAUACUAUAUAUUGUUACCACAUGAAGUAAGACCACACGUUAUGACCUUAAGAAACAAAGAUUCCCUAUGUUCUCAACACUGUUUUACCUAUGAAACCACUAUUUUUGCUCACACUUGGACAAGAGAGAGAACAACUUGUACGCGAUUGACAUAUCACUAGGCAUAAACAAUGCAUAAGUAGGUGAGCCCCUUUGAUCGCAUUACUCUAGCUUAGUUGUUUAGUCUAGUCUCAUACUUAGAACCAAAAUUACAUAUUCACGAUAGCUCAAAAUACAUCAUAUAUACACUUUAAACGAGAGGUAAGUAAUUAACUCAAUGUUUUGUUUUGUUUUUCGCACAUCCUUGACAUCCUCAUGUUGAUCAUUCAAGAUGAUGGAUUCACCUCUUGUUUAACCACCUUUGUCUUCACCUUCUUUUUCGGUUUAUUGUUGCAUUCAAUCUCAUAAUUUAAUCUUGGUUUAGAGCAAGAUUCAUGUCUAGAUGUUGGUAUAGAUUGUCUUCUUUAAAUAAACCUCUAAUUCUUUUACUCACAAAACAGAGAUUUUCAUUCUCUUGACCUCUUCAAUUUGGUCAUUCCCUUUGUUUGAACAUUUCGCUACGUGGAAGUAAGCAGUUGGAGUGAUAAACCCGUCAACUCCACAUACAUGUCCACUAUGCUCUUAUGUACCCAACACUUGUGUCAAACAUCAUUUGAAGACAACGUUUUGUUCAAAAUAAGUCUCUGAGAUCUCAUUCUAAAAUGCAAAAAUUUAAUUAUAAUUUCAUAAAUACUUGUAUAAGACUUUAAUAAAUGUAAAAUUGUAAUGUGUGUUAUUAUCAUAUUCACAACUUGUUGGACGUGUUAAUUGUCGUAUUUUCCUUUUUUUGUCUACAUGAGCCUUCUUCAACAUGCUAGUUCAAUCAAGAUUACCUUCUUCUAAAAGUACAUUUUUCAACCUUUUCAAUGUCCACAAAAUUAGAUUAAUUAAACUAAUUUAAGACUAAGAAACAUAAACUAAUUCUUACCAAUUUAUGUUGAAGAUUAGUCUAACCUUUUUUUGAAUAAAGUCCAAACUAUUGUACUUAUUUUUGCUUUGUCUCUCUUGUUAUAGUUUUCUUUUGUUCCAUUGUAUUGCUAAAUUUUAAAAAGGUGCUUAGAGGCUAUGCUAAUAUUAUAUAUGAAUGAAAUAAUUAUAGUGUAACCUUCAUUAAGUUAACUUUUAGCCUAAUUGAUGUGGCAGACAACUACACUAAAUUAAAUAGCUUGUCAUAAAAAUUUUGAUCUCACCCAGCAACAUUUUUUUUUAAAAAAAUCCACGAUAUAACAUUGAAAGUUGAAUUAAGUUAGGUUUAAAUAAUAUAUUCACAGUUCAACAAUGGUUUUUAGAAGAACUUAAUCUCAACUCUUUUUUCUCAGACUUGAUCCCGUGUGUGUUUCUUUCUCUAACUCUAAAUUGAUCAAUUAUUUCAUAGUUAAAAUUAUCUAUACAUUACAUAGUUAUACUUUAUAAUAGAACAAUAUAUAUCUACAUCAAAAAAAUAAAAAGCAAACUGACAACAUAUUUAAAUAAUGUUAGAAAAAUUUAGGAGAUUCAAAUUGGAUUCCCAUUCCCCAUCAAUUUUGGAAAUGAAAUAAGUAAUUAAUGAAGCUAACUAGGUUAAUUUUUUAAAUUUUGUUUUGGCAUCAAUAAAGAUUCAUUCCUAUCUAACUUCUCUUUGAUAAUAUUUAAUUCAUUAGUCAACAUAGCCUUCCUAGUUCUUAUUCCCAAAAAAGCGAAAACAAAAGAAACCCAUUUAUUAAUGAAUUUUAGUAUUAAAAACUUAGAAAUUAAUUAUAUAAUAAUUUGUAUCAGCAAACUUUUGUAUCACUUAUAGUGUUCCAAAAAGAAAAAGAUAAGGUAUAGCCUUGUUUAUCACACAUUAUACUAAAAUAGCUUCAACAUAUUUUUUCUCCUUGAUCUCACCAAUAACCUUAACACUGACCCAAACUACAAAAUUCAUUUGUUUAAAAAAAAAAACUACUUCUCACCAAUGAUUUUUAAUUCUUUGGACAUUAAACUUAAUUUCUCUUAUUAAAUAAUAAAAGAAGAAAACAAAACCAAUUUACUCCCCUAAGAUUUGGGGUUGCCUUACUUCAAAUAGUAGGACUAAUAAUUGUAUUCUAACUGAGACUCUAAGUUUUAAUCAAUAAAUUCAAAAUGCAAAUUUAGAUUGAGAAAUGAUAUUUAAUUUCUAGGUUUCAAAUUGUUUCACUUAAAAUUUGUGUAUGAAUUUUGUUUUAAAUUGUUAUAAUUAAUUCAUUCGAAUUUCUAGAAUGGUGGUCAAUACACAUCUUCAGUUAUAUAACAUAAAAGGUAGGCAUAAGAAUUAAAAUUUCCGACAUAAAAAAAGAAAGAUAAUAUAAUUCAUUUACGUCCCAACUGUAUACUAAGAUUUAAAAGAACACUAUAGCGUAAGAAAUUGAAUUAGUAACUCCGAUAUAUAAAGCUCUCAUAUAUAAACGUUGGGUAGGGCACAAAACUCGUGCAUAGUUUUUGUAAGCCAAUUUUGGGAAUGAGAUUUUUCUUUUCUAAAAAAAACGUCUAAUAUUCCAUCUUCAUGAAUUUAAGUCAUUUCAGUUUCUUGGAUUUUGUCCUUAGUGUGAUCAUGUGAUGUACUUAGUUUGUCAUCUUAACGUUUUCAACUAAACUAAUUAAAUUAAAAAUUUUUAAUAUAUUAUUAUUGUUGUUAUUAGUAUAUUAAUCACUACACGAUAUUCAUCAAACAAAACAUUUUUUUUUUUUUUUUUGCUUUUUGAUUAAUUUUGCGUUAUUGCUUUUCUUUCUAAUUCAAACAAACUUAUGAGAUUCUACACACGCCAUCCCACCUUUUUUUUUCUUUACAAAACAAACUAAAAUCUCUUGAAAUUUCUUUCCCUCUUUUUGUUUUUGGAUGAAUUUAAACACAACAAAUGCAUAAAAAAAAAAAAUUAUUUAACGAAGUCACCUUUCUUUUUAUCUAUAAUAUAAAACCGUCAGUUACGUACGUUGUUGUAGCUUAACAACUAGAGUCCACUCGCUCCGAUUAGCUUCGUCAAGCCAAAGGUUAUAGCCAUAGCUAACCAACCUCCGAUCAACACUCUAGCAGCUGAUUUGAUUGGUGAUGCUUUUCCAAGAAUGGCACCUAGCCACCCGAACACGGCGAGAGCUAACGUCACCGAUGCCACGACCACUGCGAGUCUUACUUUAUAUUCUCUUAUAAAGGAAGCAGCCAACAAUGGGACCAUUGCUCCAAGAGAGAAGGCCAAGGCUGAGGCUGCAGCUGCUUGGAGUGGAUUUGGUAGCUUUUCUUUAUCUUUGCUGUCUUGCCCUUGUACUACUCCUCCUUCCAUAUUAUUUGAUCUUUGUAAUUUCUCUCUUUUUAUUUGAGCCAUUUCGAUGUCUAGUUGAGAGUAAACAGACACAAAUUCGCCAAUCGCCAUACUACACGCACCAGCUACUAGACCGGCGAAACCGGUGAGGAUCAUGGCCUUGAUGUCUUGUUUGACAGCUCCAACUCCCAUCAUGAGCGACGCGGUCGAGACAAGGCCGUCGUUGGCGCCGAGUACUGCGCGCGCGUAGCCAUUGUGCGCGUUUUGAGUAGUCGAAUUCCUUUGCUUGGAUCUCCAAAGUAGAUUGCUGUUGCUCCAAGUUAUUUAGGUUUAAUUUGUUGGGAUCCAUCUGGGAAGGGAAUUAAUUAAAAGGAAGAAAAGGGAAUGAGGUUUGAAGAAAAGAAAUGAAAGAGAUGAUGAUGAGAAGAGGAAUUGUGGAGGACACACGCCUUGAAGAAGGGUAUUUAUGGAGGAAAAACCAAAAAGCUUUAUUUGGGAUUUUGAAGAUGAAACAACAAAGUGGAGUUCACACACAAGAGCCACUUUAAAAUUAAUGACAAAAUUAAAAGAAACCAACUUUUCUUUUCUUUUUUAAAAAAUAUUUUUAUCCUCUUUUAAAAGUAGACAUAUACUCCCAAUGGAGGAGGCAGAUUUUCAUCCUUUUUUUUUUCUUCCAAAAUGUUGCUCAAUAAUGAAAAUGUCCAUUCUUGCAUAUCAUUUGUAUAUCCAUCAACAAAUGUUUCAAAACAGUGGUCAAAGUUUAUUUAAAGCAUAAUGAUUAUGCUCUUACAAUUGACCUUCAAUACACAAACAUUAGUUAUACACUAUCCUAUCCUACCCCGUGGUGUGAAAUUGAAGCAUCAACUUUUGAAAUGAUAAUUACAAAUGGUUGAAUUUAUACAUUUGUUUAUUAGUUUUCAUAGGAAACAUUUUACUUAUCUAACAAACACUCUUCUAAAAGAGUUCAUUCAUGAUUCAUGAUUCAUGAUUCAUGUUCUUUUUGUAAAAUAAAAACAAGGUCUUUAACCCAAAAAAGUUAAGAAGUAGGAGUUGAAAACUUCACUCUUUGUUUGUUUCAAGAAGUUUGUGAGUUCCACUGCUCAAAACAUUAAUUUUAAACUUUAUCAGCUCCUUAACUACAUUGUAGAGUCCCUAUUCCUCGGAACUCCUUACAACUCACUAUUUCACCUCUUUCCAAACACCUGUGAAAGGAUUAAAUUUUACUAUUAACUUUGAUGCACACUUAUUUUUAGGUUAAAUUGUAAAUUUGUUCACUACAACCUCAAAAAGAAUUAGAAUUUUAUUCCUAUUAUUUAUAACUAUAAUUUAUCCCUAACUUGAUAAAUCAUCAUAAAUACUCGUUGAUGUGAUUUUAUCAAACUAUAGAAAACAUUUACGAGGUUUCAACCAAUCAUCAGAAAUAAAUUCAAAGCAUGAGAAAUAAAUUCAAAGUAGCAUAGAUCAAAUAUCCAAUUUAACCCUACAUUUAUUUAUUUAUUUAUUUGGAGUUCAAUUUAGAAUGAGAAACUUGGAAUCUCAAACCAGUGGUUAGAAUUUUGAUUAGUAAAUUGUUUAUGAUUAUAAGGGGAAAAAAGUUAUUCAAAAGUGACGCUUAGGAAAAUUAAUUAAAAAAACAAGGAAGAAAAUUCUAUAGAAAUUAGAGUGGAAUAAUGCAAAAUUCUGUCCACCUUUGAAGAAAUGUAAAAAGCUCAAACAUUGAGCUGAUAGAUCAAACAAUGGUGGCCUAUACAGCAAAGUUAAAAAGGUUCCUUUCAUUAUUAUAUAUUAUAUUAUCAUUCACGUAACAAUUAUACUUUAAUCUAACACCUCAACAUAAUAAUUCAACAAUAACCCAUAAGUAUUACCUAAAAUUUUAAAAACAAAAUCGAAAAUGAUUUGGUGCCUAAAAAUAUAAUCAUCAUUAUUAAUUUCAGAGGUCCAUAGUUUAUUUUGAUGAUCUUUUGUGAAAUAGGUCACGUUUACUUCAACUGCAGCUUAAUCGGAGUAAAAUGUGGAUUCUGGUAGAUUAUGUUUGUUAUUAUUGUUUGCUUGCUUCCAAAUCUAUAAUCAAAACCCAUAGUUUCAUUGAAGAAGGAAAGACGGUCAUUUAAUUGUGCUUGAAAAUUACAAAUGACCCAUUAUCUUUACCUGUAUUAUAAUGAUUACUAUUACAUAUAUUAUUACCAUGAUAGUAUGAAAAUUUUAAAUCUGUCACGUUUAUCGUUAUAGUUUUACAUUCUUAGGUUAAACAAUAGCAAUAAUAAAAUAAUUUUACAUAAAUAAGAAGAAAAGAAUCCAAUUAGAUUUGCAAUUAAGAUUUCAUUAAAGGAAUUUGAUUACAAGGGUUUGGUAUGGUAGCAAAAUAAAAGUUGGAUUUUAAUGUAGAAGAUUAUAGGUUUAAAAAUUAUUUGACUUUAAAUGGAAAAUUAGAAAGUGAGUUGUAAAAUCCAAGUAUUAAGAAUAUAUUAAAGAAAUGGAUGAAUAAGAAUUUAGAAUAGUUAGAAAAAUGAAAAUAAAAAAAAGGCUAUAUAAAAGGAACCAACGUGAGAAAAGUAAUAGGAAGCUUUAAAAACACAAAAGUAAUUUUAGGUUUAAUUGGAUUAGUUACAUUAAUCCCACUUUUGGAUCAUCUUCUAAUCUGCCGUCGGUGACUUUUUUUUUAUAUAUAUAUAAAUGAAUUAACAGCUUUUUCUAUAAUUAUUUAUGUUUAAAUAUUAAAAAGAAAAAUAGAAAAAGGGGCUUUCGGUUUUAUUUGAAAAGGAUCCAAAGAAAAAGAGAGAAAAAGCAAAAUAUAAAAGUAGUGUGAAGGACUAAAAUAUUCCAUUUCUGAUUUUUUUUCGUCCCUAAAAUCCUUUUUCUUUUGGGUUAAUUUUGUUGUUACUUAAGGAUUGGAAACAAUUUUUAUCGGACUAUGCUCGUAAUGGGAUGAAAAUGGGAAAUUGACGAAACUAACACCAUUUUGGUUUUACAUUUAAAAAUUAACGCAGUUUUGAAAAACUCAACAUUUUAUUUUUCUUAGUCAAUCGACCUCGAGAUUCUUUACAAAAUUUAAUAAACUAUUUCCAUAGAAUUUCUCGGUCUCUCUCGGCCAAGAUUACCAUCAAGAUAGUGAGUGAUAUACCAAAUGACCAAAAUAUACCCUUGGAAUACUUUGUUUCUAAUUUUUGUUUUUAGUUUUUAAGUUUAUGUUUUUAGUUUUUUAUUGUACGUUCUUAGUUGCUAGUUUAUGUUUUUAGAUUUUUAGGUAGAAAUCUGAGGUGGAUGGGAAAUCUAAUGUAGUUAUUAUUGAGAUGUUGAGUUAAUCUAGGUUUAUGUUAUUGUUUAUCAUGAAAUCCUUCGAAGAAUCGCAGCUUUUUUCAUGAAUCUAGGUAAGUGCAGAUGAUGAAUCUCGGCUAAGAUUUAUGAUUUCAUCCUGGGCUUCUCCCGAGAUCAGAUGAGUUUCACAUGGAUUUUGUAGAAUUUUCUUGGGUCAAUUUUGCCUGAGAUGGGGACCAAGACUUACCACACAGAAUGCAUGCAAAAUCCUAUUCUCGUGGCAUUUCGGAGCAAUGUUGCCAAGUUCUAUUGCUUAUUCAUGAAAUCUCGACCGAGAAUGGCCUAAGAUUAAUAUUGUUAUUGCAAUACAUUUUCGUACAUAAACUUGAUGCUCAUACAUAAACUCGAUCCUCAUACGUAUAUCUCAGUCAAGCUUUUUAUAAGUUUACCCCAAGAUUACACAUGUGUUCAUUGUUUUCUUUGUAUAUUUGCAAGAUGUCUCAUGUGUUUACUUGUUUUGGUGGUGAAUGGAAGGAGACUGAGAGAAUAUGUUAGAGGACAGCUUAAAGGGUUGAAUGUUGACGUGCGUAUCAAGUAUGAGGAUUUUAUGAGGGAAUAUGUAGAAUAACUAGGACAAACUCCAAUGAGCAUGAUUUAGUCCUUAGGUGUAUACAUAAUGUCAAACCGUAUAUAUGGGCUUCUGUGAUUGGCAAUCAAGAAGACCUUGAGUUUUAUUUAGGGGGGAUGACAUCUCACAGGUUAGCCAUUUUGGUUUCUAAGGUUUCAAAAUCAUUCCCGAGGAGUUCUAUGACUCGAGUGUUCUAAUAUUCCAAUGAUCCACGAAGUGUGUAGUAUUUCAAUGGCGAGGGAAAGCAAUAAACCUGAUGCCCCUAAUCCCAACCUUAAAUGCUCACAUAUAUUGACUAAGGUCUGCGAGCUGAUUCUGUUCACUACGAAUAUGUGUCCCUUAGAAUUGGGAGACAAUGAAAAUGGCUUCGGUGGCAUUAACAAUGACUAGUUUGAUAUGUAUGAUAUAGACUUGAGAGUAGAACUCGGAGGUGAUGAUGAGAAUUUUGGUCUUCAUGGUGUUGGUAUGUCUUAAGCAGAUGUCCAAGUAGAUCAUGAAGAAGUACCACUUAAGGAAGGUGCGGUGGAAAGUGACGAUGAAGAAGUUCCUCCAUCAAUUGGCAAGCAAAUGCGAAAGCGUGUUAAAAAGUUGUUGGAACGCACCAUUUUUGUAUCUGUCGAAUCAUACCUAUAAUUUUUAUGUAAAAGCUAAAGAGGUGGCAAGUUUUGCAAUUAUUAAAAAACAAGUCGAUUCUUUGUUUUUUAAUAAGAAAUAUUUGGCAAAGAAACUUGUAGUGUUUGCCAUAAUGCAAAACUUUUAGUUUCGUGUGCAUAGAUCCAACAAGAAUUUUUAUGUCCUUAGAUGUUCCAACUCUGCCUAUUCAUGGAAACUAAGGACCACAAAACUGAAAGAUUUUGAUCUGUUUAAGGUCUCUAAGUAUGAGAGGACGCACACAUGCCAAAAAGUCCAGAGUAGACAAGACCAUAAGCAAGCUAAGAGUUGGGUUAUAGCCAAACCGAUCCAGUCGAAGUACGAAGACGUUAGUCGUGGUUAUAUGCCCAAAGAAAUAAUUCAGAAUUUCCCAAAAGAGUUUGACAUCGAUCUGUCAUACGAUAGGACUGAGGGCUCGAGAGGCCACAUUUUUUAUGGUAAUGGGGUCCUCCAGAGAAAUUUACUGUUUAUUGGAUUGGUAUGGAGAACAUUGAAGAUUGCCAAUUCGGAGACUCAAUAUAAUUUUGAGGUUGAUCCCAAUGGUCAUUUUUGAUAUGUAUAAAAGGUGCUUCGGGUAGCCAUAUAUGGUUUUUUGAAUUGCAUAAGGCUAGUUUUGGUGGUUGAUGUGGCUCAUUGCAAGGGAAAGUACAAGGGUAUUAUGCUCGUGGUAGUGUUUAUUGACGCAAAUAAGGAAGUGUAGCAUGUCACAUUUGGGUUGGGUAACAAAGAGAACGACAAAUCAUGGACCUGGUUCAUGACACACUGUUACGAACAACUAUCGGCGAUGUCAAUGGGCUAGUGUUCGUAUCUGAUCGACAUAAGAGCAUCAUCAAAUUCAUUGCACAAGUCUUCCCCGAUAAAUUCCACGCAUUGUGUAUGUGAGGCUCUGAUCGCAUGAUGCCCACACAAUAAAGACCCUGUGGCAAGUAUGCUGAGAGAAGAAAUUUCUAACAAUAGAAAAUAUAUUAUGCGAAAGGAGUAUGCGUGAGACAUUGACCCAAAGAAAGGAAUUCCGAUUAAAGAGGAUCCUCGAUGAAAAGCCAUUUCAGAUAGGAUUAUAGAACAUUCUGCCAAGGAUCAUUAAAAAGAGAAGGAGGCAACACGAAGAGAAAUGCUUGUCUAAGUCAUAUCAGAUUAGUGUAAGCAAUGCGAUAAGAGUAAGCAAAGAGGAAGAAUCCUGCGUUGAAUGUCAAAAGUUGGGCGUUUAAUAAUGCGAAAAGAAGUACCUAUGCCUACGAAAGUGUGGCGAGAAGUAGGUGUCCUGUAUUGACCUAACUAGACGAUCUAGAAAGUAUGUAUCUGAUGUUUUCGAGAAGAUAUGGAAGAAUCUAGUGAUUAAACAGUUUGACUUUUCAAGAAGAUAAGAUGUGCAUCUCAAGGGAAAGUCAAAUCAUCGCUAAUGCUCAGACCACGUGUCAAGAUGGGUUGGCUGCAUGACAUGGCAAAAUGGCGAGGAGACACGUGUAAAGCGUAGAAGUGACCAUACAAGAAGACUACUAUACAUAGGGCUAAAAAUUAAAGGAAGAAGAGAGUCUUGGUUGAUGAAAGAUAACAUUUCUGUUGAUAGGGACAAGAGGAAUUUCGGAGUACUAAGUGACAAGAUAAGAGAACCAUUAUGGGAAAGAGGAGUCCAGAAGCAUAGAAGGAAGGAAUUGAGGAAAAAUAUAUGUGUUGUUAAGCAUUAAGGUCAUGCGAAAGCUAGUUCUAGGGCUUUGUAACCAAGCUAAGGAGGAAAGACGAAGUGAUUUUGUAGUCUUGCAUGACGUGUUAGCUAUAAAAGUUUCUAUUACGCCUGAGGAUCCAAUUGGUAAGUGAUUCGCUCCUUAGCACAAAUGGCUCAGCUCAAAAGGUAGGGGAGUGCAAUAUCUAAAAUGGUGAGGCUUAGCACAGGGAGCCACAGAGCUGAGUCAAAAAAAGGGUAACCCCAAAUGGAACCACUAAGAGAGGUGGUUAGACAAUCGAGACAAAGGACUAAGGUGUGGCUUUACACCUCUAGGAGCCUGCCAUGAGAAGUAGUGUUUAGCGGAGUAGAGAGAAAAGGGUUAUUGGGAACUAUCUUAAGUUGAGAUGUUGAUGACUCGAGGGGAAGGGGUUGAAGAAAGCAGUUUCGGAUUUCUGAAGACUUCGACGUGAAGAGCUGCACCUUGGUGACAAAGAGAGAACAAGACAUAUUCCUACACGAUUAGGCGAACAAACAAGGCAUCAAGUUGAAAAAGUUGUGCCAGGUAAAGGGAGACCUAAAGUUUAUUUUUAAGACUCAUUGUAAGAAAAAGUCUAAGCUCUAUUUGUACUUUAUCGUAAAAUGUUAAGUUAAUAAAGAAAGAGAAGUUGUACUCAUUUUGUUGUAUUACUUUAUGAAUGUCGCAUGAGUAGUUUAAAGAAUUUGUUAAGCUAAGUAUUAAAGGCAACACAAUAAGACUAAGCUAAAGAAAGUUAAGUUUUAGUUUUCCUCUGUGUUGUGUUAAGUAAGCUUGAAAUUAAGCUAUGCGUUUAAGUUUGAUAAAGAAGAUGUUCCGUUAACUAGCCGUUCAACGUUUAUCACGCUGUGUGUUUGCAUUGAAGGUCUAGGCAGCAUGCCUCCACUUAGUCGCAAAAAGUGACUUUGGGGCAUGGUGUGAUAGUGUAUCCAUCAUUUGAGUUUGAACUCGACAAAGAAGUUCAAUAGUGAUAACAUGUGUGCAAAUUUCAUGCUAGCUGCAAAAGCAUGCUAGGAGCUUGUAUUUUAUGUAUUAUUAGAACUAGUUGUCACGUUUCUCGAGAGUGUAAGAAUAUCUGAUCAAAGUGGGUUUGUCGAGGUGGGCCCGUGUACAUUAUGGGGGAAUGUGAUAUGAUCAAAUGAUGACCAAUAUCGUGGAUCAACACGGUUUUGAAGGACACAGGGGCAUUGCCGAUAACCACUUUUCUUGACCACAUAAAAUCUAUGCACUAGGUGUGGUUCGUCGAACGUAGGGAGAUAGCGUUGAGUCGAGAAACUAUAUUAUCUUACCACAAUGAGUCCUUACUGAAGUUGGCUGAUCUGAGGUCCAGAAGGUACGUUGUGUGUCGAAUAGAUCAUAAUGAUUUGGAGAUUGUGGAUGGUCAUUUGUAAUCCUCAUGCCAAUUUAGCCGAUAAAACACGCAUGCGCGACGCGUUCAGUUACUACAAAAAAAUUUGUUCGCAUGCACUCGCCACUUGUAGGGUGAGGGAUAUCGAUCCGUACACAUUAUGCUUCCAUGCCUACUACGUCAAGUCCUAGUUGGCCAGUUAUUUAGAACAUGUCUUUUCGGUAUGUCAUGUCUUCGAAUGGAAAACUACAAAAGGUUUUGUUGAUAGUCAUUUUUACCACCAUGAAUAGUUGGUCGGUGGCAAAUGAUUUGCAUCCCGUCAAACAAUGAAAUCGAGAAGAAGAUUCACCAGUGUUUUUGAUGCAAAGUUGUAGGCCAUAAUAGGAAGAGAUGUAGAGCCAGAGUUGUUGAGCAAUAAUACAUUUUUAUUGUUGUAUUUUGUGCUUUUUGUAGUUUGUAAAUGAAGUUAACAUAGUUUUAUAUGUGUUUUGUUUUCAAACACGAUAAUGCAUAAAAAAUCUAAUUUUCUUUUUCAAUCCAUCUUUAUAUACACAAGCAUGCAGCAAACAUAUCAUUCAGUAUGCCUUCCAUUAAGAAAAUGGAGAAAACUAAAUUGGAGUCCAUACAUAUACAAUAAAGGAAUGAACUUACGAAAAUUGAGAAAAUUAGAUUGGGGUCUAUACAUAUACAAUAAGUGAAUGAACUUAAUAAAAUUAAGAAAAUGGAGAUUGGGGUCCAUACAUAUACCAUAAAGGAGAUGAGCAUAAGAAAGUUGACAAAAUUAGAUUGGGGUUCAUGCAUAUACAAUAAGGGAGUGAACUUAAUAAAAUUGAGGAAAUGGAGAUUGUGGUCCAUACAUAUACAACAAGGAUAUUAAAUUGGGACCUUAUAUUAAAUUGGGACCUUAUAUAAAACUCGGGGCAUCUCGAGAAAAGUAUGCCCCAGUUAUGCAUUCUGUGAAUUUAGUAUGUAAAACUCGGGGCAUCUCGAGCCAACUAUGCCCUGAGAUGAUAUGCAUUCUUUCAAUUCUUAGUAUUAAAACUCGGAUCAUCUUGAGACAUCGUGCCCUGAGAAAUGACUUCUGCGAAUUUAGUAUGUAAAACUCGGGGCAUCUUGACCCAAUUAUGCUCCGAGAUAUGCAUUAUAUUUUAUGAAAUCCUAAUUUAAAACUCAGGACAUCUCAGGACAACGAUGCCUUAAGCUAUAUAUUUUGAACUAAGCAAUAAAUAAUAGAUCUCGAUGGAUCUCAGGCUACUACUACACCGAGAUAUGCAUUCUGACAUUAUGUACAAGACAUUUUAAUAGGUAGUAAUUGCGAGGAUGAAUUUAAUACGGUCAUUGAUUAGAUGAAUGAAUUUUAAAAGGAUGAAUUUAAUAGAUUCAUUCAUUACAAUAAGGGCUUUAUUACAAGACAGAGUUCACAACAAGAAUGAAAGAAUUAUAAGGUUCAAUUGAUUACAAAAUAUUUAUAACAAUCAGAAGCACAUGUGAAAAAAAAAAUUAUUUGCCCAUAUAUAACUCAAGAAUGUAUUGUGGUCUAAACAACUUCUUGUCCUCUAAUCUAGACAACUAGUUGGACCAUCAACCAGAACACAUUCAACGGACAUGUGCAGUUGCUUGGGUACGGUGUAAGCUUAUUUUCUUUAUGUUUGACACUGCCUUUGCUAAGUGCGAACAACAUUUGAGGUUUUUGCCAAGAAAAAAAUCCUUAGAAUUGAUCUUCAUGACAAGAUGCAUCUGCAAGAAAAAAGAUAAAUGAAAAAGUCAAGAUUUUUUGAAGGAUUUCAUGAUAAGCAAUAACAUAAAUCCAAAUUAACUAAUCACAUCUCAACAGUAACUUCAUUAGAUUUUCCAUCUGCCUUAGAUUUCAACCUAAAAAUCUAAAAACAUAAACUAAACAACUAAGAACAUAAACUGAACAACUGUGAACAUAAAAUAAAAAAACUAAAAACAAAGUAACUCACCUUGUUUGAAUUUGAGGAAGCAAGAUUUUGGGAGGGUUCUCGCAUAGUUCUCGAUAGAAGCAUGAAAAGUUUUUAAGGUUUAGCGUGUUUUGUGAGAAUAUUAAAGGGUUGGUAUUCCAAGGGUAUUUCAACCAUUUUCUAUAUAACUAUUUUGGUGGUAAUCUUGAUCGAGAUUUUUUUUUUUUUAGUUUUCCAAAACCGUGCUAUUUUUUAAAUAUAAAACUAAAAUGGUGCUAGUUUUGUCAAAUUUUCGAUGAAAACUCUCCAUCAUGAAAAUAUUGAAAUUUUAAUUUCACAAAGAUUUUAAUAGAAAUAUCAAUGAAAUCGAUAACUUCAAUGGAUAUUUCUAAAAAAGAUAAAAAAAUAGACAAAAAUUCAAAAAAUAAAUUUCAAUUAGUAAAUAAAUAUGAUGAAUUUUCAAAUAUAGCAAAAUGAACUAAAAUAUUAUAAAAUAUAGCAUAAUUUCAUACCUAUCUAGUCUUUUAUAAUUUUAUUCGUGUCUAUAUAAAAUCUGAAGUUUUGCUAUAUUUUGAUAUUAUUUUCAACAGAUUUGUCAUUUACACUAAUUCUCCUAAAUAUUAUUUUACUAUUUUCAAAUAAGUAAACAUGUCUAUUAUUUAUAUUAUAUCUAUAUUAAUAGCAGUUUGGUAUUUAUUUUUUUGUGUUCCGUUGAUUUUUUUCAUGGUUGAAUGAAAAUAUUGAUUCACCCCUCAUAUUGAUAUCGAACUCAUUGAAACAUAAAAAUAUUGGAUAUAACAAUAAAAAAAUUUAAUAUUAUGUAACAACAUAAUUUUUUUAGUACAACAACUAUAAAGAUGAUAAUAGAAUUUUUUAUUUUUAGGAAAGAGUACAUAACAUCAUCAUUAAGUUUAAGCUUACUUUAAAGAGUUUUGACACCUUUGUAAAGUUUGAACAUUUUUCGUGUACUUUGUUCAAGGCCAUGGUGUUUUUGUAAUGUCUUGACCCAUGAUUCGAAAUUCGGAUCCCCGACGACAUUUUCGUGCAUCCGCUGUAAUCUGGCAACAUCAUCCUUACUUGUCUUGGCUUAUUAGAGUGAAAGUUCUCCCCAUAAACCAACACGAGUCCUUUCAACAUAAUUUUUCCUUACUCACAUGUAUCCUAGGAAAAUUCUUAAGAUAAGCAUGCUUAAUUUUAGAGAUCUUAGGAUUGAGCCAUUGAAAAUAAAGGUACACCUUGUUGGUACAUGUAAUAACUUUACUUCAUGUCCUCAAGAUCUCUCUCAUUCAGAUGUGAUACUGGUUUAUUUAUGACCCUUUCCUAAACUCAUGAUGUUACCAUUUUUAUAUUUAGAUUUAGACCACAGUGAAAUUUACUAUUUUUUUAGCAUUGUUAAUGAAUUUUAUAUAUCACUUAUCCAACUCAUUUCUUACUUGUUUAGGUUUAAUUUAGAAAUCAUUAUUUGUUAAAUUAUGUAAAAUACUCAAAAGUUUUAAAUUGGUUUUAAUUAGAUACCUAAAGUUUUUUUUUUCUUCAACAUUCAAAGGGUUAAUAAAAAAAAAUCCAUUACAUUAAAAAGGGUACUAAGAUUGUUGCUAACCCUUGUUUGGUCCAAACAGAUUUUGUAAAAACCAUUUAAAUCAAUGUUUACACAUUAACUAUGGUUAGCUGGUUAUCUUUAAGAGAAUACUAAUCACAUGUUUUCCAAAUUCCAUAUAUACAAUCAUGGUUUUGCUAAUUUCUAACUUAUUAUAACAAAUCAAAAUCUCUACGGUUAUUUUUUAAAUUUUUUUAAAAAAAUCAAAGUUUAUAAAAAUAAAAGGAUGCUUUUCAAAAUUCUAACACAAUAUAAUGAAACUUACUCUAAAAUUUAGGGAUAUAUGUUUGUUGGAAUAUACUACAUGUGACUUCUUUUUUAACGUUGCAUUUUUCAAUUUCAUGAGUUGCAUUCUUGGAUGUAUCUUUUCUUAAAAUACCACUGCUCACACAAGAUUUUCAAAGAAAUUUAAUUCGUUGAGUAUAAGUUGUGUUGAUGUUGUAUCUAUGUUGAUUUGAUGCGAUGUGAUUCGAUCUCUAGUAUUUUAUCAUCUGGUUCUCUAUUGGUUGGAUGCUUACGUUUGAUUUAAAGAAACAGAGCACAUGAUGUUCUUGAAGUUGGAGUCUUGGAAUAAAGCUUGUAUCUUCAAAAGAACUUCAAUCUUCGAGGGGGUCGACUUCAGGAGUUAGGGGAUUUUUUUAGCUCUUGAGAGAAUUUAAUCUAGACCUUCUAGAGUAAAAAAUUUUCAACAUCCACAAAUGAAGAGAACACCUCUGUUUAUAGAGUUAUCUGGUAGGCUUUAUGAACUUUGAUUGGGUUGGUCCAUGGACCAGGUUCAACCACAUGGAUUUGCGUCAUAUUUAGCAUUUGGGCUAAAUGAAACUUUUUUUUUUUUUUUUUUGCUCAAUUGAAGUUUUUCCUCCUCAGGUUGUAAGAGGUAAGUGAUUGUCUAGAGAGGUAAGUGAUCGUUUUAGAAAGGUAAGCGAUUAGGUAGACAGGUAAACAGUCAUGUUUGAAAGGGUAGGCGAUCUGAACUAAGCGAUUGGUCAAGGAUCUAAACGAUCGUUGAGGGUUGAAGUCUAUGAAGGUAUUUGGCAUUUAUUUGUUAAGCCUUUGUUUUAAGAAUCAUAGAUUAUUUUGUACUGUUAUAGAAAUAUUUUGGUUUAAAUAAAUAAGAGAUGUGUUGCACUACUUAAAAUGUCGUCGUUAUUGUUAAGUUUGUAUGAUCAUGGUUAAUGGUUCAAAAUUUUAAAAUCACAUUUCGUUUUGUACGACAAAUUUAAGUAUGUGCGCGAGACGAGGCGUGAUGUAGUGCAUCUAGGGAUUAGAUAUGCAUUUAAUCCUACUUUAAAAUGGCUCACAUACGAUGCACAUGUUUAUGAAAUUUAUAAUUUGUUAUUUUAAAAAAAAAAAUCUUCGAAGGCUUUAUGAAUGUUGAAAUUUCAUUUAUAUUUAGUAAUUGUAAACUAUGUCUAUUAAGUGUAUAGAAACAACAAAAAUCACACUAAAAAAUUAUAAGUGAUAGAUGCAAAUAUAGAAAAUGUAAUACCAACUACACUCGAAAAGUGGUUUUCUGUUGACCUAAAAUACACUUAACUUUCAUAAAUAGAUCUAUGUUGUGAAGUGAACAUAUAAAGGACCAACCAAGAUUUGUUCUAACAUCUCUCAACGAACACCUGACCUUAAUGAGUCACUUCUAUAGAUCACAUCCAUACAUGAAUAAAUAUAUUUGUUUUAUGUAUGACCACUUAUAGGCAAACAAUAAUCAACGAAUACCUUUAAACUGGAAGAGUUGUGUACGUCCUAAAGAUUGAAUGGUGCAUAUCAACAAACAUCUAAACUCAAAUAGUCAUAUUUUUUUUAUUCAUGGGUCACAUUCAUGAUAUAGGAAUGGAUACACCCUAAUCGAUGUGAAACUAUCUUUAUGCACCGAAUGAGUUAUGCCUCGUGAAUUGCACAAACCUCUAUUAUUCGAACAUCACUCAAUAAGCACUAAAAGAAGAGUUGUGGCAUUGGUAGAAGCGCAAAUUAGCCCAUUACGGCUUAAUUACCUCUUUUAAUUUAGUUUAAAUAUCAAUAUUGUAUACAACUUAACCAUGAAUUUAUUUUAAAAAAUAUAGUAAAAUAAACCAAAAUAUUUACAAACGUAGAAAAAUAUAAACACUAAUAGACUACUAUCAUCUUUCAUUGAUAGAUGUUAACAAUAUUAAUUAGUGCUAUCAUUUAUAGACUAUAAAAUUUUGCUAUAUAUAUAAAUAUCAUUAACGAUUUUGGUAUUUAAAACAACUUCUCUCCAACAAAUUUAGUUUACUAUAGUAAAGUUGACAAUCAAAGGGAAAAAAAAUUCUCUAAGAUUUUGAUGUUAAAUCAUCACAAUGUUGAUAGAGACGGCUUAGAAAAAUUGAGUGAGUUCUUUUUUCCUCUCUUUAUUUUGAUUGAUUGAUUCUGAUUCCAUAUUUUGAUUUCAAUGCUUCUAAUGAAAGGUGGCCAUAAAAACAGUAAAGAAAGGAUAAAAAGAGAGCAAAUAUUGUCAUAUUAUUUACGAUAUAAACUCAUUUUUAUAUCGAUAGAUUUGGAAUUUUGCUAUACUUUAUAAAUAUGUUGAUUCACUUUUUUAUAUUAAAAAAUUUCUCUUUAAAAUUAAUUAUUAAAGUAAAAGUAUUAUCAAAUGUCAAGAUGAUCGAGUCUAGUUAAAAUGACACACUCCGAUAUAAUAUGAUAAAUUAACCAUUUUUAAUUAUCAAAUUUAAAACUUAACGGGUAAGAUUAAGAAAAUUUUCACAUUUUAUAAGAUAAUUAUAUAGAAAUAAUUAAAACUGCCCCAGGGAGAAAACAAAGUUAAUUAAUUGAUAAUAUAGUUCAAAAUAUACCAUAUGACAAUGAUAUAUCUUUAUAAUUGAUAAUUGUUUCUAAUGUUGACUAAAUGUUAAAUCUAUCACAGUAAACUGUUUAACAUCGUGAGUUUUUACAUAUAAUUAACCGAUGACAACCAUAGAUGUAUGUUGUGUUAAGUAGUAAAUAACACGAGGGUUUCAACUAAUUAAAAUCAUACCAUUCAUUUAUUUAUUUAGUUAGAUUAAGGUGAAUUUUUGUAUUGAGAUGCUGAAAUUACAUUCCCUCUCACCAUUGUCAUAUUUUAGGGGACCAAAACAAAACACUAAAACAGUAUUUAUAAGAUAUAAAGCUACCAAAAAGAAUAUGCUUGAUUUGUGAAGUAGUUUUCAUUGCUCAACUUUUUCUUUCACUAAAAUUCCCAUAAUUCAUUCAAAUUUUUUGUUUGCAAAAUGGGUUUUCUUUUUUCUUCUUUUACAAUAAUAUUGAAAUUUUUGGGUCCACAGGUUUGGAUUAUUUCUCCAAGUUGUUUGGUUUUGUGGGUUUUGUUAAUUAGAAUAAAUAAAUACACAAUAUAUAUAUAUAUAUAUGUAUGUAUAUAUUUAAAAUAUAAUUUCAAAGAAAAUACAAAACAAAAGAAUAUUGGAAUGCUGAGAAGGAUGACACCAAAUUAUUAUUAUGAAUAUUUGGAUGCGAGAGUGUGUUAAGAGAGUGGAGAUUAACAAGGAUAUCAUAUUAAAUUAUUCAUAGAGUGUGCAAUCCACGUGACCACCACCAACUUUCCCAUUAUCUAAUUCAAACUAAAUCCAACUUUCUUUUUUAUCACUUUCCCCAAAUCUUAUACCACCUUUAUUUUAAUUCAUUCUUAUUCUUACCUAAAUUAUGAUACUAAUAUACUAUUACAAAUGUCAAAACGUAGUGUAACUUGCGAUUAUCAUUUAUGUCUUUACGUUUUUUUUUAUGACUAAAACGUAUUUGAUAAUAUGGACAAGUAUUAAAACAAAGUUACGUAGUUUGUAUUUAUCGUAUAUAUAGAAUUUUCUUUAAUCAAUCAAAAUAUAGGUACCAAGUUGAGGUUCAAAUGUAUGAUGUGUUAUCUCAAAACAGAAUUAUGUGAAAAGAAUGAAUGAAAUAAAGAUCGAAUUUAUUCUAUUCUAUCCGAUUUAAAAUUUUGGUUUUGACAUUGAACAAAUCUAACAUCGUAUUAGAAUAAUGGGUUCACGAGUCUAAAUUCUUAAUUAAAGUCUGGAUUUUUUUAUUCUACUUAUUGAUAUAUUUGAUUGAUUAAAUAUUGGGUAUCAUGAAUCAAAUAAGUAUAUAAGACUAAUGUUUUGAAGGGACUGUUAUGUAAAAUAUAUGGAAUUUUUUAAAACAAAAGAGUAGGAUUUUACAAAAUAUUUACAAUUUAUAACAAAUUAUAUCACUGAUGAUCAUUGAUAUGUUAUAGUGAUAAAAGACUAUCGAUGAUAGAAUCCAAAAUUUAUAAAUAUUUUAAUUUAUUUUGUUAUUUUUAAAAAUGUUUCAAUUUUAAUUCUGCUAUAACGAGAUAGCAAAACUUAUAAUAUAUCUGUAAAUAUGAGACUUGAUGUUAAUCCUAUUUUAAUUUGAUAAUAUUUGGAAUUGUACAAUUGGAUAUAUGCUUUAUUGGUGGCAAUAAAUAAAUAAGUUAGUCCAAAUUAAAUCUUAAUUAAGAUCGUUCCCUUUUAUCUUUGGAAUAGUUGCAAAUUUAGUAAUUAGAUUUAAAAUAGUAUAUAGCACCAUUUUAAAAAAUUUGUCCAAUUCUACUAAUGAUGUAAGUUUAUUAUCAAUAUACCAUGUUGCAAAUAUCGAUCUAUCACUGAUAUACCAUAUGAAGUCUAUCAGUGAUACAAGUUUAUCAGUGAUAGUUUUGUUAUAUUUGCAAUUUUUUUUAAACGUUGUUAUAUACUUAAUUAUUAUUCCUAAAAUGGUCAUCAAUUCCAGGUUGCGUUUUAUGUUUUGAGUUUGUAUCCAUAUUGGACUUUAAGUAAGGUUUCUCUUUCUCACACAUCCACAUGUUAUAAGCAGAAGAAUGUCUCCAAAACAUCCACAAAUAGAUUGGACUUUGAAACAUGUGUUCACCAACUAAAAGCCAUAUAUAUUUUUGGGCCAUUACUUUCAUUUUUGUUCACUACAUUACAUAACAUAAUGGGCUCAUGAAUAGAACACAUAUCUUUUCAUUUACUUUAUUAUUAUUAUUAUUACUUUUCUCUCUCAUUCACAAUAUCAUUUCUUAAAAAGAGUUUCCAAAUUAAACAUAUAGUCAUGUAUAUGAUUCAAAUAUUUGUGGACUUUGGACAAUGACAUAAACAUUUUCAUAUCUUCUUCCCAAUUCACUUUUUGUCUAUGGACUAAUUAAUUUUUUUUAGAUCAGAAUCUAAAAUUUUGAAAGUCUUAUAAAACACUUCAAACAAAUUUCUAUUUACAAUCAUUUUGCUUGAUUGUUUGUGUAAAAAGGGUGUUUAAAUGUAGAAUAUAACAAGUAAAAUAAUAUAUUUUGAGUUUUUCAUAUCUUAUUUAUAAUUUUUUUCAAUAUAACAUCUUCAAAAGAAUUAAAGAAUCAUUGCUACAAUUUUGGUCUUCUUUGAUAUGUAAAAGCACGUCAAAAAAUGUCUACCUUGAUGGUCUUUGUCCAUCAAAUGGAUAGGUAACAAGAAAGUUCGACCAUCAAGAAAACUAGAUCAAAACAUGUCAUAAAAAACUCUUUCUUGAUGAUCAUACAAUCAAGAAAUAAAAUUUUGAUGUUUUUUGUCCAUCAAGAAAACUGAAAAAUUCAUCAAAAAAAUUGUUUUCUUGAUAGCCAAAAUAUGUAAUAAAAGACCUAGUUUAUUAAUUUUAUUUUGUGAAGAAAAUAAUAGAUUUUCAUUUAUUUUCUCACGCCCACUUGGCAUCUUCAUGAGAUUGGUUUCAUCCUCAAUCAGGAUUGUACUAACAAUUUUAACAUUGAUAUCCAAAUUUAUAAAAACGUUGGACCUUUUAUCCACAAUAUAUACAGGUGUCAGUUGAACUAAGUUCAUAUGUUAUACAACUUCUACAAAUUUUUAAAACCUUAAAUUACAAACUUUCAAUUCAACUCGUUAAAUUUGAACACAAUAACUAAUUUAAUUUUGAUAAAGUCACUUAUUUCAAUCUAAUUAUAAUUACACAACAAUUAACUUUUUAAAAAAGUAAUAUUGUAUUAUUGAUGUAUAGACAAGUAAUAAUUGGAGAAAAAAAUAGUAAAGCUUUAAGAUUAUUAUUGAUGAUAAUAUCGUGUUUUCAAAGCUAUUAACGAUGAUCUGAAUUUCGUGCUUCGUAGAAAAUAGUUUUUUUUUUCUUGAUUGAUCUUGUCCAUAAUUUUUUUUUAUGUCUUUGUUCAUUAAGAAACCCUAGAUCCAUCAACAAAAUUCUAAACCCAUCAAGAAAUCCAAAACAAAUAUUUUUUUCGAUGAUGACUAUUGCAAAUCAAGAAAAUUCAUUCUUUGAUGGGCCUCGUCCAUCAAGAAAAACUUAUCUAAUUUGAUGGACAUUGUCAGUCAACUAAUAUAUAUCGAGAAAAUAAAAAAUUCACAUUUCUUCACCUUCGAAACAAACUGUAGACUCAACGUGAGUCAUCGUUUGAGGGGAUAUUAAGAAAAAAAAUCAAGAUCUCAUAUCUUCUCCUGUAAUUCAGAUCUUCGUUAUAAAUUAUCUUUCAUUAUACUUUAUCAUAUUUACGUGAUUGAAUUGUGUAUAAAUCUUUUCAUCUAUCAAUAAAAAGAAUGAAGCAAAAUUCAAAACAAUUCAUUACAGUUGUUUCAUGGAUAAGAAGUUGAAAUUUAAUUUGAAUAUUUCCUUGGGUUUCACUAAGCAAGUCAAAGUGACCAUUCCCCGUUUCUAUACAAUUAUGAAAAUGAUAAGUAAUCUUUUUGAGGUCUCAAAUACGUUCUGAAUACACCUUGUAAAUGGAAUAAAGAAAGAGGAGGAAAAACGUAGGAGAAAUAUUAUUGUUAUUUUCAAGUUCAAAACGGUCAACUAUAGUAAUAGGGACAAAAGCUAAGAGAACUAGAGGAGAAGAAAAUAUAGCAGGAGAAAGAACCCAACUGACUUUAUCUGGAAGUUGAUAAAACUAAUUAAUCCGAACUUAUUCAAUAAUAUCGAAACUAAAUGCAAUUCUAAAAUUUCAUAGGCCUAGAACUGAAUAGGGUUCUAACAUAAAUAAAAUUCCAAAUAAAGCAUAACUUAAAUACAAUAUAUAUUCCAAGAGAAGAAUAUAGCCAUGCCUGAAGAAGAUCUUACAUUAUAUCAUGUGUUCCUUAUAUUAAUCACAGGUAUACAUAUUCUAACUACUUAGCCAUUUUGGUGCUGUUUUAACUCACACUUCUUUGUGCUGGGAUAAUUCGUGAGAUGCUUGAUGGUUUCAAGGUUCUUUCUUCUCCAUGUGAAUACCAGACCAACGUCAUUUUGUUCUGAAAAUUAGUUGCAGUAAAAUUAAAAUUGUGAAGAGAUACAUAAUCUAGGACAUCUAAUGCCUGUGUAAGUGAACAACAGAUGUAUAAGUUUAAUUAGUUUUGUCUAUGCCCUCUCAACUCUUUUGUAUGUUGCAAACAUACGUGGAGCUUGCUACCCAAAUUAAAAUCUGGAAUACAUAUCUUCAACUAUUGAUGAAGCUACCAAACGAAAGUCUUUGGAGAAAUGAAGACAAAUUUGUGGAAUGUACAUGGAAAGUUAUUCACAAUUUUACUGUAUGAUGUAAUUUCUAAGAACAUUAAAAAUUUGUUCCAGUAAAAGAAAUCCAAAAAGUGAAAUGUUAGUAUGUGUGAUGCUAACCACCAGUAGGCAAUAUGUUCUUGAUUUUGAAAAGUUUAAUAAACCAUUUGUUCAUCAUUUAUUAUAGAACAAGCCAACAUCUUUUUAUCUUAUUUUUUACUUGUUUUUACUUUUUUUUGUUCUUUUGGAGCCAGUGAGCAAUUUUACAGCCAAAACAGAUGGUAGCAAGAAUAAAACUUAUUCCAAAUCCCAAAUCACCACUUCAUUAUUCUACUUUGCUUGAACUCAUUUUUAGUUCCAAAUUAAGAGAAAAUUAAUAUAAAAACUGGGAAGACAUUUCUCCACUUUGUCCUUAAAACAAGUUAGUUCACAUGUCCAUCUUAUUUUCUCUUUUACCAUCUUUUACAGAAUCUUUUAGUGUAGAUCGUGGGUAAUUAGUUUAGACACACAAUUAGCCUACACUGUACAACUUUAUAUCACCCAAACGAAGUACUCCUUAUAACUAAUAUUUGAUAUCAUUUUCUGUGUUUGACCUUAGUUUAUCCAGGAAACUUAUCGUUUCGCUUACACUUAGGCAAACAAGCGAAACGAUAGAAAAACUUGUACUGAACAAGGGUUCAGUGCUUAUACGAUCAAUAUAUAUAUAUAGUGAGCAUCAUGCAUGCAAUCCGAACCUCAACAACCAAGUCCAAGUUUUUGGCAGCGUUGUAAGUAUCUCUCCACCCACAAGCGAGUUUUUGGCGUCAUCACUAGAAAAUUAAUUUUUCAAAAAAUUAGGAAGAAGGAUUUACUUUAUUCUAGUGAAUCGUGCAUUCAGCUGAAGAUCGUGUGAAGAGGUUUGUAACACCAGAGCAAUCUGUGAUACAUGGACUAACCCCAGAAAUUGAGUGCAUCUUUCGAUAGUAAUAAGAACGAACUUUAUUGGAUGUGAUUAAAAUGCAAAUGAAGUUGUGUGUCUCAAACGCCUUGAGUCAAAAAAUAUUCUUUAAUGUAAAGAGUUUUUACUGAGGUGUGAAGGAAGUGUCCACGAGAUGAGUGAGCAAUUACAAGCAGAGACUUACUGCGAUGAGCGAUCGUGUAGCAGAGAGUUAUGCAACAAAGGAUCAAAGACAUUCAAGAGACUAUGCUUAGGAUGGCUAUACAAGGCAUGGUCGUUGCAAGGCUACAAUUAUCCUCACAUAAGACUUGCACGCAUGGAUGCUUUUGUAAAGUAUUACUUUCUCUAUCUUUAGUACAAAAAUGCAUCAUUAAUUUUGUGUAUACUACUGUUGUGGAUAGCUUUUUUUUACUUUUUAUAGUUCUGUUUAUUUACCUUAUAGUUAUAGUUUUAGAACGCGAGUUCUGUCGCGUAAAAGUUAGGCGAUAAGAAUAGGGUUCUGUGAGAUAAGGCUGCUUUGCGAGAUAGUUACGUAAUAGGACACAUUAGGCACUUUAACGUUCUCGCAAGACUUUCCGAGUAGAGGAAAAGUUCGUACAAUUAUUAGGGUUUUGGGAACAGCAAGCGCCAAAUUUAAAUUUCAAAUUAAUAUUUAUGUCCAUUCAAGAUUAGACAUUCCCUUGAGAUACUAACCUUAUCUUCUUGGGAAGCUAAACUCUUCCUCGCCUUCCUCUCCUCGCGACAAACUACAAACUUCAACUCCUUUUUCCUGACUUCACUUCAUGCUUCCACGGAAAAACAUAUGACUUCUCACAGCAGAACGCCUACUUGAUCGUCACAAAACACCGCAACUUUCACUCAUUUUUCCUUAAAACGCAACCUUCUUCAAAACGCCUCAUUUGUACACUUAGUCAAGAUAAUCCUGUUAUGAAGUUUUUCAAUAAAACUUCCUUUUCGGAUUUGGAUGUUAGGUUGUGUGUUUGUAACUAGAAUAGAGAGAUGGACGAUAAUGAGUUAAGAUUUUUUUAUAAUGAAGUGUUAGUUGAAGGGAGUAUUUGUGUGAGUAGUACAAAAUUAGGUCAAAUUGUAUGUGUUUGGUCAAAUUUAUUUGUCUUAAAAGAUGGAAAAGUUAGUUUUAUUUUUAAAAUUAUGAAUGAAGUAUAAAUGAAGUUUUGUUUUAAAAAUAUAUUGGAAAUGGUAAGAUGUCAAUUUCAAAUUCAUUGGUUUCAAAUGUCACGAGAGGAUCUGCCUCUAUCCAAAUCCAACCUUUUUCCUUUUUUCUUUCUUUUUAAUUAAAUACAUCUUUGUAUUAUAUUUAUAACUUCUGUCACUAUCACCAUCCACUAUAUAUAUAUAUAUAUAUAAAUUUGCAAAAAAGAAAGAAAAAUGUUUAACUCAACUUGUCUCAUACUGCUACAAGGCUAAUGGUAAGUGUAUUUGAUAUGUACUUCAAUACAACUCGUUUCAUUGUUUAUAUAAAACAAACCAUUAUAUAUAUCAUUGUUCAUAUGUACAUCUAUUUGGGUUGUGAGUCCAACUGCUAUAUAUCUCUAAAGGCAAUAAUCUACUAUAUACUUUGUUUUAAGGCUUUUUUUUAUGUACAAACUCCAUAAAUAUAUAUAAAAGUAAACAUAACUCAACUGAUAUAAAGUAUUGUUAAAAAUAACGCAUACACUCUAAGUCCACUAAGGUAUAUAGGAGAAACACUUUUUCUUGUCUCACAUUGGAGAUUUUAAGAGUGAGUAGAUGAUAUAUAUACAAAAUUACCACUUGCAACUUGUAAAAGUGUGCACGAGAUUUCCAUCUUUGUCUUGGAAUUACUUUAAAAUGCUAGCUCUUGUAUUGUAGCUUGCCUUUUGUUUUUGCCCGAGCAUCACUUGGUCGCAUGGCAUGCUCAGAUGCCCCUUGGUCGAGAUGUCUUAAAUUCCUCGCCUAAACUAUGCUUUUGCCACCCAAUUAUCUUGCAUCUCGCCUAGCACACCCAUUCAAACGCCUAGCAACAUAUCCAACGCCUAACAUCAAUACUUCUUCAAAAUUCCUUUCUCCAAUGUCACUUUGGCUACAAUGACGCUCAAAACCGGUAACAGCCAACCUUUACUAAAAAAAAUUCUAUCUUUCAUAUUAACUCAACACAACUUUAACUUCAACUUCUACACUAAAGCGCUAGAAGGAUUUAGGGUUUACAAUUGUUGUUUGGUUGGGGAUGAGCUUCGGGUAAUAUUCUCAAAGCUUUAUAAAAUUAGUUUUUAGACCUUGAGCAAAAACGACUUUUUAUCCUUAAACUUAUCAAGUCAUUAUUCUUGUUAUUAUCCAAAAAUAAAUAUAUUCUGAUUCAAUAACAUCAAUGAAACAUUUUGAGCCCACCUAUUAAAUUUUUGUCAACAUUUCUAUAUUGCAAUGAGCUUUAUGGGAACACUUACUCAUUUUCAUUAUAUAGUUAAUUUCAUUCCGAAUACUGUCAAAUUGCAUUAGAUGAUAAAACAGUUUAUAAAAAAAUAGCUCAUGACACCUUUUUUUUUUUACAUUGUAAAUUUGAUAAAUAUGACGGUAACCGAUCGUAAUUUGUCGUUUUUAUAAUUUUUAAAAUGUAAGUAAAAUAAGCUCUAUUAUCAUUCUUUUUUUUUGCUAUUUUUGCAAACUCCCCAUAUAUAAAACGAUCGGUAGUAAAAAACUUUUUCUCUCCAUUUUGUCUCUUUCAUUUUAGUAAUUCUAACGAUAACAUUAGUGAUGAUUUUGUCAAAUUCAAGACUUAUUAAACAAAUUACCACUAAAUACAUUAAUUAGAUAUUAAUUAUUUCAAAAAACUUUUAACUUCUCAGAUUUCAUUAUUUCUUUUACAAAAUGAUUUUCACUAAUUUUGUUAUCGUUACAAACUUAUCCACUAACUACAUUAAUUAGACAAUUCGCACUAAUAACAAAUAUAUAUAUAUAUAUAUAUAUAUAUAUAUAUAUAUAUAUAUAUAUAUAUAUAUUUUUUUUUAUUUUUUAUUUUUUUUAUUUUUUUUUUUUUUUUUUUUUGCAUCUAAGCUCUCUUCCCAUUCUACAAAUUUAAAAUUCUCUAUAUAAAGUUCAUUAUGUUAAUUGAGAAAUAUCAUUGUCUCAAGUCUGUGAUAACGGACAAUGAUAUAGAAAUAUAAUGAUAUAGAAAUAUGAAAAUGUUUGAGGUCACGUCAUUGGACCAUUAAGUCACAAAAACCAAAUUAGAUGAAUGAAGCACCAAAGUUUACUAGCUAGCAAAAUGAAUAGAAAUUUUCAGAUUGAAGUAUUGUUGAUUAAUGUACUUAUACACAAUGGUUAUUAGAGUAAUAUAUGGAAUAGCUUAUUUAAAAAAAUUUAUUCAAUAAACAGUGAGCAAAAUAUUUUUGUUAUUGACAAUGCCAAUAAAUUGCUAUUCGUGGCUUUGAUUUGAAAAUUGUUUUUGCAUUUGUUUCAUCACGUGAAGAUGAAUAGAUUAUUCUAGGAUUUAUUUCUAUUGUAUUUCAUAAUCAUGGGUUGUCUUUAAAAUAUAAUACAUCUUUAAAAUAGAUUUGAUAGAAGGAAUGAUCAAUAUUAAAUAUAAACAAUAAAAAUAAUAAAAUAUUUAUUUAAUCAUUUAAAUUGAUGUUUUGACAAGAUUGAAAUUGAAAUUAUUGUAAAGUUAGAAAUUUGACAUGUCCAUAGGAAACAAAAACUUUACUGAUAUAAAUAUUUUUUUACAGAAACUAUAAAAUUGAUAAGUAAUAUUUGUGAAAUGACGUAAUAAAAUUUAUAAUUGAACAAAAAUUAUGAAGGAUGUAAGUGUGAAAGAUCUGAAGAUCCUCCAAAGUGGGUUUGAAUUUGGUCUAUACGCUUUGAGUGAUUGUUGAAAACUUUUAUAUUACUCUCUCUCUUUUUCUCUUCUUUUUUUUUUCAACUGAAAUAACUUCCUCCAAAUUAUACUAUGAAACCAAAACGAUGCCCAACUCUUUCCCUAAAUAAUCAUUUUGACCCUUCAUUUCAGUAAAUUACAAAAUCACCCCGUUAUAAUCUCACUAUAAUAACUUCUUCUUCUUCUUCUUCUUCUUCUUCUCCUUCACCAUGUCUGAACCUUCAACUUACUCAAACCACUUUCCUUCUCCUCUCACUUCCCUUUCCAUGAUGGAUUUGAACUUUACUGCCCGGAAACCUCCGCAUACGUCCGCUAGGAUGGACAUAGAACACAUGCCUGAAGCUCCACACCGUAGUUAUCACCACCGCCGUUCCCACUCCGACACCUCCUUCCGUUUCGCUAAUUUCGACGAUCUUCUCCUCUUCGACUCUCCCGACAUCGAUUUAUCUUCUGCUCUUCCUUCUCCCUCUCCCUCCCCGUCCCCCACGCCGUCGGGGGCUCGUAUGGCCGUCGAUUCCUUUAAUUCCAAGUCCCCUGAAGACGCCUCUACCACAAAACCUAGGGCUGCAAACGGUAACUCCGCUUCCUUCUUCAAUUCUCACUAUCGGAGCUUAUCGAUGGAUUCAGACUUCUUCGAGGGCUUGGGGAUGGCCGGAGAUGGAAGUGACGGUGAAAUACUUGGGGGAGAGUGACGGCGGGGGAGAAGAAGAUUGCUCGUCAUAGGCAUAGCAAUUCAAUGGAUGGGUCUUUGACUUCCUCGUUUGAAGUUGAUUCUUCCAAGAAGGCUAUGGCACCUGAUAAACUCGCUGAGCUUGCUUUGAUGGACCCUAAAAGAGCUAAGAGGUUGUUGAUUCACUACUUCAUGUUCUUCCUUUCAAUUUUCUCAUGAAUUAAUGGGUUUCUGUUUCUUUCUGCUCCGAAUUUUCGUUGAACUUUGGAUGUUCCCUGCAAUUAAUCAAAUUAAAUGACAAAUGGAUUUGUGAUUCAUCUUCCAUUUUAGGAUUCUGGCGAAUAGACAAUCUGCUGCACGAUCCAAGGAGAGAAAAAUACGUUACACUAAUGAAUUAGAGAAGAAGGUGCAAAUGCUUCAAUCAGAAGCGACUUCCCUUUCUGCUCAGGUCACUGUGUUACAGGUAUGGCAUCUAUAUUUUUUGUAGCUUAUGAAGAAGGAUAAUGAACAGGUGGACUGAACUAUAGACAAAACAUGAAUCUUUUAUAUAUCUUGCUUUACAAGUCUCAUGGGUGGCCUGUAGCUAUCAUUUGGACUUGUUAUGGUGAUGGAAGAAAGAAUUGGUAACUUUUGACCUUUCAAAUUUGUUUGUUUUUUCUCCCUCACUUUCAAGACUUAUUGUACAGAUAAUGAGGGCUUUGUCAGUCUUGAUGACUAAAAAACAAUGGAGAAAAGUGUUUUUUGUUUUUGCUUUUGAGUUGAGUGAGGGUAUUUCAACUUUUUGGUUUGUGUUCUUAGAUGAGAGGAUAUGAACGACUUCUUGAUAUGUUUCAACCGGUUGAGCUAUGCUUAAUAAUCUACUUUGGUGCAGAGAGAUACCACUGGAUUGACUACUGAGAACAGAGAACUCAAGCUAAGAUUGCAAGCCAUGGAGCAGCAAGCCCAUCUGAGGGAUGGUACGUGUGGUUCUUCAUUCAUAGAAAAAUGCCGGCGUUUUUGGUUUCAUUUUUCAUGAGGGCUUCAUUUACACUACACAUGGAGAUGUUAACUAUUCAAAUGUUUGGUGGCUUUUACAGCUUUGAAUGAGACAUUGAGGGAGGAAGUACAGCGACUUAAGAUAGCCGCUGCCCAACUGCCUGUUGCAAAUGGCAACUCAUUCAACAUGGGAGGAGGGCUACCUCCUCAAUUCCCUCCUCUCCAAACAUCAUUUCUUCAAUUUGGCAACUCCCAGAAUCAUCAACAGCCACAGCUGCUUCACAUGUCUCAGCCUGAUGCUCGAGGAGGGUCUCCACCGUCCCAGCUUCCAGGAGCUUAACCACAUGCUUUAGAUAAUCUAUUACGUAGUGAGGAUUGGUAUUUUUAUUUGGGAAGCUAAGGAAUUGUAGCCUGUAUCUUCUACAUUUGGAUUUGUAUGAGUAUACUUGUAAAAAGGAAUAUACAUGUGUACAAAAAAAGCUGUAUUAUUUCUUUGAUAAUUGAGGAUUGUAUUGUAAUAACACUCGCAGCAAAUAAUAGGGAUCACUUCUUUGUGAACAACUUUGUCUCGCCUGUGGUGAAAAGUUUACCCCUUGCUUGAUCUCCUGUCAUAAACACUUGCUCAUCAUAUAACUAUCAAGUUCCGUUAAAGAAACCAGAUGGUUCUACAAUUUUUGGUUAUUUCUCGUGGCAAGAAAACAAAAAUGAACAAAUAAGGAUGAGAGAGAAAUUCAAGAACUCGAGAACAUAUUAUUGUUCAGUAUCACUUGAAUACACGCCUAUAGCCAUUCAUUCAUACUUGAAACACACAGCUAUUAUAACAGCUAUUAUAACCCAAAAUUCAAGUGAAUCCAGAGUUUCACUGCAAAACAAGCAAAUACAACAGAAUACAACUUCCAUAAAUCCGUAUCAACUCCUGUGCAACUUACAAGCACAGCUCUCAUUUCCCAACUCUGCUGCAACACAUGGAGGCUGAACGUUCUCACCAUCGUACCAAGUUGACCGUUUCUCGACCAAGUCGGAUAGGAAAUCAUCCAGCUUCUCUUGGCUAACGCUGGGCAUUACCACAACAUGGGCAAUAUUUCCUUCACAAGCUAGCUGCCACCUUCGAAUAAACUCUUCAUCUCGGGGUCGUUCAAACACAACUGUACUGCUGAGUUCAUUCAGCAUCGCACUAAUUCCCACAUCAAGAAGCCGGUCUUUCAAGUAGUGUGCAUUUCUGAGACACUUCUGAACUUCCUUUUGGAAACCUUUAUAGCCUUUUCUGUUAAGCGUGUACCAAAGGAAAAUAGGAGCAUGGCCAUUCCGACUUCCCAUGAUUGUGGCAUCUCUUGAGGCUAGAUACUCAACAUUGCUGGAGAGGGCAUUUAUAUGCUCCAACCUUGUAAGCUGAACACCACAAGGCAUAGGACAUCCAACAAACUUGUGGCCAGAAACACUAACACUUCCAAUGGGCUUCUUAAACGAGACCUUUGGUGCCUGCUCAAAAAACAAAACUAGUGAGCUGGGAUAGUAUACUGAAACUUACAAGCACAAAAUACAGAAGUUUUAUAAUUGCUUUCAUUUCAGGUGAGCCAGAAUGCGGAAGGGUAAACCCUAAGAAAACCAAAAGUAUCUUUUAAAGCAUUAAGAUGCAUGGAAGUAAUUCUGCCGUUCCCUAAUAAAAUGUCAUGCCAACUUCUCAUUUUACAGUUUACUUGAUUCAUGAGGCAAGUAUGUAAGGUCCUGAAAAUAUCCAACUGACAAGCCCGAACAAUUAAAAAUGACUAGAAGCCAGCAGCAGGGACAUGGAUCGAGUUCAUCAUUCAAUUAACAAACUACCUUGGAAAACAAAUAGUAAAAAAAGUUGAUACCUAAUGGAACGGAUGGUCCAAUAUGUUAAAUAUAGGAAGAAAUUACGCAUUAAAUAAUCAAUUGUUGCCCCAUUCUUGGGCUAAGCAAUUAUAUUUUCAUGCAUGGAUUUAUUUCAAUAUUCAAUCAAGAGAAUCUAGCAGCUGGAUUUUAUAGGCAUUCUUAAAUUAGCCUAUCCAAUCUCUAGGCCUUCCAUUUGAUUAACCUACAAUAGGUAAAAGAAGUCAACUAUCGACAAGAGAGUAUCUGUUGGCAGGAAAGAAUUGAAUGUAGGAUGAAGAGUAGCAGUUGGACAAGUGACCACUUGAUGCCUCUUAAUAGUUUACAGAAAAGACUGCUCCUUGUUCACCCUCUUCUUCAAACAUACGUAAAGUUUUUUUAUGAACGGGAGGCCAAAAGUCCCCAUCAAUUCUGCCACCAAAACUUUCCAGUUUCACCUUAACCUCGAGGUGCCUUCCCAGUAAAACGCGGCGUGUUCGAAUUCUGAUCGGUCACUAGUAAAGUUAGAUUAAGUUAAAAACCUCCAACGUAACCUCUUUUGGUUCUUGCUAAAUCCAUUGAAUCAGGAACCUCCAAGCCUUCUGCGCAGAGUCUGAGGGUAAUGAGUGAACCACCCAGACAGUAAUUUGUAUUAGGGGCAGCUCCCACUUAGGAAUCAAUUCGACUUACCACGGCAGGUCUAAGGUUCCUAUCAACAUAGUCACUUCAACUUUCAUCUUACCUUCAAGGUGGAAGGUCAGAAGUGGUAGCUAUUAAGUUAUUUCUUUUUCUUCUUUUCAUCUUAAGAGCUAAAUUUGGUAAAGCAUCUGAUGUGGCCUCUUUUAGUUGUUGCCAGAUCCAUUGAAUCAGAACCUCCUAUCAGGCCUCUGAUUACUAAUAUCUAUAAUAUAAGGAAAAAGUGAUGGGCGACUAAAUUAAAGGUAGGAUUGUUCAUUUUUGGGAUGUUUGGAGUAAGCUGUACAUUGGUAUUUGGGUCCAAGUGUUAGGCAGGCCCAAGUUCUUUUUCAUAUUUCAGGUGGUCAGGUUAAGGGAAGGAGGCAGGAAAUAAUUUCAAGGAAACUCGAGUCUCUGGGAGAGUGCUCUCUUGAAAUGCUUUUAUCUCUUAUCAGUUCGUUCUCUACACUUCGUGUUCACUUUUGCAAGGUGGUACCUUACAAAUCAGUAUCAGAGCAACAUCCUAUCAAGAGAAAAUCAAAUGGCACAAAAAAGUUUGAUGAACACCUAGAAUCAGAGGUUGAAACUCAGAGGUUUCUGGUUCUGGCUUUUGAGAAGUCAAUUGAAUCCAUGUCGCUUAAUAUGGGAGGAAUUUCUUCACAAGUUGAAGAUACUCAUAGAACACUUGUUGGAAAUAAUUAAUUUGUAUGAUCGUGACAAGCGUCAAGGAAGAAAAACUAGCCAAUUUGGGGCUUGCUGCUGCAGUAAGACAAAGGGAAAAUUCUUUGGCCUAAAUGGGUGCGAAGGUAAGAUAAAGGGCAAAUAUUCUAUGAAACUAGUGUUGUAAAGGAGAAAAUUCUCAAGAAUGUUAAGUUUUUGUCUAGCAGGUUCUCCAUAGAAGAAUUAACACCUUGGAUAGAGUUUUGAGGAGGGUGACCAACUUGACUGGGCCGUUGUGUUGCAUCAAAUGCAGGGGAGCGAGAGAAGAUCUUGGUCAUAUGCUGUGUUUGUGAUUUUGCUUACGCAAUGUAGAGUCUUUUUUUCCGAGUUUGGUAAAAGCUCGGCUAACAAGCAUAAAGCCUGCAAAGAGAUGAUAGAGGAGGUCCUCCAUUCUCCUUUCUCUGAGAAAGAAAGAUUUUUAUGGCAAACUGAGGUAUAUGUGGUAUGGGACUUUGGGCCUUGGGGGAGAAAGAGUAGAAUUUUUAAAGGGUAUAAAAAACCUUCGAAGUUUGGUCCCUGUAGGGGUCUGUGACUAGGUAUUUUAUAAACUAUCUGUUAGGUCUUAUUAUAUAGGAUUGGAGGACGCCUUUUAGGUUGUCUCCCUUGCUAUGGGCUUUCCCUUUUUGCAUAUAUGUCCGGGCAUUCUUUCGUUUUUCUCGAUGAAAGUUUGAUUUAGGUGUAAAGGUAAGAUAACAUUGUUCUGAUAGGAGUAAGGUUAUCAACCAAGAAUUAAGGUAAGGAAAGAAGCAGCCACCCUUACUGAAAGAGUUAAAAGGUAAGGAAAAACCAAAAGAAAAAAGCACAAAAAAAAAGGAAUUGGAACUUGGCUGAAAAACUCAGUCUAUCAAACCAGGACCCAAAUUGUAUGGCAAUAUCAAGUUCCUUCAAGUGAAAAACAACAAAGGUAGAAACACACCUCAGUGAAAAUUAUCAGUAGGCAAGAAAGUGACUUACACGUUUGACAAAAGGCAUCAUAAGUCCAAACAAUGCUCCAUCACAAUGAAUGUAGAACCGAUCUUUUGAAAACCCACAUUCGUUAAGUGUUUGUAUCACAAGAUCAAGAUCAUCAACAGCUCCCUUCACCGUGGUUCCUGCAACAAGAAUCCACUUAAUUCUCACAAAUAAAACGGACAUAUUCCCCUGUUUUUAGUCCAAAACAUAAAAAGAGAUAGAGAAAUUACCAAUAUUAACAUUGAGUAUAGCUGGUUUGUCUUUGUUAGCAAGCAGCUUAACUCUAAGGUCAGCACAAUCAAUCUCACCAGAUAUCAGAGUACCAACCUUCACACAGUCCAUUCUAUACAUUCUAGCAGCUUUGAACACGGAAUAAUGAGUUUCCCGAGAAGCGUACAGAAUCCCAUCCGGCAAAACUUCUCUCCUACAAGAACCAAUGCCUAAAAUUUCACUAAUGCUUUAAAAAAAAAAAAAAAAAAAAAAAAGAGCAUCCAUCAACACCAUACGAAACAGGAAGCGAACAACUCAAUGAAACUAACCCGACGAGAAUCCCAUGAAGAUUGCCUUCCGUACCACAAUUUGUAAUAUAUCCCCAGUACUCAUUCUUCUCAAUCUCCCAAAGGCGAGCAAACCAAUCUAAAACCCCAACCUCAAACUGCCUCGAAUGCACACCGUAAUUACUUUCAAUGAACGGAUCGCCAAGAUUGUUAAUUGAGAAAUGCUGUAACUGCGAUAGAGCACCGUAAUCGAAGUCCAAAUUAUAAGGAUACCCUAAAACAAAAAAAAACAGAGUAAAAUCCAAAUCCAAAUCAGAACAACGAAAAUUUUCAGUUUCUCAAACUAAAACCAGACAAGAGUUAACUAAAAACCUAAAUGAUAUUUAGUCCUCUCAAGAAGAUUCUUUCUAUAACGAGCCAAGACGCUAGCCAUGUAAGCUUCCUUAUCGCCGGUAGACUCGUCAUUGGCGUCAGGUUCGGUGAUGGAUAAGCAAGUGGUGUGAACAUUUCUACCAAGUACAAUCUCCCUCUUUCCUUUCUGAUUCGAAUCUACGUGUUGUUGUCCAUUGAGAUCCAAACCGUUGUUGGACACGGCCAAGGGUGGGAGAGGGUCGGAAAAGACAAGAUUGGUAUCAAAUUUUCCGAUCAAAACCUCAGCCCCACCGUUGUUUUCACCCAUCCCCAUCACGCUGCCAACCAUAUUCUCAGUAUCUUGUUCCUUCCAACAAAUCCUCUAUAUAUAUAUAUAUAUAUAUGUGUGUGUGUGUGUAUAUAUAUAUCAAUAUGUAUUCCUGAUCUGGAAAACCAAUCAAAAUUUAAAAUGAAAACAGAUUACAAGAAAUGGAAAGGUAAUGAAAAAGACAGAGAGAUGAAGAAGAAACCUGAAUGGUUAGGCUGAGUAUUCGCGCUAGAAUGGUGUGCUGUGCCCUUUGCCUAUAAAGAGAGAGAGAAUAAUUAUGAGUGGAAUCCUAACUCCAUGAGUGAUGGCUUUAUAAAGGCAAAAGUUUCCCACGCUGUUACUACCUAACAUUUACUCAUAAAUAUGUAUAUAGUUUAAUACAUGUAAGUAAGUUCAAAAUGUUAAUCUCCUGAAAAUAUUUACGUCUAAAAAAUGUAAAGAUAAAACGUCUAUACAAAUUAUAAAGGUAAGUUAAUUGCCUAUCUAUCACAUUUUAUUAUUUAGUUAAUUGCCUUUUACAAUGAAAUGGGAUCACUAUUCCUUCUUAUAUUAAUAUUGUACCUAUAAAACAUGAAACUAUCUAUACAAUCAUUAAAUUAUCAAUAGAAUAUUUAAUAUCAAAAUAUUUUUAUGGUCAACAAUAGUUAGUUUUUUUCUUUUUUUACUCUUUUGUUAUUUUCACAUCAUCCAACCAAAUUCCUAUAUUCCCAUUUUCUCUCUUGCUUUCUAAUUUGAUUUUCUCUUUUGUCCUUUUUUUUGUUUGUUUUCUUGUGAUUGUCCGCUUAAAAUAAAGUUAUAAUUACAAAUAUCUAAAUCAAAUCAUUAACAAAAUCUAAAAACAUUAUACUACUCCUUUGCUUAACCAUAUAACAAUAAUGAAUUUACAUCAUUAUAAUUUACUACCCUUUCAUCGAGUGAUAAAUCAAUAUUUGUAUUAUGAUCAAUCAUUUGACUUCUAUCAUUGAUAGAUUUUGACAAAUCUUGCUGUAUUUACGAUAUUUUAAAAAUAUUGUUAUAUACUUGAUUAUUUUAAAUUUAAUUACUAUAUUUUCAACUAUUUCAUAUUACAUAAUUAUUAAAAUAUAAAAAACACUUAUAAUAAUGAAUAAUUCACAAAACGUUCUAAAGUGGUUAAAAUAUCUAAAAUAAUAAUUGAAAAUAAAAUGUUAUAAAUUUAGGUUGUAAAGUAUAAAUAAAUGUUAAUUUAUGUUUUAAAGUUAAGGGAUUACAAACAAAUUUCGAAAUGACUUUAUUAAUUUAAAAGAAUGAUGUUUCUGAUUUGUAAAAGAACAAACGUAUGAAUAUAAUAUAGAAGUUAGACUUCUUAAAGCAAAACAUCUAUUCUUUUGAUUGAAGACAACGUAUAAAUGUAUAAUAGUCUUUUUCGACGUUUAAACUCAAACAAUUCUAGGGAUAAGUAUAACUCAACAACCCAACUCAAAUUAAUAUAUAUUAUUUAUUUAAUAAAACUUUUAAAAAAAGUUGCGAAACGUUCACGUGUGCUUUCCUCUCCUCCAUUUCUCUUCCUCACGGUGCCACAUCUUCUCUCUUCUUAGAUCUUCUCCUUUUUCAGUUUUUGGUUUUCCAUACAAAUACCAAUAAAAUUAAAAUUUAAACUUCAUGAGAGUUGUAAAGGAUUGCUACUAACUUGACUUUGCUUUUACAUGCACAAAUCAUAAUGAAUGAGGGUUAUUGUUGUUUACAUUGUUUUUUGCCUUGCUAUUUAGAAUUUAACCCAACUUAACUCAUACUUUACGGAUUGGAUUGAGAAUGUCUCACAACUCAAUCCAACCCGUUUAUAAAUAUACCCGUACAACGUAGGAAGAAAAUACAUAAAUGAAUAGAUGGGAGUGAGGUUUAUAAACUUAUAAUAUUGGAAAUGAAAUGGUUGUGAAAAUGAGGCUGUUAGGAAUGCAUUUGUUGGAUCCUGAGUUUAGUUAUGUUUAUAAGUUUAUAUCAUAAAAAUGAAUUGAUCCUUAGUUUAGUAAUGUGGAAAAACGGUUGGGUGAUUGAUUUGAAUUAGAAAAAGAAAAAAAAGAAAAAUGGCUGGCUGGCAUCUAACACAUUUGUUCAUCGCUGGGUCCCAGAAAAUAAGCAAUUGAAUAUUCUUAGAGAAAAUGAGAAAGAGAAGCGACAAGACCGUAUCACGUGCUUACGCUUUGGAAUCUCCUAUUUCCCCACCUCAUCUUUCCACUUUUACAUCUCUACCCCUUCUUCCUUUAUUACUUAAAAUAUCAACUCUCUCUUACCCUACUAAUCCUUUCCAACCAAAUAAACAAUACAAAAUUCAAAACAAAUAAUAAACAAUAUGUGGAUUGGAACUUCUUCUUUUAGUGGGAUAUAUGUUUUGUAGUCUUAAAUUUUGCUUUUCCUUUUAGCAUUAAAUUAUGUUUGAAAAUUAGAUAUAAUUAAUUUCAAAAUAGAAGGAGAAAGAUGGUAUUUAAAAUAUUUGGGUCUAUGGGGGAUAGACAUUGAUUGGAGGGGAUAGUGAGAGAGGAAAAAUAAAAAUAUCUUGAUAUUUCUUUAUAUUUUUUGGGGAAGUGUGGAGAUAAAGAAAAUUAAUUUUCUGGCCCCAUCCAAUCGCAAUAUCUUAACUUUUUUUAGCAAAACAAAUAUUCGUCUUGAUUCAUCCAAAUUAGAAUAAUGGUUAUAAAAUAGAUUCUUUUCUUGAUUUUGAGAUGGAGAUGAGCUCUUAUUUUAUUUUAUUUUAUUAGUUUUAAAUACAUAAAUAAAACCACUAUCGUAAUUAGUAUAGAGUUUUUGAUAUGGACAACUUCAUGUUUUUAGUGUGCGUUUAAACUUUUUAUUAUGAGAUUUUUUUAAAAAAUUUUAAAAUACGUAUAUGUGUGAAUAAGUCUUUAGGAAGAAUAUAGUUUUAAAAUAGAGGCAAUUGCAUAUGUAGCAAAAAUAAUUAUAAAAAUAUAGUCCAUAGUACCAUCUUUUUUAUUUUGCACAAAUGGCCAAAUUAAAGGCCUAGCCUAAAUUGAGAAUGGGUCUGAUACCAAAAUUACAAUUUUGCCCCUUACUUUAAAAAAUAGUGUGAUAUUGAAUCAGUGUAACAGCAUUAUUGUCCUCUCAUUAUUAUUAAUGAUCAAUUAUAUCCAUUAUUAUUUGAUUGUUAUUUGAUAUAGGUUAAUGAUACUAAUUUACCAUCUUAUUAUUGUUUAAUUUAGUAGGAUAAUAUUUACUAUUUACUGAUUUUUUUUAUACUUACUCAGUAGUUUAUCGAUAUUUUUAAUCUUUUAACAAUUAUUAAAUAGUUUCUGAUUAUAUAAUAUGAUUAUUUUUCUUUUUUCUUUUUUCUUUUUUGUGAAUGGUUAAUAAUUUUUUCUAUUAACAUUAUGAUUGUCAUAUAAUCCUAUAGCGUACAUUUUUUUUUUUUUGUUAAUUUCUAUUCAUAUGAUUAUCUUUUAAAUUCACAUAAAAAAAUAAAGAAAUGUUUAGUUCUUAACCUAUAUUAAAAAUGUACAUAUCCUUAUUUCUUAUUUCAUUGUUUGUGGUAAUUAUGUUUACCAACAAUGAAAAAAACACGUAAAAUGAAUAAAAAAUUGCAGAUUGAAGAAAGAAAUUAAACUGAAAAAUAACCCAUAGCAAUAUUGAAGAAAACCCUAAAAAAAAUUAAGCAAUAAAAAACAAAAUCAUACAAUAACACCAAAGAUCAAUGAAAUAAUACAAUGGCAUGGAGUCAUAAACAUCAAAAGGAGAAGAUGAUGUUGUACGUAGACUACAAAAGGAGAAGGAGAAGGAGAAGAAGAAGAAAAUCGUGCAAGAAAUCGCAAUGAAAGGAAACUGCAAAAUCGAAUGAAAAUUCAAAAAUUGUAGACGAAGAAUCUGAGCAAAAAACUAAAUAUAGAAACGAAAGAAAAAACAAAAUUUAUGAAAUUCCAAUAUGGAAACGUAAGAAGAAAGAAAGGAAAACGAUAGAAGAAAAAAAAAGGAAAAACGAUAGAAGAAGAAAGGUAGGUAUAAUUUUGGAAAUUUGGCAAUAUUUAACAAAAUCAAAUAUAUUAAUUUAAAAUAUUGUUGUAUGUGCAAUUAUUCAAAGUUAACGAAGAGUUAUUAUACAUUUGUUUUUCAUGGUAAUUUAUUUUUUCUCCAAUUUUCAAGUCAUCCAUUCUACACACUCCUUGAACUAAUAUUUUAACAAUUAAAGGACGAGAAUUUUAUGCAUGUUCAGGAGUGAUUUUAUAAUCACUAAACUUAUUUUUUAUUAUUCAAAAUCACUCUUAAAUCUAAAAAAUAUUAUCAAUAUUGAUUUAUUAACUUAUAUUAAAAACAUAUAUCAUUUAACAUAUCUAUAAUUUAUAAACAUCUCAUUAAAAUUUAGAAUUUUUUUUUGUAUGGAUGACUUCUUUAAAAGCGUCUUUUAUGAUUAAAUAACUCACCACUCACAAACGUAUGACAUAUAACUUUCUCUUUACGUGAAAGUGCAUUAUCACUUUUUUUAUAGCGUAUCAAAUAACCAUCUCUAUCAUAACCCUAACAUGAUGACAAUAUAUUUUUAUCACAGUUUGUUGACAUUUUCGCAUAAGUAUAUGGUGAGAUAUUUGUGGAAAAUGCAAUCUCUAGUAUAUCGCUUUGAAAUGAUUAUAUCUAACUCUAAUAAGAUGUGAUGAUCCCUAUGACAACCUUUUAUUUUUAUCGGUUUUGUUACGUUCAUAAAUAUAAUGUCAUCUUGAUCGUAUUAAGACUAUCAUAGGACGGUAUCUUUAACGUAAUAAGUGAUGAAAAUGUAGUAGUAUACUCUCACGUAAUCAAAAGAUUAUAUUUCAAAGAUUUGUAAAAGGUAAGUCUUUAACGAGAGAUUAUGGAAAGGUCACCUUAUAAAGGAAAAAAAUAAUUUUUUAAAAGUCAAAUUUAGUGCUUUUAUUUUAUAAAGGAUCUUUUUAAUCAACUUUAAAAGUUAUUCUACAAAUUAUGUACAUUAACUCUUUGACACCAUGACUACAUUUCUUUAAAUUUAUUGAGUCCAUUAAAAUUGCAAUGGAAAGAAAUGAGACAGCAAAGCAACCGCUCCCCGAAAAAUCAACCUAUUCAUCAUCUAAAAGAUUAUAAAAAAUUUCGAAUCAAUCUAUUGAUCAUCUAAAAAGAUUUGAGAAUCUUCAAAUCUAAUAGCGAGUUAGUCCUAAAAUACUAUACAACGACUUUAGCUUCCAACUCCUCAUUUGGUUGUAAGGAUCGAGUUGCAUCUCAAUUGAUAAUUAUAUAUUAUGAAUAUUAUUAGCGUCGUAAACAUACGGCGAACAAUAAUAAAAUAAAAAAGGAAAUAAACUCUGGUAUUGUAAUAUUUGAAACUAAAAUAGGGUUUAGAAGAUACACAUUAGGGCAUAUGUUGUAAAUGAAAUAGUUAACUAAAAGGACAUUUGAUUAGUUAUGAGAAACAAAGAAACGUCCCUUCGUCUACACCAAAGGCCUCUAUUUGGGUCAAUAAUGUCAUAUGCAUCGAUUUUGGAUAAUGGUUAUAUCCAAUCAAUCUCAAUGGAAAUAAUAUAUGGCCAUAUUUUUAGACAAAAAUAAUGGCCAAAUUACAUAUUUGCCCACUUAGUUAAUGCUGAAACCUACAAAAUUUUAAAUUAAAUUAUGGGAAAAUGAUUAAAAAAUGUUAAUAUCUCAGUUCUUAGCCACAUAUUCUUGAGAAGAAGAAUACAAAUUGUUUAAGCAAUUGUAGUUUUAGGAUCGUGUCAAGAUUGUUAUUUAUUUUGGGAAAUAUGUUUUUGCUUGUAUUGUUGUUGAGGAAGUGACAAAAGAAACUGGGUUUUGGUGGUUUGUUGAUUUUGUUUUGGCUUAAGAAAAAAUGGUGCAAACAUAGACAUUAUAUAAAGUUGGCUUUUGCACAUUUAAGUGGGGGAAUAUUUGAAAAUAAUUACAUAUGCAUUAUGCAACAUGUCGGUAUGGUUUAUUAGUGAUAAGACUUCUAUCAUUCAUAGACUCUUAUGGUUUAUUAGUGAUAGACCAAUGUUUGCUACAUAUAGUCUAUUAGUAAUAGAAUUUUAUUAUUAAUAGAUUAUGACAAAUUUUGUUAUAUUUGCAAUUUUUUAAAAAUAUUGUUAUACAUACUUAAUUAUUUUGAAUCUAAUGACUAUAUUUGCAACUAUUCCAAAUUAUUAUAAAUGAAAAAAUAGUAUUUACAAAAUAUAGUAAAAUUUCAUAUUCUAUUUGUUGAAAUUUAUGUCAUAAAACUCGUUGUUUGUAAUUUAAAAUCAUAUUCUUUUUCAAUAAAAUUGUUAUUAAGAAAUUAUUAGUAAAAUUAUUCUAUAAUCUUGAAUCCAAUAAACAAAGGUCCUGAGGCUAUUAUUGAGAAAACUUGAACUAUCUAUGGAGACAUAAAUGUGGAUCAAGUUCGAGUAUAUAACUUAAAUGAUAUAUAUAAUAUACGAAUAAAGAUGAAUACCUUAUUUCUGGGAUACUAUGGACGCGACCCACUUUGUAGUUAGUACAAACGAUGUGAUCAUGAAUCGUUCAUGUAGAGACAUGAAAGUGGGGGCAUUAUUCUAUGGAAAGAGUUUACAUAAGACUAAACCAUGAAAUAGUCACUUUUAUGUUUUAACAUCGUUUAUUGUUUAAAAUUGACUAUUUUAUUUAUUGGUGACCUAGGUGACCUAAUCUUAAUCUUGAAUAUGCAAAAGGCAUACGAUGUGAUAAACUUUGAAACAAUUUGACUUACAUUUUACUAUAAUGUUUAUUAUGAUAAAUGAUUAUGUGGCAACAAAGCAAUCUGAAUUUAUUUAUAGUGCUUGAUAAAAGAUCUCAUUCACUAGGCGUUUUCGUCUAACCUUUUAAAUAUUUUUUUUAUUCCCCUAGGUAGCAAAGGACAUUCGAUGUUGAACUUGCUAUCUCGAUCACCUACCGUGCUUCCUUAAUUGCAUCAUUUUAAUAGUGGCCGCUGUUAUCUCGCAUAACAUGUAGAAGUUAGGCGAGAAAAGCCAAAUCAUUGUCUUGAGUCUGUAUUCAUUUCUUUUGAAAGAUUUAUGUACUAAAAAUUAAAUGUACCCUUGUGGUUCGUUUAUCAAUGAAGUUUCUUGUUUUAUUCAAAUUCAAAUUGCGCGUUUAAAUCUUAUGGUUUAAGAAGUUAUUCUACUUAAUAGACGUUCAACGUGUUAUCUCGUGGAAAGAUACGCGUUAAGUGACUAGGUGGCAUGCUUCCACGCGGUUGCAUUGAGUGACCUUUAGAGCGGGAUAUGACAAGUGGUAUUCAAGCAUAAAUUCUUGGGAGCGUUUUCAAGUAGAGUCAUGCAUUUGGCGUCAUGUACUGAUAUGAGAGUCUAACAUAUUAAUAUGAUAUAGGAACCAUGACACCAUGAGGAAGGCCAAUAUGAGUUAGGCAAGUGGCAAUAGAUGUCCUAGCUACUGGGAGCGUCAAUAGAGCACAAGCGUUGAAUGAGAUGGCUAGUAACCCAUACAUUUCAGUGAGGAGGAUAACUGAGGAAGGCAUGUUUGAUCGUCUUCCUCAGAAAUUAAACUAAAUAUUUAGCAUCGAGAGGCUAAAGGCAUUAGGGGCAACAAGCUUUGUAAGAACCACUAAUUCAGGUGACGCGGAGAAGUGGUUAAGUUUGAUAGAAAAGUGCUUUCGAAUGAUGGACUGCCCCAAAGAGAGAAAAGUGAAAUUAGCAACGUUCUUGUCGUAAGAUGACACAGAAGACUGGUAGACUCUCCACACGACUAGGGCAGGAAGAGAAGUCCUCAUCACGUGGGAAUAAUUCAAAAAGACCUACAAGGAUAUGUUUUGCCCUCAUUCCUUCUGUGAUGCGAAAAGAAACGAGUUAAUUUGUUUGGUUCAAUGCGAUACCACCAUUGCAAAAUAUGAAAAAUGACUUAUUAAGUUGGUUAAGCAUGCUUUAGUCUUUGUUGUUGAUGAGGCAAACAAGUGCAAGUGGUUUGAAGAAGACUUGUGAACCAAAAUUAGAGCACCGAUCACGACCAGUAUGGAUUGGUCCAAACUUUUCUAAACUGGUUGAAGCUGCCAUAAGGGUUGAAAGUGAAGGAAUGGAAUUCACGUAGCGUAUGAACGCAGUGAAAAAAGAAUUCAAUAUGAAAAACAAAACAAAAUUCAAAUAAAACAAAAUUCAAAUAAAACAAAAUAAUGCCUAAACAUGCUUCUAAGGAUGAAAAGGAAAAAAACACUAACCUUUGUAAAAUCUUCCAAGAACUCCUUGAAUCUACCAAGAACACCACAAGUCUUCCUCCUUAUUCUUAAGGUAAAAAUCAAGUUGUGGGCUUCUGUGAUUUAGUUUGAAUAAUGAGAAAACUUUUUAAACGAUUUUUUUUCUUUUCGUAAUAUGCAGAGAGUUAAGAUUGUAUCUUAACCAUCUUUCUUAAGAGAGAUGGAGGGGGAAGUUAUCAAUAACUCCCUCCCUCUCCAUCACGUAUAAAAUAAAAUUAGUAUAAAUUUAAUUCAUAUUAUGCCUCAUAUAAUAUAAACUUUAUAAUGCCUCAUAUAAUAUAAACUUUAUAUUAUAUCAUAUAUAAUAUAACCUGGUUUAGCUCUCUCAUAUAGUUCUAAUAUGAAUUAAAUCCAUAUUAAUUUUAACCUAUAGUUUAUUUAUGAAUCUUAUUUAUAUUAUUAUUAUUAUUUGAAUCAUAUUCAAAUAUUAGCUUAUCUUAUAAAAACUUUAUAUUAUAAUAUAUCAAAUAAAUUGUAUCAUAUACAAUUUAUUUCCUUUAAUCAAUUUGAAAUUUUUUAAUUUAAAUCAAAAUAAAUUUGAUUCUCAUUUAUCUUUAUUGAGCUAACAAUGGGACCUUAUGGACUUACAUAUUGAAACUCCAAUUAUAUGAGAUUAAUUAAUUAAACUCUUUAAUUGAACUAUCAGUUGCACUCUUCUUAUUGAAGAUAUAUUUUUGUGUCCAUUACAUGUAACCAAUCCAGUGCAAUGACCCUUCACAAACUACUCGUAAGUACAGCUAGACCAAACAUUAUUGUUUUGCCCCUGUAGUUACAUCUAACUUCUUAAGUACCACUGAUUCUUCUAAUGAACAAUAAGUUAUAAUUUUACUAUAACUGAACUCCUCUCGGACCAAGAGAGAGUGUGGCGUCAUUGUUCAAGCCCUUAAGAGAGCAAUUUCUCUACUUACUAUAGAGAAUGAGUGAAUUCCUUCUUGUGUAGUUGUGUUUCUAGCUCCCCAAUUAGAGGAAUACCCAAAAUGGUAUGCAUAUUGAGUCGGCGACAUAGGCUACUCUCACCUAUACAAAUCAAAGGAUCGCAUUCAUUGGUAGAAAUUUACAACUUACUCAGGAUUUAGGACAAGUCACUUAUGGUCAUAUUGGUGCAAUUUAGUCUCAACUAGUAACGCUGUUAAUAAGGGAGACUGUUUAUUUCAUGGUUCGGUCUUAUACAAACUCUUUAUAUAGAAUACCCCGCUCUAAUGUCUCGACAUGAAUGAUUAAGAUCAAAUCAUUUGUAGCACUUUAUAACAAUUGUAACAACUACAAAGCAGACCAUAUUCGUAGUAUCACUAUGAUAAGGUAUCUGAUCUUAUCCAUCUACUACAAACCAUUUAGGUUACCUCUAGUGCUUAAAUACCAGUGCUUCUUUAAUGAACAACCUGUUUUUGGUCAAACCAAUAAACAUAAACUCCUCUCGUGCCAUAGAGAGGGUAGGGUCAUUUGUUCAAGUCUUAGAGACACCAUUUAAGGAAACGCUCAUCUACUUACUCUAAAGUAAGAAGGUAAUGAAUUCCAUCUUGUGUAAUUAUGUUCUUAGCUCCCCACUCGGUUUUAUCUCCAAAAUGAUAAGCAUAUUGAAUUGGUGAUCUGACCACUCUCAUCCAAUAACAUUUAUUGACAUUAUACUAAUAACAAUUUACUAAUAACGAUCAAUGAAUUAUAUUUACAAUCUACGAGUUUUAGGACAUAAAUCCUAACAGAGGGCACGCUCAGAGACAUUUGCUGAUGUUGGGUCCAAUGUACUUGGCGGAAGUGAGGGAUUUUAAUUGAAAGAUAGGUUCAAUAUGAAGUUCCCUACUAUGUUUUGCCAGGGACUGAACAUGUCGCCCGAAAACACGAUGGCUGCAAGACCUAGUCGAUCGAGCGACUGUGGGUCGGGUUCUAGGGAUCAAAGAAGAAGCGUGGAGGAGAAAUUGUGAAGCAUGUGGACGUCAUUCAUAGGACAAUGGACUGGGCGGAUGACUAGUUCAAGGCCAUUGAGUAUUGGCUGAAGAUAGCUAGACAAGAGGAAGACAUUUUACAGUGGAAAAUCAUUAAACAGUUGCAGUCUAUCACCCAGCUUAGUGUAGAGGACAAUGCACAAUGUAUGAUGGUAAUGACACAGAAGAUGGUCGUCACGAAAAUCUUUCUUGGACCUACUUGAUGAUAUGAAGCUCGCAUACUGCAACAUCAUUUUGUGUGAUAACCCGUGAUUGAUUGUCCACUUGAACCACUUGACAUGUUUUUAAAUCUUUUUUGCUUCUGCAUGAUGUCUGGUGUAAUUGACUUCAUUUUAUAACUCACAUUCUAGAAACUAUUUUGUUCUUUGUAAUUCGUUUCGUUUCAAUAAAAUUAUGCUUGAAGUUGUUGAUUUAAAUCAAUUGUUAAACAUACACAAUUUUUCGAGAAUGCAUUUACAAUAUCAAUUUUUUAAAAAAGGUAUAAUAUAUUCGUACAUAACGACCCAACAUUAAAAAAUGUUGAAAAUGAGCGUCGUCUAUGAAGAAAUUACUAGAAAUUGUUAUACGAAAACUAUGAAAAUUUGGUAACUUAAAUAUCUAACUUGUGUAUUGGAGUUAGAAUACAAACUUUAAAAAAAUUAAUAAUUUAUUGACACGAAACACUUGAGUAAAAAAUAUUGAAAAUGGAUAUCGUAUUUAAGAAAACUAAUGGAAUUUGUUUUCUGAGUAUAUGAUAAUUUGGUAAAUUAAAUAUACGAAUAUUUGUGUAUUGGAUUUAGCAUACAAAAUAAUAAUAAUAAUAAUAAUAAAUUCAUAAUUCUUAGCCCAAACAUGUGUUAUAAUAACCCAUUUAUAAUCAUUUCCUUAAACACAUGUUAUCAUAACCCCUCAUAAUCUAUUCCACUUAAUCUUUUCUUCAAACACAUGUUAUCAUAACCCCUCGUAAUCUAUUCCACAUAAUUCUUCCUCCAAACACAGGUUAUUAUAACAAAACCUUUUUCAUAACUCAAGAAUUAUCAUAAUCCUUUCCUCCAAUCGUUUCCUUCCCUUCCGUUCUCCCAAACAACGUAACUCAAGAGAUUCUAGUAUACACAAUUUAAUUUAUCAAUUUUCUUACGGUUGAGAAUGACUCACUACUUUAUUUAAGCCCACACCUCAAAGCAUAUUCAUGCUUGAGUGAGGUUUCCAUACCGCAUUGGAAGUUUAAGGGUUAAGAAGAGAUUAUAAAUAAGUGAACUCUCUAUAGGGUAACUAUGCUUGUCAGCCCCCUCCAAUCAUCCAACAUAAACAACUCAUAAUAAAAUUAUGUCAAUUAUGUCAAUUUUAUUUUGAAGAUAAUGGUUUUCACAAGACGACGAUCCAUAUUUGAUAUCCAAAGUCGGAGUUAAAACAUGUUUGAUUUUUAAGAAUAUUAAAUUUAAAACAAAAUUUCAUUACUAUUGGUAUGUUAGUUUAAGAAAAACUAAGUUCCUUUCAAUUUAAAACAAAAUUUCAUUACUCCUAUUCCUCACUCUUCCCUUUUUACUAUUUCCCACGUUUCAUCUCUCGCCUGUGUCACUAUUCUUCACUACCUCAUUUCGUUCUUCACUACCUCAUUUCGUUCUUUACUUUUCCAAACAUAAAUUAUAAUAAUCUGCACCCAAACACAGAUUAUAAUAACUCAUAAACUAUCAUAACUCACAUAUUAUAAUAACAAUAUGUUAUAAUAAUUUACUUCACGUUCCAAACGUCCUCUUACAGACUUGUAACAUGAACAAGGUUAUCAAUUGCCAGCCCCUAAUGAACACCAUCGACUUUAAGCGAUUCAAUAAACUAAGAAUUGAAACAACGCAAAGUGUAGACUUUGGAAAUGGCACACACUCAAUUUUGAAGUUCUGAUUUUAGGGCUCCAACAAAACCCCUUUCAAAAUCUAUCUCAAAAUCAUCAACACAUGUUCAAUCCCUUUUUUUUCUUAGUGAAAUUAUGAACAAUUUUAUCUUCACAUCAACAUUUUUUUUUGUUUUUACAAUCCAAGAGCACCCAAUGGUGUUUUCCCCUGUCCAGCUUCAAAGUAGAAGAUGAGCAUUGCUAACAUGGCGAUCCUAGCAUGCUUGAUUUCUGCCAACUUCAAUCUCUCCAAUUUCUCCGUGUCUGCAAUGUAAACCCCAUCUUUAAGAGUUCCUGCAAAUCCCAAUGGAUCGAAGAAUUUUCCUCCGGGAUACCCUUGUUCUCCGGUUGCGUUUGCGAAAUUCUCUGCCGUCCUCGACCAUGGUGUAGCCCAUUCCACCGAUUGAGAUUCUGGGUUGAAGAAAUCCACCCAUCGUUUGCUUUCAACCCAUCCCAUUAGCAGAAGCUGGGUUCCUAGAAGUGAUCCGAAGGAGAAUGGAGCAAUUGCGCCUGGAUCUGCUCCGGCUUCGAACCAUGGGAUUCCACUCCAGGCUUGUCCGACGAAGAUUCCGACCACUGCUGCCAUUGCCCACCGCCCGUGGAUCAGCUCUGCUUCUCUAUACCACUUCAAAAAUGCAGGGUCCUUCCCCAAACCCAAUGGGUCGAAGCCGUAGUCACCUGGAAGUCUACGAAUGGAACAAGUAAUUGCUUAUCAACUUACUAUGGUUGCUUAGCAAGUGUUCGUUUAAAUAUCUCUUCUAAAGUUUUCAACUAUGGUUGCUUAGAAAAUGUUUGAUUAAGUGACUGUUCUAGAUUGCUAAGAGUAACUGCUUUGAAAAUGUUCGAUGAAAUGCUAUGCCAGAUUCUAGAUGGUAAUUACCUAGAAACCGUUUGAUAAAAUGCCUUUCCCAUAUCUUUUCAAGAAUGCUGCUCUAAAAACGUUCGAUAAAAUGCCUAUACCAAAUUCUCCACAACAGUUGCUUAGAACAUGUUUGAUAACAAUUUUGUUCCCUAAUUUUCUACCCCUGUUUAAUUCCAGUCCAAAGUAACUUAAACUAGGACUAAAAUCCUAUCUUCCAACUGCAGGUUCAAAACAAUAACCUAUGUGCUAACUUAAAGAAAGUAAAAGAAACAUACGAGCCAUCAAGCCAUUCUGGGUCGACCAAGUUGCCACCACCUCUAACACCAGGGAGCCAAGACUUCUUAGGCUGAGCAGCAGCGACGAUGACAAGCUUGCUAGAGCUGACAACAUUGACACUACCUCUAGCUCCGGCCAGCAAGGUCCGAGUUCUGCUACUUCCACGGAGGAAGGGUGAGCCCAAUCCAGUAAGCACAGCACCAGAAGUUGCAGCCAUGGUUUUUGAGAUGGGAGAUUUCAGGUAUGUAAUGGAAUGUGUUAUAUGAUAUGAUGAAGAAGAGGGUGUGUGGGAGAUAUUGUGAAUUGAAUUGUGGGUUUAAAUGGAGCCAAGUAGGAAUCAUGAAGAUGAGAAUCUGGAAGGGAAAUCUAAUAGGAGGGUGUUGGAUAGAUUUCGGACCAAUGGGAAACAAGUUCUUCAUCCUCUUCUUUAAAGACCACUUGACUGCCAACCACGUGGACGAUCGCUCUCUUUGUUAGCCCUUUUUCAGCCUCAUGUUUCACUCCCAAUUUUCUACUAUGAAGCCAAAUCCACUUUGAAAAGUUAAUGCCCCAACGUCUUCUUUUGGGUUAAAGAAAUCUUUUUUCACUUGAGAUGCGGAGUUGAGUUUGGUAAAUUUGUAUAUUAGAUGCGAAGUUAUUUAGUCUAUAUUUUGGGUGUAGAACUAGUGAUUAAGUGAGGAUAUCUAGUGCAAGUUUUUGUAAACUAAAUAAGUCUAGUUUUUAAACAACUAUUUUUGUUUGCUGAAUUAAGAUGUCAAUUUUGAAAAUUUACAUAUCAUUUUAUAUUUUUUUGAAGGAACUGUUGUGCUUGGAGUGGCCAGAAUACUAUUGUUUCAUGUGAAGAAAAUUAAAAUAAAUAUUCACAUUAGCAAAUUAAAAAUCUCAAUAGAUAACCGUAAAAUCACGUAUCUGAUAGAGAUAAUAAGUGACAAGAUAUUUUCUUUUUUUUUUCCCUAAAAAUCAUGAUAUAUCACCGAUAUAUCUUUUCACAAUAAUGUUGUUCAUUGAUAAGAAAAUUAUGAAUGAUCUUUUAUCCUAAACGAGAUUAAUUAGAGGUUUAGAAUGUCAACGGGACAAGAAAAUUGAUGUGGAGCAAAGAAGGCACGACAUCGUAAGGUAGAAUAAUCCAAUUUCAUGCAAAAACCUCAACGCUCUAUGACUUUGUUGUGUAGUGCUGCGAUGCUAUAGAGUUUUUUGAAAGUAGCAUUACUACCCUAGUUGCCAACAAUUCUUACACAUUUUUGGCACUGAAUUUGAAUUUUAGGCAUUUUCUCUCGAACUCUUUUUAUUCUUUUAGACGAAUUGACUCGAGCCGACUUUCAUUCAUUUUUGUUGGAUGUUUUCAAGGAUGUAUCAUGCCUAAGAUACUAUUAUCUAUCUUGAGAUUCUAGGCUUAUCUUUUGAUUCACACACUUCUGAUGUUUUGAAUAUUUUGAUCUUGGGAACCUUAUGAUCUAGUGUGAAUUCUUUCUUUGGACUUAUUUCUUUGAUUGAGUGUGUUUGGAAAUGCUGGCGAUUUGCCAAGCAUGUUUAAUUAAUUGUUAUAGAUCUAAAUCUAAUACAUAAUUGUUAGUUUUAGAUUGCAAGAUAACAGAAGCUAAGUUAGAAUCAUUUAUUGAAUUGACAAUUUCAUUCUAAUAACAUUUAUGUAACUAGCUUAGGAUUGUAUUGAUAGAACUAAGUCAUGCACAGCGGAAAAAGAAUCGAAUUUCUACCCUAAUUGCCACAAUUAACAUGUAACCAUAAACUAAUCAAAUUAGGGUUUUAAGAAGUAUUACCUUUGAAGCUUUCAAAAGGUUUGAUGUCUUCUUACCAAAUCUACCCGAGACCACCACUAGUACUCAACUGCUAUCCUCUAGACAAAGAACCGGGUUGUGGGACCCAAUUUUGGUGUAGAAAGUAGUGGAGAUAAAAUGAGAUUGGAAGCUUUUUUUUUUCUUUUGUUGAGAUUAUGAAAAUGAUAAAAGAGGCAAAAGUCCUUCAACAUUUGAAAACAUCUCUAUUUAUAGCCUAAUUACAUGCAAAAUGCAUGCAAUUCAAUUGCCAAAUCUCAACACCUAAUAUUCCACUAACAAUUAGUGGAACUUAGUGGGCUAGGUGUCUAUAUCUCAUAUAGCCACAUAUCCCACUAAGAGUUAGUGGGAUUAUCCAACAAAAUGUUGGAUUUUCCCACUAACUUAGUCCAAGGGUAAAAUGGUCAUUAGAUAUUUCUAGUCAAAAGUCAAACUUUGACUUUUCUUAGUCAAAAGUCAAUAUUUUGACUUUUUACCAUUUUGUCCGUCUUGACUAAUUCCAACCUCCCGAGCAUGAAUCCGCAUUCAUUUUUCCAAAAUUCAAAUCACAUUUGAAUAUAAGGCCGGUCAAAGUUUGACUUUUCAAAGUCAAAAGUCAACAUUUUGACUUUUUACUAUUUUUGACCAAUUCCGAGCUUCUUAGUAUGAAUCCGCAUUCAUACUUAUAGUAUGUAAAACAUAAAGCUCUAUUUCUAAUUAGAAGACCGACGAUUAUAUCACUGUAUAUGUCGGUUUUCCUUUCUUCUCCCUAUUCGAACAAUUCGACUUAUUUCAUCACACUGUUCUAAGUUUAAUCCAUAUGAGCUAGCAGAGGAACCUAAUGGACCUAUAGAUCAUGGGCUCCAACGAUUCAAGAUUAACUAGCUAAACUCUUUUAAACCGAGUUAAUCAACAUUCGUUAACUAACGGGUCAUUCCACUAAAGUCCCGUAGUUGCACACCCCUCACUAUAGAUAUAUUUGUGUCCAUUUGAUAAAACCAUAAUCAGUAAGUUAAUCCUUCACAGGUUGCUCGUAACCUUGGCUGGGUCAAAAUACCGUUUUACCCCCAAGAUUACAUCUUGCUCCUUAAGUCCCACUAAUCCACUAUUGAACAAUUGGUUUAAGGUUCAACCUAUAAACUUAAUCCCUCUCGGGCCAAUGAGAGGGUGGGGCCCCUUGUUCAAGACUUGGAUUCAGUGCUUAAGAGAGCAACCUAUCUACUAACCCUAAAGCGGGUAGGAGUGAAUUCCAUCUUGUACCCUAUGUUCCCAGCUAUCCACCCGAUCUUACCCCUGAAAUGGGAGGCUUAUUGGGCCAACGCUGAUGAGCUGCCCUCACCUAUGCAGAUCUAAGGAUAAUCUCGUAUGAACAGGAGUUCAUAGUUAACUCAGGAUUAAGACUAAGUUACCUAGGUCAUCAAUAAUUGAGAUAGUCAGUUUUAAACAGUAAACGGUGUUAUAACGUAAAAAUGACUAAUUCAUGGUUCAGUCUUAUGUAAACAUUUUACAUAGGAUGCCCCCACUUUCAUGUCUCUACAUGAACGAUUAGGAUCACAUCGUUUGUACUACAAAGUGGACCGCAUCCAUAGUCUCUCAAAAUAAGGCGCCCAACCUUUAUUUCAUAUACUAUAGACUAUUUAGGCUAUAUACUCGAACUUGAUCCACGUUUAUGUUUACACAUAAAGUUCAAGUUUAUUCAAAAAAUAGCCUUGGAACUUUGAUUUAUUGGAUUUAAGAUUAUAAUAUUUAAUUUCUCAAUAACAACUUUAUUGAAUAGAAUAUGAUUUACAAACUACGAGUUUUAGGACAAAAAAUUCCAACAAACUCCCACUUGGACUAAAAUUCCUAGUGGUAUGAGAGAUGUGGUGUGAGAGAAUAUAUAUGAAACUAGGGCACAUGGCCAAUAAGUCUCCCACUUGUCCUAGUUUACAAACAUCGUACACCUAAACUGUGUAGGUGACCCUCAAACACUUUAGCCGUGAGGGCUUUUGUAAAAUGAUCAGCUUCCAUUGUGGAAUCAGCUAUACAAGUUUGCUUUAUGCUUCUCCAAACUACUGCUCCUCCAUUUAGAGUAAAUACUGAUUCUGAUGUAGACUUUCUAACAUCUUUAUUAGUUUGGAAAUCCGAAUCAGUGUAUCCAGUAAGGAUCAUAUCCUUUGUACGAUACAUGAGCAUGUAGAAUGUUUUUAACGGCUGUCCAGUGAUCACGUCCAUGAUUGGAUUGAUACCUACUGACCAUCCCUACUGAGUAGCAAAUGUCAGGUCUAGUACAUAACAUUGCAUACAUUAAACUUCCAACAGCGGAAGCAUAGGGAAUAUUUCUCAUAUCCUCAACUUCUUGAGGUGUCUUAGGACAUUGUUCCUUUGACAAAUGAAUUCCAUAUCUGUACGGCAGCAGACCCUUUUUGGAAUUCUGCAUUUUAUAUCUAGACAACAUUUUGUCUAUGUAAGAUGCUUGAGACAUGGCUAGUGUUUUGUUCUUACGGUUUCGAACAAUUUGGAUUCCGAGAACGUAUUGUGCAUCUCCCAGAUCUUUCAUUUGAAAUUGCAUAGCUAGCCAUUUCUUGAUAUCAGGAAGAUAUCCUAGUCAUUUCCAAUAAGUAGAAUAUCAUCUACAUAUAAGACUAAAAAAUGCUAUAAUGGAAUUGACGACCUUUUGUAAACACAAGGCUCGUCAACAUUUUGUUCAAAGCCAUAAGAUUUUGAUCGCAAUAUCAAAUCUUAUAUUCCAGGAUCUAGAAGCUUGUUUUAAUCCAUAAAUGGAUUUUUUAAGCUUACAAACCUUUUGUUCUUGAUCUUGUUUUAUAAACCCCUCUGGUUGAGACAUAUAGAUGCUCUCUUCAAGAUUACCGUUCAAAAAAGCUGUCUUGACAUCCAUCUGCCAAAUUUCAUAAUCAUAAAAAGUGGCGAUGGAUAAGAGUAUUCUAAUUGACUUUAACAUGGCAACGGGAGAGAAAGUUUCCUCUAGUCUACUCCCUCUCUCUAGGUAUAACCCUUUGCCACAAGUCGAGCCUUAAAAGUCUGUACUUUACCGGCAUGGUCUCGUUUUCUCUUGUAGAUCCAUUUACAACCAAUAGGUUUUACGUCAUUUGGUUGAUCUACUAGAGUCUAGAAAGAAUUAAAGUACAUAGACUCCAUUUCGAGGUCCAUGGCUUUGAUCCAUUGGUCACGAUCUACAUCUUUCAUUGCCUGUUUAUAGGUUAAUGGAUCCUCUAUGCCAUCGUCAGGUAUGACGACUUGAGUUUCAAUUAAACCCAAAUAGCGAUCAGGCUGAUGAACAACCCUCCCACUACGUCGAGGCUCUCUCAACUGUUGAGAAGGAUGUGAUUGACCAGAUUUCCUAGUCUUAUCAACUACUUUAGUGGAUGAACUAGGUUUUAUCUAUAGCACUUUUGGAAAUUUCUUUAAAUACUAGUUUACUACGAGGUUGAUGAUCCCUGAUGUGGUAUUUUAUUUUCUUGAGGAUCAUAAAACAAACCACCUCUUGAUUCUUUUGGAUAACCUAUAAAAAAGCAUAAUUUUGAACGAUGUUCCAAUUUCUUUGGAUUUUGUACCAACACAUGUGCUGGACAACCCCAAAUUUUAAAAUGACGUAAACUGCCUUUACGCCCUUUCCAUAGCUCAUAAGGUGUUUCUGAAACACUUUUAGAGGGAACAUUAUUCAAAAUAUAAGCAGCUGUUUCUAAAGCAUAUCCCAAAAAGAAUCUGACAUCUGAGAAAAACUCAUCAUAGAGCGAACCAUGUCUAACAAGGUCCAGUUUCUUCUUUCUGAUACACCGUUCUGUUGAGGUGUACUAGGUGCAGAGAGUUGUGACUGGAUUCCAUUUUCUAUUAAAUAGUCUCGGAAUCGUAAGUCCAUAUACUCUCCACCUCGAUCUGAUCGAAGUAUUUUUAUUGUUUUACCUAAUUCGUUUUCUACUUCAGCCUUAUAUUCUUUGAACUUUUCAAGACUAUUAGACUUAUGAUGUAUUAGGUAAAUAUGACCAUACCUUGAAUAAUCAUCAAUGAAGCUAAUGAAAUAUUCAUAUCCACCUCGAGUUUUGACAUUCAUUGGUCCACAAAGGUCCGAAUGUACGAGCUCUAAGGGUCCUUUGGCUCUUAGACCUUUUCCAGUAAAAGAUCUCUUGGUCAUUUUUCCUUCAAGACAAGAUUCACAAGGAGGUAAAGAGUUAUCUUCUAACGGACUUAGAAGCCCACUUUUAACCAAUCUCCCAAUCCUAUUGAGAUUUAUGUGACCAAGUCUUAAGUGCCAUAAAUAGGCAUUAGAAGAAACUUUUUGUCUUUUAUUCUGAGUUUCAGCUGUUCUGAAUAUUUCAGUAUUUAAGACAAAAUUUGCUCUAGUUGGUCUUAACUUAUAUAAGUUGUCUUCAAGUAUAGCAGAACAAACUAGAAUACCUUUAUAGAAAACGAACGCUUCAUUAAUUUCAAAAGAUAUUCUAUACAUUUGUUCCAAAAUACAAGAGAUAGAUAUUAAAUUUCUUUUCAUUUGAGGUACAUAUAAGACAUUCUUAAGUAUGACAUAUCUAUCUCUAAAAAACAACUUUAAAUCUCCCACUGCUGAAGCUGAGACCAUCUCUCCUGUUCCAACCUUGAGAGUGAUCUCGCCUUCUGAAAGCUUUUUCCAAGAACUAUUUUCCUGAAAUGAGAAGCAAAUAUGGUUAGUGGCUCCUGAAUCUAGUAUCCAGGUAGAAUUUUCAUAUUCCACUAAACAUGUUUCUACAACUAGUAAAUCAUAUUUACCUUGUGUUUCCUUCUCUGCCUUUUUUUCUGCAAGGUAUUUUGGGCAGUUUCUUAACCAGUGCCCGUUUUGGCCACAAUGGUAACACUUACCUUUUUCUGCACCUUUCUUACCCUUGUUCUGUUUGGGAGUCUUUCCCUUUCCCUUCUUUUUUAUUUGAGCAUUAGGUUUUGAGGGUCCAGCUUUGGUUUUAGAGGACGAUCCUCUUAUAAAUUUUCUUUUUGUGGUAGCAACAUUUGCUUCCACUUGUUUUCCUUUACCCAUAGUAAGGUUUUGGAAUCGCUGGAGUUCAUUCAGAAGGGUUGUCAAGUUAAAUUCUAUCUUGUUCAAAGACGCAUUCGUUUGGAAUGGAAUGAAGCUCUUCGGAAGAGACUCUAAGAUAAAACUAACUUGAUUAACCUCUUCGAUGGGACCACCAUUCACUUCAGCGAUGUUGAAGUGCAUCAUCAUGUCCAGAACAUGUUCUCUAACAGAGGUCCCUUCCUUCAUACGCUUAGUGUAAAUGUAUUUGACUGCCUCGUGUCUUAAGGACCAUUCUGGUUGCCCAAACAUUCCCCUUAAUGAAUCCAUAAUCUCUUUAGCCGUGGCUAAGGAUUCAUGUUUCUUUGCCAAUACAUCAGACAUGCUGGCAAGAAUGUAGACACGGGCUUUUUCAUUAGCUUUUAUCCAUCGAUCAUAUGCAUCCCGACUAGUUCGGUUAGCAUUAGAGGCAGGGUUUUGAGGACAUUCCUCAGUUAAGACAAAUCUUAAAUCGUCAACCACUAGUAUUGUGUUAAGAUUUGAUUUCCAAGCCGCAUAAUUAUCGCCAUUAAGUUUUUCGGAAGCUAAAAGUUGAACUAUUGAGCUAUUCAUGCUGAAAAACAAACAUAUUCUUUUUAGGAAAAAAACUAUAAUCAUAAAAAAUAUCCAAUCUAAUUUAGCAAUUACUAAUAAUGUACCCUUUCAUUAUUUGUAUUUUGCAACAAUAUUUCAAAGGUUUAGAACAACCUUCUCCGAAGGGUAGUUGAUUAUUCCUCCUUUGAACCAAGACAAUCUUGACUAGAUGCUAUCUCAAGAAUAACUCUUUAUUCUUUAUAGCACUUAGUUAUCGCUACUUUAGUCAAGAAUAUACUAACAACUUAGUAAUUCUUGUAAGUGUUACCCACCAUUUUCAGAUUUUAUAGAUUAGAAUCAUUUAUGAAAACUAAUCUAAGAAAUCCUAUCCAGUUUUGGAGUUCGCGGUGUUCCGAAUCCUAUAAUACAACCCUCCGAAGGGAACGUCGCUCCAGGGCAGACAAGCAGGCAUAUUAUAGAAAUCUCACGGUGCGACCUAAUGGAAGAGACCGUGGGAUGUGCUGCCACAAAUCCCUCACCCACUUACUAUGAACUACUUCCCCUAUUCACCUUGAUUUUGAUCCAUGCAAACACUCUCCGAAGGGAGGCCGCUCCUAUGCACGGCACAAAGCCCUGCAUGGACCUCACGGUGUGAACUCUUAGGGACACUAGAGCUAAAAUACAUUAUUUUUCUCUAGUUGAAGUGUUCUAAAAGAAAAAAAUAGGGUAAUCCAAACUUCAAGAUUUAUAUUUAGGCUAACUUAAACAAAUCUUAAGUCUAGAUAAAACAUCCAAGUAUAACCAUUAUACAGGAUUUUAACCUAUGAUGUCUAGGUGAAAAACCAUUUUUAUUACCUCACACCUCUCACGAAUGCUCAUAAAACUAGGUUAACUAGGCUCAAGAACUGAUUACGAUCUCCAGGUAGGAGGUGUUCCGUAAACCGUCAACUUAAGAACCUCCAACCUUAGUCAUCUUAUCUGACUUGUUGACAAGAUUGAACCAGGUGAGCCUUUUGUAACCAGUUUUACAAGAUAUCGACCUAUUUCUAUGAAAAAUGGAAGAUAUGUUUAACCUAAGUGAGCAUGCAUUUAAUCUUUGUUAUUGAUUUUAAAAGUCUAAUUUAUUUUAUAACACUUAUAAAAACUUUUAAACUUAAUCAAUCAUUUUAUCAAUAUAUAAUAAAAACAAUCAAUUAAUAUGGAUUUUAAUUUAUUUAACUUUAAUUAAAUCAUAUUUAAUUAAAUUAAAUCAAACAAUAAUUAAUUAAUUUGAUUAAAUCAUAUUUAAUCAAGAAUAACUUAAUUAAUUAAAUAAUUAAUUAAUCAUAUUAAUUAAUUUCCAUAUUAAUCAAUUAACAUGCAUACAAUACAAUAUAACCUUUAUAUCAUACAUUUUAAUGCAUGAACAUGUUAACCUAUGGUGGGAUUUUAAAUCUAUAUGACAUUCAAAAUGCACAUACAAAUUUAAAGUAAUUUAAUCAUACAUCACAUGCAUAAAUAAAAAAAAACACCCUAAAAUGGACUGAUUUUUGGCUCCUAAAUUAAGCUAAGUGCUAAAUUAUUACAUAAUUAAUUUGGUGUAGUACAGAACCACUCCCAAAAAUUUCGAACCGGCUAAAAAACCAACCGAAACCGCUUGAACCGGCCCAAAAACCAAAUUUAUUGGCUUGAACCGGCCCAGGCGCACACGGGUCGUGCGAAGGCAGGCGCGCGGGCGAAGGCGGGCGCGCGGGCGCAUGCGGGCGCGCGGACACAUGCGGGCGCGCGGGCGCAUGCGGGCGCGCGGGCGCAUGCAGGCGCGCGGGCGCAGGAGGGCGCGCGGUCGCAGGAGGGCGCGCGGGCGCGCGCGGCGCGUUGGGACGCAGGAGGGCGCGCGGGCGCAGGAGGGCGCGCGGGCAUGCGGGCGCGUGCGGGUCGCGAAGCGGGUCAAAACCGGGUUUUCGGGUCUGUGACCUUCUUUUCUUCAUUUUUUUCAAUUCUCUCACCCGGUUGAACCAAUUACAGCCUAGCUUCAACUCUAAUGACUUUUUUUAUUUUUUAAAAAAUUACAAACACUUUGCAACAAUAAAAAUAAGCCAUUAACAAGGCUAAUUACAAUAAUUAGAACAAAAACACUUAAUCUAGAGCCAAAAUCAUAAUAUAUCCAUUUUAGUUCAAACCAAAAUUUAUCUAAUAAAUAUGAACCCACCACAUGCAAUUGGGUAAAAAUGAAGCAUGCUCUGAUACCACAUGAUAGAACUAAGUCAUGCACAGCGGAAAAAGAAUCGAAUUUCUACCCUAAUUGCCACAAUUAACAUGUAACCAUAAACUAAUCAAAUUAGGGUUUUAAGAAGUAUUACCUUUGAAGCUUUCAAAAGGUUUGAUGUCUUCUUACCAAUUCUACCCGAGACCACCACUAGUACUCAACUGCUAUCCUCUAGACAAAGAACCGGGUUGUGGGACCCAAUUUUGGUGUAGAAAGUAAUGGAGAUAAAAUGAGAUUGGAAGCUUUUUUUUUUCUUUUGUUGAGAUUAUGAAAAUGAUAAAAGAGGCAAAAGUCCUUCAACAUUUGAAAACAUCUCUAUUUAUAGCCUAAUUACAUGCAAAAAUGCAUGCAAUUCAAUUGCCAAAUCUCAACACCUAAUAUUCCACUAACAAUUAGUGGAACUUAGUGGGCUAGGUGUCUAUAUCUCAUAUAGCCACAUAUCCCACUAAGAGUUAGUGGGAUUAUCCAACAAAAUGUUGGAUUUUCCCACUAACUUAGUCCAAGGGUAAAAUGGUCAUUAGAUUUUUCUAGUCAAAAGUCAAACUUUGACUUUUCUAAGUCAAAAGUCAAUAUUUUGACUUUUUACCAUUUUGUCCGUCUUGACUAAUUCCAACCUCCCGAGCAUGAAUCCGCAUUCAUUUUUCCAAAAUUCAAAUCACAUUUGAAUAUAAGGCCGGUCAAAGUUUGACUUUUCAAAGUCAAAAGUCAACAUUUUGACUUUUUACUAUUUUUGACCAAUUCCGAGCUUCUUAGUAUGAAUCCGCAUUCAUACUUAUAGUAUGUAAAACAUAAAGCUCUAUUUCUAAUUAGAAGACCGACGAUUAUAUCACUGUAUAUGUCGGUUUUCCUUUCUUCUCCCUAUUCGAACAAUUCGACUUAUUUCAUCACACUGUUCUAAGUUUAAUCCAUAUGAGCUAGCAGAGGAACCUAAUGGACCUAUAGAUCAUGGGCUCCAACGAUUCAAGAUUAACUAGCUAAACUCUUUUAAACCGAGUUAAUCAACAUUCGUUAACUAACGGGUCAUUCCACUAAAGUCCCGUAGUUGCACUCCCCUCACUAUAGAUAUAUUUGUGUCCAUUUGAUAAAACCAUAAUCAGUAAGUUAAUCCUUCACAGGUUGCUCGUAACCUUGGCUGGGUCAAAAUACCGUUUUACCCCCAAGAUUACAUCUUGCUCCUUAAGUCCCACUAAUCCACUAUUGAACAAUUGGUUUAAGGUUCAACCUAUAAACUUAAUCCCUCUCGGGCCAAUGAGAGGGUGGGGCCCCUUGUUCAAGACUUGGAUUCAGUGCUUAAGAGAGCAACCUAUCUACUAACCCUAAAGCGGGUAGGAGUGAAUUCCAUCUUGUACCCUAUGUUCCCAGCUAUCCACCCGAUCUUACCCCUGAAAUGGGAGGCUUAUUGGGCCAACGCUGAUGAGCUGCCCUCACCUAUGCAGAUCUAAGGAUAAUCUCGUAUGAACAGGAGUUCAUAGUUAACUCAGGAUUAAGACUAAGUUACCUAGGUCAUCAAUAAUUGAGAUAGUCAGUUUUAAACAGUAAACGGUGUUAUAACGUAAAAAUGACUAAUUCAUGGUUCAGUCUUAUGUAAACAUUUUACAUAGGAUGCCCCCACUUUCAUGUCUCUACAUGAACGAUUAGGAUCACAUCGUUUGUACUACAAAGUGGACCGCAUCCAUAGUCUUUCAAAAUAAGGCGCCCAACCUUUAUUUCAUAUACUAUAGACUAUUUAGGCUAUAUACUCGAACUUGAUCCACGUUUAUGUUUACACAUAAAGUUCAAGUUUAUUCAAAAAAAAUAGCCUUGGAACUUUGAUUUAUUGGAUUUAAGAUUAUAAUAUUUAAUUUCUCAAUAACAACUUUAUUGAAUAGAAUAUGAUUUACAAACUACGAGUUUUAGGACAAAAAAUUCCAACAUGUAUACCAUCCAAUAAUCAAUUGAACAAUUUUAAAUUGUUUGAUCGACUUCGCUUUAGAUCCAAAUCUUAAUGUCAAUUGAUUUGCAUAUUUAGGAUGUUUUUAAUCUAAACAUAAGGAUUGAUUUGAUUUAUAGAACAUCACACUAGUUUCUCAAGACGUGGUCAACUAAGAUUUUGUUCAUAUAUUGCAAGGAAUCUAAUAUGCACGAUAGAAUCUAAAGUAACCUACAUAAGUCUUGGCCUAGGUAUUUAUCUCAUUGAUAAAUUUAAUUCAACGAUCUUCCAAUUUGUAUUUUAUUGUCAUUGCUUUAAUUGUUUAAGUGAAAUUAGGUGUAAAACUCUGAUUCGAAAAAGAUGUCUCAUUAAGAAGAACCCUUGUUCGAAAGUUGUUUUGGGUAAGUGUGGAGAUAUACCACAAGGAAGAAUGCGAAGAGAAGAGUGUAAGCCAAAUGUCCUAUCACAUGAAGGUGAGUAAGGUGAUAAGAAUAGCAGACAAGAAAGGCAAUAUGUUGAGUGAGGCAUUGAAAGGAUACCACAAGAAGUAUCUGUACCUACGAGAUUGAGGCAAAGAAUUAAACGUCUUGUCAAACGACAUGACAACUCGCUAUGAAAAAAAAAACGACGGUAGCUUCUUCGGAAAGAGAACGGAGACAGUUAGACAAUUAAGAGUUUGACUUCCCAAUGAGAUAAGAUGUGUGUCUCAAAGGAAAAAUCAAAUCAUCGUUGACAAAUAGGCUACGUGUCGAAUUCAGAUUGGUAGCAUUAUUUUAUUCUAAAUUUUCUCUAAUUUUACUUUCCCUCCUAAACUUUUUCACUAAAAAAUUAGAAAAGAACCCUUUUCUUUGUUUCCCUCUCUCCAUCUCACUCCUUUCUCUUUUAUUUUCUACCUUCAUCUCCACGAAACCCAAUUCUACCUCUUAUCUUCGUCUCCACGAAACCCAUUUGAACGACCACACGGAAUAACAAGGAUAGAUUUUGCUAUUGUUGUUGUGAGGAUGAGAUGUGGGAGAGGUUGAAACCGAAAAUGGCAACACACACCAUGUUUGAUAUGUUUUUCUACUUCUUUUUCUCUAUUGGAAUUCAUAUCUAUCCAAAUUGAAGCCUUAAUCCUCUUUCUCCCUUUAUUGUUGUGUAAAUUCAGAUUUACGUGGAUGUAUUAUCAACUGUGGUGCCAGUUGCCAAUUGCUUUCUUAUUAUAACGUACCUUUUCUAUUUCUAGUUCUAUCUUCCAAGUUCUACCUAGUACCAAUUCCUAAGCCAUUUCUAUUAAUAUUCUUUAUUUUAGAUCAGAGAUGUUGUGUGCUGAAACUCAUCUCACUCCACACACCAACAAGGUGAGUGUAGGCUGCAACAACCUUUCAUUGACUUUCUUCAACCAAAUAAAAUGCCCACUAUUGACUUUCUUAUCUUUCUGGUGUGCUUCAAGUCACAUGCUGGAAGGAGGAUGCUUUCGUUGUCGGUAGCUAUUGAUCUAGAGGAGUUAUUACUGUUGCUGAUGGUGUCUCUGAGUAUGGUUUGAGAAUAUGAGAUUGAGAAAUAUUGGAGAGUAGUAUACCCAAUUAAUAUCUUGUUUAAUUAUGGCUGUUCUUGAAUUUUUUCUUGCUUAGUUGGACUGAAGAAAACAUGGAUCCUUCUUUGUUCUCUCGAUAGUUCUUGGCUAACGCUUCAGAUUUAGUGAAAAAUGAUGAUGAAGUUAUUGUUGGGAUUUAUGUCCUAAAACUCGUAAAUUGUAAAUAUAAUUCAUUGACCAUUAUUAAUAAAGUGUUAUUAUUGUAAUAAUUGUUAUUGAUUAAAUUAUUAGUUUUUGUCUUAAUAAUCCAAAUCCAAUAAACUAACAUCUUAAAUUAAACAGUCUUGAACAGUAUGUAGAGACAUACAGGGAUCGUAACACUAUUGAUACGACUCACUUUGUAUUUGAUACAAACGCAAUGAUCCAACGUGUUUGUGUAGUUGACAUGCGAGUGAGUGUAUCCUAUGCAAUGAGUUUGCAUAAGAUCGAACCGCGAAAUAGUAACCACUAUAUGUAACUCCGUUAAUUAGUUAGGUUUCUAUUUGACUAGGAUGACCUAAGUAACUUAGUCUUAAUUUUGAGUGUGUUAUGAACUCCUGUUUGCGAGGGAUUGUCCUUUGAAUUGUACGAGUGAGACUGACCAGAUCGCCGACUUAAUAAGCUUAUCAUUUUGGGGACAAGACCGAGCUGGGAGCUGAGAACAUAAUUACACACGAUGAAAUUCACUCAUUCCCUACUUUAGGGUAAGUAGAUAAGUAUUCCCUUAAAUUGUAUCUCCAGGUUUUGAACAGAGGGUCCUACCCUCUCUAUGGCACAAGAGAGGUUUUUGUUUAUUAGUAGGACCAUAAACAAGUUGUUCAUUGUAGGAGCACUGAUAUUUAAGGAUUAGAGGUAACCUAUGGGUAAAACGGUAAAUUGACCCAGUUGGUGUUACGAACACUCGUGAAGGACUAACUUACUGUUAUUGGUCUAUAUCCGUGAACACAUAAAUAUAUUUACAAUGAGAAGAGUUCAGCUGUGAGUCUUUAGUGGAGUGUACACACAGUUAACGAAUAUUGAUUAAUGAGGUUAAUGAGUUUAGCUAAUUAAUCUCAGAUCGUUGUAGCUUCUGAUCUAUAGGUCCAUUAGGUCCCCUUCCUAGUUCAUAAAAGGUAAUUAGAUUUAGUUAAAUUGGUUGUAAUUUGAAAUGUUCAAAUUUACUUAGGGAAUUAAUGAUGUAAAGUGAUACAUUAUAAUAUAAAGUUUGUGAAACUUUAUUAUAUAAAUUUAAUUUUGGAUAUGAUUCAAAAUUAAUUUAUGAGAGAUUAAAUAUUUGAAUAAGUUUAAAUAUUAAUUUAAUGUAAAUUGGAUUCAUAUCAAAAUUAAUGGUUACGAGAGAAACUUAUAUUUGAAUAUGAUUCGAAUUUAAUUUACCUUAAAUACACGAUAUUUAAUUUAGUUAUUAAUUAUUAUUAUUAUUAUAAUAAUAAUUAUUAUUAUUAUUAUUUGGUAGUGGUAGUGGUGGUGGUAGUAUAAUAAUAAUAAUAUAUGUUUGCAUUCUUUCUUCGACAUUUUACUUUGAAUUUAUUUUGACAAUACUACAAUGUUAUUUAGUAUUAGUUAAUUAGUUUGAUUUUUCUUUCUUCACGUUAUUAUUCUCUUUACAUUUUAUCCUUAAAAGAAAAACUCCAACGACGAAAUUUAGAAAUAUUUGGGAGUUCGUAAUUUCUAAAUUUUUUAGGUGAGGGGAUCGAUUCUUUGGGAGACCUUGAUCGAUCUCCAAUACUUAAAAAAAAAAAAAAACAAAAUCUUAUGUUAUUUGCUUAAUUUGUUGUGUGGCAUAUUUGAUUUUGUUUGUUUGUCAUUCCCUAUUUGACCUCUAUUUCAAAAUUUUCAAAGCUUUAAAAUAUUUUAACUUAAAUCACAAGUAAUUUUGAAGUCUUUUUUAAUUUAAAAAAAGUAAUUAUUUAGAAAUUUUUUGCUUUAGACUUAGAAUAUUGACAUGACAUUCCUCUCUAUAAGUUUGAAAUUCAAUUUUUCAUCCGCAAUUUAUGUCACAUAAUAAAUAAAAAUGAUUUAUAUCAAUUGAUUAUUUGGAUUAGUCCCGUAUCCUAGUAGAUAACUUAUUAGUAGUGAAUUAAAUGAACUCCAUAGAAUGGCUAGAGUUAGGGUUUGGUGUGGGAUGAAUUAAUUUUUUUAAAAGAAAAGAAAUUUGAAAAGAGGGCUUUGUCAUAGUGUAUUUAACCCAUCAUUUAUAAGGAUUUAUUGGUGUAAGUAAGUGUGGUGUUAUAUUGCUCUAUUUGGCCUUACACGAUAAUAAUAAACAAAAUAGUUGUUGUAUGAAUGUGGUGAUUUUUUGUUUCGUAAAGAAAAUGUAUGUUAGUUACAGUUGAGAUCAACUCAAUUUAAUUAAAUAAUUAUAUGAUUAAUGUAAUAUAGUUGCAAUAGUUGUUGUAAUAUUUAUAAUACUUGUAACAUUUUAUUUAUUAUUAUUUUAGUAGUCACACAAGUAAAAGUUAUUUACACUAAGGUGUUGCAAGUAAUUAAUUGAUUGAGACAAGAAGUAGAGUAUAGGCCAGUGAGAAUAUUUAUCUUCUUUCUUAUGUUACGUACUCUCAUAUCCCAAUAGUCCUACUCCCUUGGGUUCUAGCUUUCUCUGCCCAUUUCAGUCACCCAUAAAACUAAGAAUUGAACAAGAAGAAGCUAAGUUAAUUUAUACUUGUUUCUUGUUUCAAUUCUCACCUAAACUCACCCAACCAAGAUCGGUGAGCGACAGUAACAGAGAACAACAACGAAUUGGUAGUAAGGAUAGCUGCAAUCAAACAGGUUGCACAAUAAAGAGUGACGACUAAACAUUUGUUAGGGAAGAAGAUGAACCUUUUCUUUAUAUUUAUUUCUUCGAAGGCACAAAAUUUUAAACAUUUAUAACUAUUAUUAAUAACAACCAUAAUAAUAAUUUAUUUUUCUCUCACUAAAAGAUAUAAUAAACAAAGAAAUUUUUUCAAAAAUAGCAAACUUUACAAAAAAAUUUACAGCCUAGCAAAUUCUAUCACUAUAGUUAUUGAUAUAGUGUAAUGAUAGAAGAAUAUUAAUGAUAAAAUCUAAAAUUUUGUUAUUGUUUGUAAAUAUUUUAAUGUAUUUUACUAUUUUUAAAAAUGUUCCAUAAACAUUUAUGUUUAUUUAAACUCAUCUUCCCCUCCUAAUUAAAUCCAAAAUGUUUUCUAAUCCAAUCAAAUAAACUAUCUCUCCUCAUUAAUUAUCCUCUAUUCUUUUAAAGAGAAUUGUAAAAAAUAGCAAAUUUGACAAAAUAUUUACAACAUAUAACAAAAUUUAAUAUUUUAUCAAUAAUAGAUAUUGAUAGACAUCAAUCUGCUUCUAUUAGUAACAUUGAUAGACAAUGAUAAAAAUCUAUCGAUUUCUGUUAUUGAUAGAAUCCAAAAUUUUACUAUAACUUCUAAAUAUUUAUUUUUAUUUUGCUAUUUUUAAAAAUACUCAUUCUUUUGAUUAACUUUCCAUUUCGAAAUCUCAAAUCAACUUAAAAUUCUUUAAAAUUUUAAAUUAACGAAGAUCUUGUCCAAUAAAUUACUUAUUUUAAAAUUUUAUGAUUUCCAACCUAAUUAUUUUAACCCAAUAAUUCAAUUUUAGCUCCUAUAAUCAGAAUAAAUUGUAGCUAUUAGUGCUACAGAUGGUCUAAUGAGAGGAAUGAAAGUUGUUGACAUGAGAGCCUUUUUAAGUGUUCCAGUUGACGAAGCGUGUCCCGACCGAAUUUUGACUAAAUAAUUUAAGAUAAUUAAAAAAAAUUCUUAAAAUUUGGAAUAUUAAUUUCUUUCGCUCUAAGAAAUAUGAGUUUCAAUGACAAUGUCAUAAAUGGAAAAAAAAAACACAGUUUUGGCAGAAAAAUGUAGAAUGUUUCGGACUUGAAGAAUUUAUAUGAUAAUUUUUAAAGUUUAAUUUUUAUAAAUAUAAUAAACGAGCAAAAUAUCUAUCAUUGGUUUAACAAAAUGAAAAAGUCCAUUAAGUUGUCUAUUUUUUAAAAAUAUUUCACGUUUGUUUUUUCUUUUCAUCGUCUUUCUUCUUUUCUUCCUUUCUCCAAUUUUUUUCGUCUUUUUCUCUAGUUCUUUUUGUAAAUUUUUAAAACUUUUUUUGGGAUUGUUAUGCAAAAUUAUAAUGGGAAUUGAUAGCUAAUUUGGAAAUCAGGUUGGUUGGAAGUUUGAUGGACGGAAUCAAGUUCCAAGUGUGACUUAUUUUGAAGCUUUUGAUCAUCAUCUUGUUUGCCCCCUAACAUCAAAUACAGCCGCCCUAUGAUGACGAUACCUCUACCAACAAUGCUACACAAAUACAUAUUUACUAAUACAAAACUUUUUUUUAUAUAUCUAAUAAAUUUCUCCAACUUUUAAAAUUAUCUUUUUAAAAAAAGAUUGUUUCUAACAUAUUUGAUUAAGAAUUUAAAUCUUUAUUGAAAGGAGUCAAAGACUAUAAUAUGGAAUUUGAGAGAGAAAAAAGGAUAAGUUUCAAAACUAAAAGCAACAUAGACUAUAAUGAUAAGUAUUUCUUUUGUUCCUCUCUAUUAAUUAGUUGCCGUUAACUUUUAUUUAAUAUCGGGGUGUUGGUAAAAAAGCAUAGCAUUGAAGAUAUAAAAAAGAGGGAGAGGUGUGUGUCCAUAAAAGAAGAGUAGAAGUGAGUUAGGUUGGGUGAAUUAUGUUGAAUUAAACUCGUUUGGAGGCUGGGGCUUUUAAUUUGGAGAACUAUAAUUAACAACAAAUUAAAGAAGCAUUGAUCCAUCUUACACACAAUCAUACUCCCCAUAAAUUAAAUACACAAGAAUCACCAAUCUUUUCAUCUUCAUCUUCUUCUUCCAUGGUCUCCAAAUCCUCCUCUCUCACCACUCCCUUAUAAAUACACAAUCACCACUCUUUUCAUAUCAUCUUCUUCUUUCGUCUCCAACCCUUCUCAAUCUUAGAUAUGACUUCAUCAAUACUUUUCAUUGUUGCGUUUUUGUUCUUGAUGAAACCCUCAUGUUCCUCCCCCUAAUAGCAUUUUAAUUUUAGCCGGCCAAAGCAACAUGGGUGAUCCUGGUGGAGUUAAUUAUCCACUCUUCUGUGCCAACAUUUGUGUUUGGGAUAAACAUAUUCCUCCAGGAUCGAUACCCCAACCCUCCACUCUUCGAUUUGCUUUAAACUACACCUGGGAGCAAGGUCGGGAGCCCCUUCAUUGGGACAUUGACCCUACCAAGACCAACGGUGUCGGUCCAGGAAUGGCUUUUGCAGAUCAUCUCCUUGCAAAAGCUAGCGAAAAUGUUGGCACAGAAAAGUGGACAAUUAACUCUAGAAUGAUCGGAUAUAUUUUUGGCUCAAUCUGCUUAAAUUCCAAAUGGAGUUUCUUCAUUCUUCUUAGAAUGAUCAUAUAUAUUUAGGUUCUUUCUCUAGACUUUUGUUGUUUUAUUCCAUUUUUUUCAUCUUUAUUUACAUUGUUUUCUACAUCUUUAACUGGGUUAGCUAGAUUGUUCUCGUAUAAGUGAAUGGAUUAAAGGGACUGGUAGGUAUACAAGCUUGAUCCGACGGAUCAAUGCUUCUUUGGAGUCUGGUGGCCGCCUACAAGGGUUUGUAUGGUUUCAAGGAGAAUCUGAUGCUGCAUUAGAGGUAGAAUCACAAGUCUACCACCAAAAUUUGAUAAACUUUUUUAAGGAUCUUCGUGACGACCUGAACCAACCGACUUUGCCCAUCCUACUGGUUUGUGAUCUCUAUCUAUCUUUCAUUUUUUAUUUUAGUUACUUAAAAUUUUCACUUGUGGAUUUUUUUAAAUUUGUAGGUGAAGAUAGCUAACCACGAUCUCAACAUUAGCCCAUUUAUAAGUUAUGUAGAGGACGUAAGAAAGGCGGAAGAGGCAGUCGAUCAUGAGUUGCUUGACGUAACAACUGUGGAUGCUAAAAAAGCAGUCCAACAUGUUCUGAAUCUCGGCCAAGAACCUUAUAAUCACGAUGGACAUCUCAGUGUACACACUGAGGUAAAAAUAGGAAUAAUGCUGGCCAAGGCUUAUAUAAAAUUUAGUUUGAAGUAGUAGAUAAGCCUCAACAUUGUUGGAUCGAGCUCUUCACCUUGAACGAAAAUAUAACCCAUUAUGGUUUCUAGCUUGCUUCAAUUAACUCUGAGUUAUGUUUAUCCUAUUUCUUUGUAAUAUUUCUUCGUUGAUCAGUAUUAAUAAAUAUUAAUAUUCUCACUAGCCUCCACACUGUGCUUCUUUUUGUCUUUUGUCUCAAUCAAAUUAUUUCAUGUGUCUCCCAAAUGCCAACAACAAUAAAAGAUAGAAUGAAAUAUUCGCUGCAUUGUCAUUUGAACUCUCCACGCUGCACUAUUCCCUCCCCUUUUCAACUCCACGCCGCACAAUAAAGCUUCUUCUUGUUUGUUCUAUCUGAAGCUUCUGAACUUGUUGCACUUGUAGCUUCCAAACAUGCUGAAGAGAAUUUCAAGUCGUGAAUAAAAAUUCAUUUCUCUAUGAUAGAAUCAAAUAAAUAAAUUACAAAUGCAGCUAUCGUAACUUGAUCAUGCAAAUCAUUUAAUCAAAUUGAAUCCAUCUCAACCCUUAAUUAAGAUGCAUUCUCUUUUUUAAACCGUACUUGUGAAAGAUGUUAAUGUAAAUAAAGUAGGCUUAGUUAUUUUGGGUAAUGAUGUUAAUGUAAAUAAAGUAGGCUUAGUUUAUUUGGGUAAUUACCCUGGUAUAAAUACACUCCCUUUGGUCAAUAAAAAUAUUAAGAGAAUAUUCUUCAGAAUAUACUUUCACAUGGUAUCAGAGCUAGGGUUUUCAUCUUAGCCGCCGCCGCCGCCGCCGCCCACCCGUGAAAGUCUCCGUCUCCGUCAACCUCAUCGCGCCUCGCAGCCGUUCCGUCAUCGUCAUCCUCAUCGCGCCUCGCGUCUCGCAGACAGCUCCGAUCUGUCUCCAGCCCUUCCGCGCGCCUCGCAGACAGCUCCGAUCUGUCUCCAGCCAUUCCACCACAACAUCGGCGUCGCGCCGAUCAGUCGCAGCCUCGGCAUCGCAGGUGGCCGUUUCCGCUCCGAUUCGUCUCCAUCCGCGAGGCAGCCGUACGCGUCACCUUGCGGCCGCCACGUGAACCAGUAACCGUUCAGAUUUGCUGUCUGUUCGCGAUGGUUUCCAAACCGCACGCGACUUCUCUUCCAGCCGUGAGUGCAAGACGACGUCUACCGUCCGACGCCGCCCACCAGAUCUGACGAAUCCUUCAGUCGUUUGUCUUCAGAUCUGACGAAUCUUUCAGCCGUUUGUCUUCAAGUUUUUUUGUUUGUCUCCGUUCCCAGCCGUGCACCCCUGAAUCCAGUCGCCAAAUACAGUGAAACCCAGAUCUGACAAAUCCAGUCACGAAUCAGUCAAAACUCGGCCGAAAAUCCGCAUUGUUAACCCAAAUCAAAAUGGAGAGAGACCAUAUCUUUAGACCCAUUUCUACCAUACUUGAUGGUACAAAUUAUAUCACAUGGGCAAAUCAAAUGAAAAGUUUUCUUAUUGGAAGAAAACUAUGGCGCAUUGUAACUGGCGACAUCACCAAACCAACUGCAAAGGAAGGGGAUAACACAUUCAUUGAACGUCUCGAAGAUUGGGACAGUAAAAAUCAUCAAAUUAUCACCUGGCUUGAUAACACCUCUAUUCCCGCUAUACAUGCACAGUUUGAUACCUUUGAUGAUGCUAAAAUAUUAUGGGAUUUUUUGUCUACACGCUUCAAGUCUAUUGGUUUAGCCCAUUAUUACCAACUGCACAGUACACUUGUAAAUCUAAAUCAAGAUUCUGGUCAGUCUGUUAAUGAAUAUUUGGCAGUUCUUCAACCCAUUUGGACUCAACUUGACCAAGCGAACAUCAGCAAAGAUCAUCUUCGCCUUAUUAAAGUCCUUAUGGGAUUACGUCCAGAAUAUGAAUCUGUUAGAGCUGCUUUACUACACCGGAAUCCCUUACCCUCAUUAGAUGCAGCUAUUCAAGAAAUUCUGUUUGAAGAAAAGCGUCUUGGCAUCAACUCUACUAAACAAUCUAAUGUUGUCCUUGCUAGCACAUACACUCCCAACAGAGCCGCAAAUAUGUUUUGUAAGAAUUGUAAGCUCUCUGGUCACAAAUUUAGUAACUGUCCUAAAAUAGAGUGCAGGUACUGCCAUAAACAUGGCCACAUUCUGAAUAACUAAGCCUACUUUAUUUACAUUAAUAGUACUAAACCAAAAACCACUCCAAAAUUAAUUUCCAUUCCUACUUGGCUACUUCUAUGACUAGAGAUGUGAACAAAAACCUUGCUUUCCUUUUAUAUACAACAAUUAAUUAUUUAGUUCAUUAUUAUGUAAGGCUAAAGAGAGCAAAACCUCGAUACCAAAUUUACAAACACCAGUAAAUUCUUAUAAAUGAUAGUUUAAAUACAUUCCAACAAACCCCUUUUUUCGAAUUUCUUUUUUUUUAGAAUAAUUAAUUCUUCCCACGCCGAACCCUAACUCUACCUAUGCAAGUGAGGUUCCUCAAUUAACUACUAAUAAAUUAUUUAGGAAUGAUAUGAACUAUGAGAUACAAAUAAUCAAUUAUUCAGAUUAAAUAUUUUUUGUUUUACUAAAGUAUGACAAUCAAUUAUAGGUGGGAGAUUAAAAUUAAGACAUCUAAAGAUAGAAUUGGUGUCAAUUUAAUUGAUUCAAUUUAAUCAAGUUCACUUUAAUCAAUUAUAUAAAAAUUGUUGUAUUCAUUAUACUACUUUAAGUUUGUUGCUAUAUUUGAAAAUGAUUGUUAAAUAAAUCAUGAGAUACUUUAAGAUUUCUUUUUAAUUAUUUUCAUCUUUUAUUACAGUUUCGAAGAAGUGUUUAAACAAUGUGUUUCGUAACACAAAUGUUUCAUAAGUAUCAUGAUUCUACUAUAUGCUAAUUACGAAAUUGUUUUUCUUUCAAUAUAAUUGUUGAAUUAUGUAUUAUAUAUGUCAAAUCAUAAGUAUAAUGAUUCUACUCAUCUAUUGUCCACGCUGAAUGAGAUUGUGAGGGGUGCUGAAAGUAGCCUUAGUUCCUCAACUUUCUAUCUGGUUCUAUCUUGGUGAAUUUUGGUUGGAAGUGUGAUGGACGGAAUAUGACUUAUUUUGAAGCUUUUGAUCAUCAUCUUGUUUGCCCCAUAGCAGCAAAUACAACCCUAUGUUGACAAUAGCUCCACCAAAAAUGCUACACAAGUACAUAUUUACUAAUAAAAAACUUUUAUAUAUAUAUCUAAUAAUCUGAAAACUUAAAAAGAAUUCUUUUACAUCUUUUUCCCUUUUAUCUAAAAGUGAAUAUUUUAAAAUAUAUCAAUUUUAAAAAUCUAUUUUUCUUAAAAGAUUAAAAGCGAAUAUAUCAAAAUCUAUUAAUUUUUUUUGCUUCCAAUAUAAGUUUAUAUUGAAAUUGAGGAUGGAGUAGUUUGUGCUAUAUUUAAGUAUUAUUUUGUUUUGGACAAUAACAAUAGAAAUUGGGUCUUCAAACAUAUACCAUUGUUAUAACUUUUAAAAUUAUAUAAGUUUUAGGAUACAAUUUGUACAUUUAUAUAAGUUUGAGAAUACAAUUUUUACCAUUAAUAGUUUAAAAUAUAUUUGCAACUAUCCAAAUAUGGGGUGAUUAUAUUUGCCCUUUCUACUUUUCAAUACUUUCGACCUGGAAAUCUAUAGAUUGUAUUGAACAAUCUUGACAAUCUAUAGAAAAGGUUGCAACUCACAGCCAUACACCAUUGAAUUAAAACAACCUUAUGUCAUUCCCAACAAAACCUCACAAAAUACUAAAAAAAGAGCCCAAAAACAUGCUAUGUCUUUGCAUAUAAAAUUAAUAAGAGACCAAAGCAAAGAAGGUAAAUUAAGGCAAAGGGUGAAGCAAAUUAAACAAACAAACAUUUUCUAGCAGAGAAAAAAAAAAUGACGGAUUCAAUUCUUAGUCCAAAAGCCACAACUUCUCCCAACAACAUUUUCAUACUCGCCGGGCAGAGCAACAUGGCUGGUCGAGGAGGGGUUUCACUAGAUCCAACCACAGAUAAAAUGGUAUGGGAUGGAUAUAUACCGCUUGAAUGCGAAUCCAACGACUCAAUAUUUCGAUUGAAUGCUGAUAUGGUAUGGGAACAAGCCCAUGAACCACUCCAUUGGGACAUUGAUGUUGUAAAGACCAAUGGGAUUGGACCCGGCAUGGCCUUUGCCAAUGAGCUUUUGGCUAUAGGUGGGAAGAGGAUUGGUGCCAUUGGCCUUGUUCCAUGUGCCAUUGGAGGAUCCCAUUUGAAAGAAUGGGUUAAAGGGACUAAUAGGUAUGAUAAUUUGGUUGAAAGGAUUAGGGCUUCAGAAAAAAAUGGAGGGACAGUUCAAGGAAUUUUGUGGUAUCAAGGAGAGUCUGAUGCUGCUGUUGAAGAAGAAGCUAUGUGUUAUGAAAGAGAGCUCACUAAGUUCUUCAUCGACUUGCGUGCUGACACGAACCAUCCUGAACUACCCAUCAUCUUGGUUUGUUAUUGUUUUUCUUUAACUAAUAUUGAUUAAAUAUAGUCAUGAUUACACAUCAUUUGCUAUAUAGAUUUUAGGAAAAUAACAAUUCCAUUAUUUUAAGAAAACUAAAAUUGUUUUACAUGAUUUGAUAAAUUUUAAGAGUGCAACAACAUAGGUGGAUUACACAAGGGUGGAACCAUGUUGUACUUUUCUAUUUUUAAUGUUUAAAAACAAUAUCUUUAGAAAACAAAAUGCAAUUUUGAUAGAUGGAGAUUGAGUUUACAAUAACAUUCUUGUAAUGAGUUUUAAAAAUAUUACUUGAGGUUUGAACCGAUAAUUUGAUCAUUCAAUUUUUACUAGCUAAAGAAUUGAAAAGUUUUUAUAGCAUUAAAAAUUAUGCUAUGAAAAAUUGUCUUCCUAUAAGGUUGAGAUAUAUAUAUAUAAAAUAAAAAGUUAUUUUUAAUAAAAGAAUAAAAAAUGAAAGACAUGAGUCGAAAUUUAGCCAAACCAAAACUUAAGUGAUUACGAUAUUAAAUUUGAAAACUUCGAUUAUAAAAUGCUACUAAAUUUAAACUUGAUAUAUAUUUUUGCGAUAUCUUAUAUUGAUUUGAAUGCUAAAAAAAUUGGAUACAGGUGAAGCUAGUAACUCAUGAUUUUUUCUUAAGUCCAAAUAUAAGCUUCAAGGAAGAAGUAUGUAAUGCUUUGGAGGCAGUCACACACAGACUACCAAACGUAACAAUGGUGGACGGUCCCAUGGCAGUGGGCAACUUUGACGAUGGGCUGAAUGAAGAUAAAGGUCAUCUCAAUGUUAAAUCUGAAGUCAAAUUAGGCAAAAUGUUUGCUCAUUCCUUUUAUUCAAACUUUGCCCACAACUUCCUUUCCUAAUUAAUUAUGUACCAAUGAAAUGCUCACACUAAUUCAAUCAAUUCAUAAUGCUACUCUAAAACAAUAUCUCUUUUAAUCAUUGUAUUUGGUGGAGUGAAUUUAUUUCAUCCUUCCAACAGAAAUGAUGUGGAUGCGGAUGUAUAUCUGACUCGACUUAAAGGUGAAAGUUUGAUUUUUCAUUUAUGUAAUCAUAAAAAGUUAAUUUUAAUAUUAAAAUUUUAUAUUCUUAUAUUUGUAGCAUGCAGUGAAAUUUAAUCUAUACCAACAUAUACCAAUAUGAUAUAAAUGGAUAUAUGUUGUAGUUAAGUUAGCAAUUGGGGUUUUUUCAACAUUUUUAUGGCUUAGUGUAUAGUUUUGUUGGUUGAAACUGGUAUGUGCAAGUUUAUAUUGGUUAUCUAUAUUUUAGAAAAUUGAAAGUUUAGUGCAAUGCCUGGAUACACACCUAAAUUAAAUUUGUAAAGACCAAUUAAUAUUUCAAAGUUUGACCUAUAUUAUUUGAUACACAAUUAAAAUUUCUAGAACUUAUUUAGCACAUUUCAUUUUACUAAAUGAAUUUUAUAAUUCAAAAAAAAAAAAAAAAAUCAAAUGUGAAAAAUCACAAUAACUAGAGUAAUAUUUGGUUUUUAUAAUAAUUUUGGAAUAAAGUUAACAACGGGAGUUGAGUCAAUAAAAUAUUGAUAAAUGGGCAAGCAACAAUGCCUAGAGAUGAAAUAAGCUUGGAGAGAAUGAUUGACUUGAUCCAAGAUGAAGUUACCAUUGAUCCCACCCUCUACUAAAAUCUAGACCUAAUCUACCAUAUCAUGUAACUCAUUCAUGAUUCGACUCAACAAAAAUUUAGAAGAGAUCUUUAACUCGGCCCAAAGCCAAAUUAAUCCACUCCACUUCGAUGAGUCCACCAAAUCUUGUUCUCAUGUGAUUAUAAUCCAACAACAAAAAAAAAAAAAGGAUGGAUGUGUGAACAUCAAUAAAAUCUAACUGGAGAAAAUAUAGGUGAUCCAACCUUGUAAAAAUGCAAGUAAAAUGACUUAAGAGAUAAGUUGAGUCCACGGGAGAUCGAUAACAAAAUUUAUCUUUAGACUUUCUAAUUGAAACAUCAAAGUGUACGUGUAAGUUAGUUGGUUGUUUGUAUAUAUUGUUAUUCACAUAUCCACCUUAUGCAUGUAUGUUAGGUACAAUUAGCAUAAUCACAUGUGGAAAAAAACCAUAUUAUUUUGAAAAAGAAUCCAUCACAUGUUAAAAUGUGAUGAUGUGAUUAGAGGAGAGAAUUGAAAAAGUUGAGAGUGGAAAAACAAAUAAUAUUAAUUGUUAUUCUUAAAAGAAACAAUAUUAAUAUUUAUCUAAAAAGAAAAGAAACAGCAAUCAUUAUUACUUUCUAGGAUUACAGCUAAAAUGAAAGAGGGAGUUGGAAUUAAAAAAAUUGAUAUCGUAAUUAAAAGGAAAGGGAAGGGUAUUUACGUAAAUUGAAUAAACAUUCUCCUUUUCACACCUCAGGCCUUUCCGGACCCUAUCCAUUUCCAUUAUGGAAGCCUUUAAAUAUUAAAUUCCAAAAAUAGAAAUAUUUUAUUAAAAAAACUUCAUCUGAAAUUCGUUAAUUUGGUUUCGCCCUUAAAUUUCAAACCUUAAUGACCACAUUACCCUCUAUCUUCACCCCAAAUACCCAACCACUCCAUCUUCUUCCUCAAGAUUCUAUCAACAGUCAAAGAUCCUCUCUACUGAUCAAUAAAUAUUCCUAAUCUCAUUUCUCUACUUCCUUUCUCCUCCAAUUUUCCCUCUCUCGCUCUCUUUCCCAUGGCCUUCCCUCGUCUUCCUUGAUUCCAUGGCGGAUAUGGAUUUUGUUGAAGGCGUUGGUGAGAGUUCUUCGCCGCCUCGAAGCUUUGCUGCUGGAUUCUGUCCUGCCCACGAUGUUCGGAACGAUGUUUAUACUAGGUUGGUUGAGUGUGGACAUGAGGAGGCUGUUUCUAAUCCUCAAUUUCGCGAGAACUUGGAUGCUCACUUCAAUCGUUUGCCUCCGAGGUAGUUUAUUCUGCUUUUCUUUUAUUGUAAUUUGGAUUUUGGGCUUUUUCAUUCUUUUCUUUUUUUUUUUUUUGCUACUUUUCUAUUGUGCUUUUGUGUUUCAUUUUGAGCUGGUGUAAUCGAGUGAGGGUAUAUGCAUUUUGCAUCCUUGCUUUAUUUGAUUUUCGAUCUUUUUCCUGGGAUUUUGUAGUGGGUAGUGUUUGUCUAACUGUAUUAGGAAGCUGAUUUUGGUGGAUUACUUUUAUGGGGAAUUUUCCUUUCUAUUACUUGUCUGUCAUAAUCCUAUUGCUUCUGCUUAAUCUAUAUGUUGUUUUCUAAUGUUGGGAAAGUUCAUUUGGUAACGGGUUCCUUUUCAUUUUUCUGUUUUUGAAAUUUAGUUGGGUCUCUGUAUGUUUAAUCUUUUGUUUGUUUGUUUUUCUGUUUUUUUUUUUUUAAAUAGAAAAUACUUUUUGAGUAUUGGUCAUCACGUUUUGAGAACGAAGAACAUAUUCUUUUUUAUUUUCUAUUUUUUAGUUUUAAAAUUUAGGUCAAAUUUGAAAAUUGUGUUCAGAAAGGAAAUGACUUAAUUUCUUUUUUAAGAAAUCAUUGUUAGACAGCAUUUGUUAAUUUUGGAUUGACUAAACUUGUUGGGAGUAAGGUUGAACUUACCAGUUUAACAACUCACUGUUUAAAUACUACCUACUUAUAGCAAAUAUUCAAAUAAAAAAAGAAUACUACCAGCUUAGAAGGAACGAACAAUGGCGUAGUGAUAUGUUUGGAAGCAAGAGUUUAUGCAUGAUUUGAUUAAAGGCUGAUAAUUGAUAUGGCUAGUGGGAAACAAUAUUCUCAAAACAUGCUUCAACUGCUGGCUGUAGAAUAGAAUAUUAUUGAAAAUGAAUUACAAAUCUAUUGAUAUUCAAGUUAACAAAAUCUUCUUAUCUUACAUGAAUGCUAUGAAGUGGGAGAUGCUAAAAGUUGAACUGCAGAAUUUAGAAUUUAGAACUAUGUAAAAUGGGUUCAUAUCAACAUAACUUUAGUGCAAUGAUGUAUGAGUUUCUCCUCAUUCCGCCUCAUGGGGAGAAGGGCUACUUUUUAUGGUUAGCUGGCGUGUGUGUGAUCUUGUGGGUUUUGUGGGUGAGCAGAGUAGUAGGAUUUUUAGAGGGGUGGAUAAGGACCUAGUGAGUUUUGGUCCCUUGUCCGCUUUAAUGUUUCUUUGUGGAUUUUGGUUUUGAAUAUCUUUUGUAACUCUUCUAUAGGAGUUAUUUUGGAUAGUUGAAGUCCCUUCUUGGAGGGAUAGAUGCCUUUUUGUGGGUUGAGUUUCUUGUAUGCCCAGUGCAUUCUUUCAGUUUUUUCCAAUGGAAGUUAUUGUUUUUAUAAAAAAACGUUUAAUCUAUAUUUAUCUGAACCAACGAGUAUCAAUCAGGAUUCUUAUACAUAAUCUUCUCAAUAGUUCUCAAAUGGAGUUGCAUGCUUGAGUGGUUUUGUUUUCAUAAAUGGUGAGAUAGCGUUCUUCCUUCCUACCUAUUCAGUGGUCACGGAGAGACAUUUGAUUUUAAAUGGUGUCACUUCUUGACUUGAAAAGGAAGUACUUAGGCUUAUCCUAACACCUAGAUAGACAAACAUACGGAAGCUACUUAACUACUAGGCUUAGAAAAAAGCUCACUCUAUGAGCAAGGAACAACCUAAAGGAAUCUUUGUAAGGAUCACUGAACUCUUGCUUGGGCCAUGAAAGAACGUUAGGUAAAGAGGUGCUGCCAUCUGCUUGAUCGUCCUAUUCAUCCAACGGAUUUUGUUCUAUUGCUGUUAUUAAAAAAAAAUCUAUGAUAACUAAAGGUCAAAUACUUUUCAGAUUGAUGUUACAGCUUUUCUUUAGAAAGUGAUGCACGUCUGUGUAAAGUAUCUUAUCAAGUAUUUGAUUGGAGACAUAGGGAACAGAUUAAGGAAAAAUAAAAAGUUGAUGGUCAGCUUCUUUGCUAUCAUAUCCCUGGUUAAAUACCUGCAAACUUUUUUGUAGUACUUGUGGCUUAAAAGGAAUGAUAGAAUCACUGUACAUAAGUAUCAGGACUUGGUCGUAUUGUAGAAUUAAGUCAGUUUCAUUGUGUCAUCUCAGGUUUUUUUGGAUAAGAAAUCUACUAAUCUUUUUUUUUUCUGUCGAGAAAAAAAAAGGAAAUCUACUAACUUUAUCAAUGACCACUUGAAGUUCUUUUUUUUUCUUGUAGUUAUGUAGUUUUAAAUUUUAAUCAUGUAACUUGGGUUUGGUUGUUGCCUUUACCUUUACCUUUACCUUUACCUUUACCUCCUAUUUGGUGUAUCUAUUUUAGAUUGUGUUUUUAAUAGGAAAAUAAAAGAUGGAUUUCUUAAUGGUGGGUGAGUGUCUAAGUAGUAUAGCAUGUUAAACUCACAUAGCUAGACUAUAUCAUCAGCUAGGGAUGGUCUACUCAUUCUUCUUGAUUUAUUAACUUUUUGGUUCUUGAUAAUUAUUCUGUCAGUUACGGACUUGAUGUUAACAUGGAGAAGGUGGAAGAUGUUUUGUUACAUCAAAAGCUUCUUUCCCUAGCAAAGGAUCCAGAGAAGUGCCCUGUUUACCACAUUCGUUUUCUUGAGGUAUUUUUUGUAUUUCAUUUGUACAAUUUUUAGAGGUAACUAAUGGGCAAUGUUGCUUGGUUCUAAACAUUCUUAUAGUUUUUUGCUUAGAGUGUGAUUAUGCCAAACUUAUGGUGGAAAACAUAUAACCUGAGGCAAAAAUUAGAAAAAUGGCUUGCUGAAAGAGAGAGAUAUUAUCAGUUUCCUAUUGAUGACUAGUUAGAGAGGGGUGACAAUUUGGAAUUACUGUAUAUGAGGUCAUAACCAUCAGUGCUGAAGGUAGAACUUCCUAAUAUCAGAGGGAAAAAACUGAGGACGGCGCAUUGCUACAAACUGCAUCAAAUUGCCAUGGGUGGCACCUGGAGGGUAGGAAUGAUAUUCUGCUUGUUAAAUAUAGUCCUCCCCAGCCCCUGAAUCUUUUCGAAUGGCCGAUAAAAAAUGAAUUUAGAAUGUGUUUGUAUGGAUUUAUAGCAAUAUGGUUGCACAAAAGAAAGUCAGAUGGUAUACUAAAGCAAUCGAGACAAUAUAUUAUUUGACAAUAGUUUAUAUAAUUUCCUGUUAUUGAUUGUUAUAAGCAGCUUUAUUAAUUAGUGCUUGCAUUAAUGUACUUAAUAAUUUUUUCUCUUUCAAUGGCUUUUUGCCUUUGUUCUUUUUCCUCAUGUGGUAAAAUAGAUCUAACAAUAAUUUUUGCCCAAGGACAAUGAAAAUAAUUUUUUGGGAUCUUGAAAUCUUUGCAUUAGAAAAAUAGCAGCUGUUUGCAUCUUCUUGGGGUUCUCUUUCUCCUUUCAUCUUGAAGAUUUGGGUGUUCAAGAUUUUAGAUUUGAGUGGGAUCUUUGAGAGAGCAAUUAAGUUCUGCUUCGGCUUCAGCUUUCUGCUGCCGUAAUGUCUUUGAGUGGCUUUGUUGAGAUCGUUAUUUUUCUUUUUAUGUUCGUUUUUAGGUUGCCUUCAUAUUUAUGUUGUCUGAGUAUAGUCUUUGUUUUAGUUUUCGUCUUUAUUUUCCCUUAGUUUCUUUUGCUAUUAGUAUAAUACUCUUGUACUUUGAGGUUUAGUCUCAUUUAUUAUCUUUAACAAGGAGGCUUGUUUCUGUUAAAAAAAAAAGUAAUCUUUGUAUUAUGUUAUGCCAUUUGACUUGGGAGGAGCUAGAGAAUUUUUGAAAAUAGAAAUGAGGAUGUUGAGGAUAGUUGUGAUUUUAAUAGUUUGUGGUUUGAAAUAUUGAUAGGAAGUUUUUGUAUUUUGCUUCUUCAUAUGUCUCGUUGUAGUUAGAUACACAAUUGUUGUGCAACAUUUCGUAAUGAUUGCUUAUAACUCUGUAAGUCUAUGACUUCUCUCUUAUCAGAAGAUUAUUCAAUUGUAUUAAAUAGAGUUCUAUGUUGUUUGUAUAAACUUUGUUUUAGUGGCGGAGGUUUUAUUGCUCUACAUUUUUCUUGUUGAUUUUGUAGCACAUAAGUACUAAGUCAGAUGGCAAUGAUGAUCACGUUUUUCUUGAUAGUAUUCUUUUAAGUGGUUCAUCUAAUGAAGCAGCCGAUAGAAGGCUUCCAUUGUCACACAAAAGGUAAUUAUUGGGCCUAUUGCAUUUUCAUUAUUAGCCUAACCCCUUAGGUUUCUUUCUGCACAUAGUUGAUUUGUGGUAAUUGAUUUCUUAAUCAUUGGGUUGUAGAACUCGAGGAAAUAUAAUUGACUUUGAGGCUUGUUCCAAGCUUGAGGGCUUAAAUUUGGAUGUUAGAAAAAACUCGAAGCCCAUGGAUAGGAGGUACGAUUUGGAGAUUUUUUUCGAAAGCUAUGAUUAACACAUGUAUUUGCAUUGACUAUUUUUGUGGACGGGGAUGUAUUAUUUGGAAUUUUUUUUCGAAAGUUAUGAUUAACACGUGUAUUUGCAUAGACUAUUUUUGUGGCUUUACAAAUUAUUGUAGUUCCCGUCAGGGUUCAAAUUUUUGACAUGUUGGCUGGCUAUAACUAGGUACUAAGAUGUUUUCUAAAAGUACAAUGCAGGCCUGGUAAUAUUGGACAUGUUCUGAUACACGAAGUGAUAUUUUCAACGGUUGACAAGCCAAAGCUUCUUAGCCAGGUAGGCUGGAAUGGUUAUUUUUUUUUAUAUUUGAUAGUAUCUACAUGAAUGUCUUGGGAAGGCAAAAGUUGCCAAAACGUUCAUAGUCUAGCAUGCUCAUUGAAGUCUUGUUCUUAUGCUUCUAUCUAAUGGAACUUAUGUAUACAAAGGCCAGCAUUCUAUUGUAUGUUUAGCAUUCUCACUAGUUUAUGGUAAUCAACAAUUCUUAGAAGAUGGCUUUAAAGGAACAACAGAACGUUUAAUGAGGGCAGAAACUUUUGGAUUGUUUGAUAGUAUUUUUUUUUCUUUUUUUAUCAGUUUUAGUCGCUGCAUUAAUUUGAUGUAUUAUUCUCUCUUUUGAGCAAGUAGAGUCUAAUUGAUCUUUUGGCAAAUUGAAUACAUCAUUUUUAUUUCAGUAAGAAACCUUUUUAUUUAAAGAAUGAAAUACACCAGUUGAAGUCCUUUGUUCAACUGAAGGGGUUAGAUAAUGAAAUAUAUAUAUUGAAAAAGCAAUAUAAUAUAAGAAGGGGAAUACCAUUUGUAUAUAUGUAUAGACAGGAAGGGGAGUAGUUAUAAAAAUCCGUUGAUCCUAGGAAAAGAAGUAACAAAAAGAUAAUAGUGACCUAAAUUUCAUGGGACCCUUUCUUACUGUGCUGAAAGAUUUCUAUUCCUGUAUAAUUAAAAAUUCUCAUAAAAGUGCCCCUUACAGCAGUUAACCACAGACAAGGAGUUAUUCUAACAAACAUAGAAAACAUCAGUAAAUGCAUUGAAUUGAUCUUGAAAAUUAACUGUACACAAACUGAGAGCUAGAAGUUUGUAUCAGGGAUAAGACAGUUAAUGAACAACCUAUCGUGGGGCAAUUAAUACUCAUACUAGGUGUUGAGAAUAAUUGAUCAUCUUUCCUUUUCAUUUGCUCAUGUCAGUUGGUCAUUAUUAUGAAAGUAUCAGUAUGGGAGAAUUCACACUGGCUUUUUGUUUGUGUAGAUUAGAGAUAUUUCAUUGAUAAAAAAAUUCACACUGGCUUUUCUAACGACUUAUCAGUUUUUUUCCUAGCUUUCUGCUUUGCUUUCUGAUAUAGGACUUAACAUUCGAGAAGCACAUGUAUUUUCAACAACUGAUGGUUACUCCUUGGAUGUAUUUGUGGUGGAUGGAUGGCCUAUUGAGGUACUGUAUUGUGAUAUAUGCUAAAUAUAUAUUUUGCUGUUUCUACUGCUGUGCUGCCCUGUUUUUCAUAUUUUCUGUUCUUGUUAGAUUAGUUAUUAAUUUUUUUAGGUUUAGGGCCUACCAUUGAACUGGUAUUAUAUACAAUUAUCUUAUGAAAUGAUUGGAAGAUCUAAAAUAUCUUUGCCAUUUGGCUCAAAAUUUCCCUCUUCGUUUGCUUAUUGCAUGUUCCUAACUUCAUGUUAUGUCACUCUCUGUUCAUAACAAUAAAGGUAGUUUGAUGAACUGUAAAUUUACUCUGAAUUCUCUCUAUUAUUUAGUUGGCCUUUCAAGUUGCAUAUGUAUGCAGCAUCCACCCCAAAAGUAAUCCACAUUUGAAUGUUGGGAUUGGAGUGCUACUGCUUGCUCAACUGGUUCUCUUGUCUUCCAACCUGUCUAUUUUAAAUCAAGACAUAGAAACCUGUACGAGAUUUUUCGUUAUGACGUUUAGCAAAGAUUCUUCACAUUUUGCAUCUGUAUCUAAGGAUUUUAAAUGGAAAAUUGUAUCAGUUGGGUUACUUAUAAGAAAUUAUGUAUUAUCCCAGGUCAGCAACCUUCUAAUAUUAUAAGGAGGGAUCUGUAUUAUGUAUCUUUUGUAUCAGGAUUGUGUUAAGUCUAUAUGUUGCUGAUUUUGCAAUCUGGUGACCAGGAAACUGAUGGCUUGUACGAAGCUAUGGAAAAAGCAGUGGCUAGAUAUGAGGUAAAUUGCGUUUUUUUUGACACGAUUCUUUAUGAAAGAUAUUGAAUGAAAUGUCAUUACCUAAUUUAUAAUUCCCAGAUAAUUUUGCAGCAUUUACUAAUUGUUAUUAUUUUUGUUUUCUUUGUCAUAAACAAAUUUGAGUCCUUUGUUUUCAAUUGUCUAUGGUUGAAGACGUUUUAAAUUCUCAUGUUCACCCCCUUCUCCCUUUGCAAAGUGAUAGAAUAUGAAGGAAACAAUGCAACUUCUUUCAUGGAAUGCAGGGAUCGUGGUCUGGGUCUUCACAUUCUCAUCCAGUGGUCAAGAAGACAUUAGACGCCCAGGUAAAAUCAGCAGAUUGGGAAAUAGAUAGACGGUUACUGAAGAUAGGUGAAAGAAUUGCAUCAGGAUCUUGUGGUGAUUUGUAAGUUUCAACUGAAAGUACACUUUUCUUUGACCAUGUCUUGAACGGUAUAGCAUCUGGAUCUUAUUAGGAAGCUUACAGAUAUAGCAUCUGAACUUGUUACAUUAGCUUCUCGUUGAUAUAUUCUGAGUUGAAGUUUCAUAUUGUCCCCAACCGAGCAAUAAAAUCAAGUGACCUUUGCCAUUCAUAGCAAUGUCGUUCACAAUAUGAUAUGUUUGAUCGCUCGUUAUUUAUUUGUUCUCUGAAUACUACAGUCCCUUCUUUAAUAUUGCAACUAUGCAUGUUACCAUGUGAUUCAUUUUUCUUUCUCAUCCCCAGGUACCAUGGAUUUUAUCUUGGUCAAGAUGUAGCUGUCAAGAUAUUAAGGUCUGAAGAUCUAAAUGCUGAUUUAGAGGAUGAGUUCAAUCAAGAAGUGACUAUUCUCAGGUAAUUUUGAUAUGUGAUAAAAUUACUUCUUCAUAAAACAAUUAUAUUUGAGUUUGGGGUAUGAAAGCAGGGAACACUGUUUCCUAUCAUCGUUAAAAAAAAAAAAAGAAAAAAUAACCCAUAGGGAUUAGGGGGUGGAAAAUGUAAAAUAUUGAUAUUUAUCUUUCCAUUAUCAUACUGUAAGUUAAGGAAUCCACUGAUCAUUUUUCCGGAGGAUGCCGUGUACAGACGACAAUCAUUUUUAUUGUUUAUUUAUGGCUAAGUUUUUCUCACAAACUUCUACCUCUUGAUAGUUUAUUUAAUGUAAUCAUGCAGAACACCUGCACAGUUUCAGCUUGAAAAUGUACUUGCUAAGAAUUGCACAUUUUUAACUGUGAUCUUGCGGGUAGAUCAUAUGAAAUAUCUUUCUUUUUCUUUUGAUUCUAUAGGAGAUUGUGUUUGGAUACUUUACAUAUAGGGGACCUUCAAUUGAGAAGGAGUUCUGGAAAUUAGUCCAUGUUCAAUUCAUUAAUAAAAAAUGAACCUACACGCCUGAAAGUGAAAGUACAAAUAUUAUGCUUACCAAUUUCCUUGAUCCAAACAUCGUCAUAGAUUAAAAUACAUUCUUACCAAAAGGAUCUUCUGGCAAACAACGGUGUUUAGUAGCUGCAGAUUCGAAAUCUUCAAUUUCCUGGAACUGUUUCGAUACUUCACAUUUUCCCCACUCCAUCGAUAAUGAUUUUCUUUUAUUUCCACAUUUGUGAAGGAAUAAUUUCCAGAGUUUAUGUUUUAUAAUCAAUUUGUUAUAGGUGUAUCUACCGCCAUACAUCCUUUGUGAAGGGAUCUUAAUUAAUCUGAAAUGCAGGAAGGUCCAGCACAAAAAUAUAGUUCGUUUUGUAGGUGCUUGUACAAGCUCCCCACAUUUGUGUAUUGUAACAGGUACAUAAAUCUCUACUUUCAUCUUUAAUUUUGUCUCCUUUUCCUUCAUCAGUUCUUGGUUAGUUUCUUGUAGGAUCUUCUUCUGUAGUUUACAUAUAUAUCCUGAUAGAUGUUUGCUUGGUUCGAACAAGAGUUGUGUGCAGAAUAACACAAUUCCGCAUCAAUAAAAGAUUGACAGUCAAGUGAAGCUCUUUUAACUUUAUGUUCUAGUGUAAGGUUUUGAUGGAGGUCAACUUUGUUACCAGAAAUAGUUACGUUCCUGAGACUUAGUUGGCUGUUGUCUGACCUUUUCCGGACAUUAUUUUUCGUCAAUAGAUACAAAUACUAACUCUUCCUCAUGCAUGACGUAAUGUGAAUUUUCAUGACUUUUUUCUUAAAAGAAAAAAGAAAUUUGUUUUACCACAAAUUGUUGGUUUCGGAUAAGAUAAUAAGUCUUUUAAAAUUUGUUUUAGGAUGAAGAUAAGCCUGUAGAUAACAUGUUUCAGAGGGAUUGAAAGGGAUCUGGUUGAUGUUUGGUCCCUUGUGAAUUUUAAUUUAUAAUGUUUCUCUGGGUUUUGGUGUUGACUGACGAGCCCCUUUAUUCUAUAGUUCACAUUCAGUUAGAUUGGCGGCUGUUUCUUUAGGGUGCUCCCCUUUUGUGGGCUUUGUUGUUUUUGUAUGUCCUUAUAUUUUUCAUUUUUCUUUUCAAUAAAAGUUAGUUUUUUUUGUAUAAAAAAAUGUUUUUGUUGAUAAAUGAAACAUACAAAAGGGCAAAACCCAAAAAGCUAAACAAGUUAAAUAGAAGGUAUCUUGUAGGAAUGAUUAUGGUAAGGGUGGGUAGUUACGAAAAUAUAAAGAUAAAGACUGCGAUAAAGACAUGAAGGUAAUGAGUUUCUCUUUAGAUUUGAGUUAUUUAGUAUGGGCUAUUAUGUGGGAUAGCCAGAGUUCGUAGUGUUUCUAGAUAUAAAUAACAAGCGAAGGUGGUGAGGUUGAUAUAGGAUUUCCCCCCCUCUUUUCUGGUGAAAAUGUUACUGACCCGAUUUUUGGAAUACAAGAUAAAAUAAAAUAAAUUAAUCCCCCCCACACCAUAAAGUAAUUCAUAAUCAAUUGAAUUAGUUUCCCAAAACUAAUUAGAUUAAUUUAUAGGGAUCCACUUCCCAACUAAUUGAAUUACAGAAACAAAGAAAAUACUCAAUGACUAUGAUGAAAGAUCACUAAUCUGUUUAGCAAACUGAGUUUGGCGUAGAUCGAUCAAAAGUAGUGUGUGGAGUAGGAGUCACAAUUUUGGAGUAAUUUUUUAUUUUUAUUUUUUAAAUUUAAACCAAGUGACAUUGAAUUUUUUUUUUUUUAUUCAGGGCAAAGUUUGGGGGUAGUUUCUAGCAAUAAUGCAAACUUAUCGAAGCUUUAUUGCAUUUCUAUAUCUCCAUCUGCAUUUAUACCAGAAAUGCCUUAUUUGAUAUGCAUUUUGGAUUAGAAUUUGGUCAUUAAAUUCACUUUCUUCUGUAGUCCUGUUUUUUGGAUUUAUGUUCCAUCUAUAUUGUUCAAGUACAAAAUUUAAGUUUAGUUGUUUCUUGCAGAGUAUAUGCCAGGAGGGAGUCUUUAUGAUUACUUGCACAAGAAUCAUUGCGUGCUGAAGCUCUUGCAACUGCUGAAGUUUUCUAUUGAUGUUUGUGAAGGAAUGGAGUACUUACAUUUAAAUAACAUUAUUCAUAGGGACUUGAAGACAGCAAAUCUGCUAAUGGACACUCAACAGGUAAGAUUGGAACAUUAUAUUACUGGAAUCAGCUGGUGAAGUGUAGUAGUGUAGGUAUCUUAAACGAUUAUUUUUACAUCAAACUACUUUUAUAUGAAUUAGGUUUUGGAAGAUAACAGAAAAUAUAUUGGAAAGUUGUUUUGGGGUUGGAAGGAGUCAUUCCAUACCUUAGAUAAAGGGAAAAAGAAAUAAAAUUAACCAUACUGAAAUAGCUAUGCAAACGAGAUAUAACACUAAACUCUAAUGUGAUCAUUUAGCCCAUGGGAUGUACCAAUUCACUCUACUAUCAACAAUUAAUAGUCACUGUUGCCCUGUGCUGACUGAAGAAGUCAAUAUAUUAAUUUGGUGUGAUGUUGUUCUCUAUGAAAUAUAUGUGAAGCUGUCUUCAUAUCUACCUGUUUCUUUGGAGUGUGAACUGGCCAAGUUAUAUGAUGAAAAAAAUAUUGAGCAGUUAGUCCCUAGUAAAGUUCACAGUACAAAAGAGAUGAUAGGAUUUCUAGUCAGGUAUAGCUCUCGUGGUCAUGCUCCUGUUCUUUUGAAUUGGUGUUUUGUACCUAAUUAGAUACAUAACAUGUGUGAUGGACUUUUUUAGUAGUGGAUCCUCUGGCUGUUCUGAUAAUUUCUUUCACUAUUACAGUGGUUGAAUACACUUGUUACUUCAAAAUAGUCAAUGUUGGAUUUUUGAAGUAGGAUUUGUAUGUGUUUUCUGAGUUCAUUUAUUCUCUUGUUAAAAGAUGUUACUGUCAACAUCUAAAGGGAGCCGAAAUUAGGAAGUCUUUUUCUCCAACACUUCCACAUUAUGUUCUUCAUCAUAAAUUUUGUUCAGUGGUAAAUCCCACAAUUACUUCUUGUUGACUUAGCUAGUUUCAUCCGAGUGUUUCCUAUGCUUUCAUUUUAUGGACAAUCAAUGGAGACCAAGGAUACAAUCCACACGUCACUUAGCGAUGCGCUUUUAUGAGCUUGCACUAAAAAACAAUUUAAACCCAUUUAUGACUAAAAGACGUAUUCUUUUGCGUUUAAGGUUGUAAAGGUGGCAGAUUUUGGAGUUGCACGAUACCAGAGUCAAGGAGUAAUGACAGCAGAAACUGGAACAUACAGAUGGAUGGCUCCUGAGGUGAUGAAUCAGUCGGAGGAUGUUGGCGAUUUUCUGACGAAUUUAGAGAUUGUAUUCUAGAGUGUUGGCAGCAUUUUAACUGACUUCAAUCUUUUUGCGUUGAUUUUACUUUUCAUCUUCAGGUAAUAAAUCAUCUGCCAUAUGAUCAGAAAGCAGAUAUUUUCAGUUUUGCGAUUGUGUUGUGGGAACUAGUAACAGCAAAGGUAUAUCUCAAGUUGACUACAAUCUACUACAAUGCAACGUCUUUUUCUUUUUGUUUGCUUGCCUGUAUUUCAGAAAGCUAUUAUUGAGCAACCUUAUGUAUAAGAUGAGUACAUACCUUUAUCAUUGUUUUGUUGAUUGCUUAAUAGUAUAUGAUAACCAUUAACCACUACAUGUGGUUAUUCUUUUCACGCAAGCUUUUGGCAUUUCAGGUUCCUUAUGAUUCCAUGACACCAUUACAAGCUGCCCUUGGAGUAAGACAGGUUUGUGUGCUAGUUUUUGGUGCAUUACUAUUUAUGAUUAUUAUUAUGAUUGUUAUUUUAAAAAUUAAGAAACCAAAGCUUUCAUGGAAAGAAUUGAAAGAAUAUACAAGGGCAUAGGAAAAAAUCCAGCACAACAGGAGACUCCAAGAAAUUACCAAAAAAAAGGAACUCCCAUCCAACAAAACUAAAGUAAGGUCAUAGUUACAAAAGACAGACUAGUGCCCACAUUGUACCUUGCCUGCCAUCUCUCAAACCUUCAUCACAUGACCUCUCCACCUCUCCACAUUGAACCUCUUCUUUCCAUAAAAUAGCAAGGGGCUGUUUGGCAACCUCCGUUGAGUUGAAUUGGGUGGGCAAAAAAAUCUCACCCACCAUUUGGCCCAUUGCAAAAGAAAAAAAAAAACAAAAACGAUUGGUUUAUUGGCCCACUGUUUUAUUCUCUCAAUACACCUCUCAUUUCACGUGUUUUCUUUACUCUCCUCCAACUCUCUCAUUUACUCUGUUGUUUCUCUCACUGACUCACCCGUCUCUUCAUAUUACUCCUCUUUUGAUCUCUCUCAUCUUCUCUUUCUUUGUCCAUUUAGCUCGUCCUCCAUCUCCUCUUGUUUGCUUUCCUCAGAUUUCCCCCUUUUGCUCAUAUGAGUUAUUUUUGUCUUUUCAUGUUGAAUCCCUCUUUUAUCUACUUUGUCUAUUUUUCUAGAGUUGUGUCGAUGCUUUUUUUUUUUUUUAUCAGAUUUACUAGAUAAGUAGUUUUUGUAGAUUUGACUACUUUUCUUUUCCACAUUCUUUUUGUUUAGAUUUACAUUUUUGGAGUUUCUAUUCUAAGGUUUGGAUAUAUCUUCUAGCAUUUGGCUGUAUCUGUGCUGAUCACAAAGUUUUUUGUUUUCCCUCCUGAAAAUCUCAGUUGGAUCGAAAAAAUAAAAAGGAAAUUAAAAAAUUUGAAAAUUGGAAAAUGGAAUAUUUGUAGAGGGUUAAAAAUUGAGGGCUACAGAUUGGAGAAAAAUAUUUAUAUCAUGUAAUUGACUAUUCAAAUUUCAAAAAUUGAAUUCAAGAUUUGUGUUCACGAAUUUGUUAUGUUUUAAGAAUAGAAAAAAUGAAGCAUUUUUUAGUGCUAAAUUUUUUGAAAAGUAUAUGUAGAGUUAGGAGAUUAAAAAAAAAUACAAAAUCAAUUUUGUUUUCAAAAACUGUACUAAAUUUCUCACUCUGCUUUGCACCCAAAAUUUAAACUUUAUGAUUCAACUCAGCUCAAAAUACAGAUAAUCUAACUCUCCAGAUAAUCUAAUUUCUCAGAUAAUUUUUAUCAACUCAACUCUAUGUGCCAACAUCCUCUUAAGGUAAGCUAGGUUGCCACUAAAAUUUGUUCCUUCUACCUAUUGCCAUUUGAAGCCAAAGAUAAGCUAAAGUUGUAUGAGAAGAACAAUCUCUUUCUUCCAAUCUGUAGUAGCACCUAUGGACCAAUGAAAAAUGAUGGAACUUAUAAUGCUGCUAUAUGGAUCUUAGUUCGAUGAGAAAAAAAAGGAGGAAAGAUGGGGGCAAUUGGAAAAGAUUGCUGUUAAGUGUAAAAGCAACAUCAAUAUAAAUAAGAUGAAUCGAGUAUAUUAAGAAGAAUGCUCUGUUUAUUUUACUUUUCUUUAGGAUUCCAAAUUUGCGUGGUAUCUAGGAGGAGUCCAAAGCAUUGCUUUAAUUCCCCCUUUAAGGACUAAAAAACACAGUAUUCUCAAGAGUCAAGACUUAUGACUUCGUAAUCUGUUUUCAGGGACUACGUCCAGAUCUUCCCAAAAAUGUUCACCCUAAAUUGUUGGAUAUGAUGCAAAGAUGUUGGGAUGCAGAACCUGUAAAUCGGCCUCCAUUUACCGAGAUAAAAGUUGAACUCAAAAGUCUCCUAGAAGAAGUAGAGGUAUACCUCUUCCCCAUGUCUUUUGAACGGCAUGAAUUAUAUGCUAAAUGCAAACCUUCUAACUUCUAAAUCCCAUGUGUGCUUAGAUGUGUACAAAAUAUGAAGAAAAUUGUGCAGCAGUUAAUGGGAGCUAAUGUAGCUGUGUAGAAGGUGCAAUAUUCAAUUCGGCUUUACCCUGUAUUUUCCGUGAGGAUAUUUAUUUUGUUUUCCACUUUCGGUUCUUCAUAUAGUUACACAAAUAUUGUACAUCUGAGAGAGAAAAAGAAGUAUAGAGGCUGCUCAGUGCGAAAAGAGAGAAGAAAUAGCAUGUUCUCAUUACAAAAAUACUUGACCACGAGGGUGUUUUCAGAAAAUAUAGUAAAAUUAUCUGUUGUUAGCCUUUCGAGUUGUUCAAUGAGUCUCUUUCUUUCCUGUGUCUGUGUAUAUUACAUGCAUAGUUAUUUAGAGGUUGUUUAGGAGGUCUACUGUAUAUCUGACAGAGUGUUGGAAUGAGCAAGGAAUCAAGUGUGUAAAAUGAAAAUGAGACAGUGAAAUAUGAAAAACAGUCAAAAAGAGACUUUGGUUGAAAUUUGUGAUAACAAGAUGAGUUUGGUAUUACAAAUUUGGUGCCUCACCCAAUAAUGCUUAUUCUACCACUUCAUUUAGAGGCCAUUAUAGAAAAUUGGCAGCCUCAUAUAAUCAUUGCUGAAAAGCUUAUAACUAUUAUGAGGUUUACGGAUUCUUUCCGAUUUCUUUGUGCCUUUAUAUAUAAGGAGCUUUAAUUGUGUGUAUGUUUAAAGUAUUAUUAUACAUGCAGGAAUUUGAGUAAACUAUUGUUUAGUAGAAAAAGAAUAGCAGGGAAAGUAGUAUGAAUUUCAUAUGGUAGUUUACAAUUUGGCUGGCAUUCUUUGGUAUAAAGCAAAGGGGCCUAGGAAAAAGCUGGCUGGCUGGCUUGCAAAAGAAGCUUUGAGUUUUCAUGCUUUUAUACGAAGGUCAUAUUUAUUUUUUUAUUUACUAUUAAUUAUAAAAAAUUUAACUUUAAAAAUAAUGCAUACUUUGUUUCAAUUUUUACACUAUAUUUAUCACCAUUACUGCAAUUGGAUUUGACUUCCUAACCAAGCAUUCACUAACAUAUCAUCCUAAAAUUCCUCGUUUAGAUUGCAAAAAGGAAAGACAACCAUUUUUCACUUCAUCGAGAGUUAGUUUCUAUCAAUAUUAGAUUACUGAAAUAAAUAGUUGUAAAUAUAGUAAUUAAAUUUAAAAUAUUCGGAUAUGUAACAUAUAACGAUAUAGCAAAAUUUGUCGAUGAUAGAAACCUAGUAUUACCUAAGGAGAAGUAUUCUACAACUUAUAAUCUUAUUGAUGCACCGUCUUCAAUUAUAACAAAUCUACGGAAGCAAAUUGUUUAGCCUCUUGCUAAGUUUGAAACUUGGUUUACUAUCUCUUCUGAAUUCAGACUCCCCUUGAAUAAGUUUACUCCAGCUAGGCUUUAACGUUAGACUUCCACUAACAAUUAUACCACAUCUUCAAUAAUGUCGAACAUAACAUCAAACACCAAUUAUCACAGUGAAAAUACUGGUAGUUUUUUUUGUUCAAAAGGAAGCCCCACAAUACAGAACAAUUCCACAGAUAUAUGAAUAUUCAGCAAGCUUUACUAGGGUAGACCAAAAGCAAAUAAGGAUAAAAUCCCACAACAAAAGGAAAAUCCCAACCAUCCAAAAACGAAAAUACAAUUAAUAAAAGAAAAUUUUCAAGCCAACCAAGACAAGCUCGAUUUUAGUUGUAUUUCUAUAUUUUGGUGGCAGUUAAUGAAAGAUAAUCUAGAUCUUUAUUGAUUAUAUUUCUGUAACUAAAAGUCCUAGUAUGUUGCAGAACAAUAGUUAGAUGAUUAACAGUCAACAUUAGAAAAACUUAAAAAGACAUUUUGCAGUUUAAAUUAUUAUGAUUAAUACUUGAUGCUUUCUAAUCAAAAGUUUUCCAUCUUAAUUAGCCAAUCAAACUUUUGGUUAUUGUUGGAGCAAUAUCAAAAUGGAAAAACUUUGCAUGUAGAAAGGGAAAUGGGAAAGGUUUAAUUGAAAAUAUGAGAUUGGUUCUUUGAAAAUCUAAGGGGAAAGUAAACAAACUUCUCUUUGAUAAUAUAAAUGGUCCACUUGGUUCUGUUGCAGCCUUGUUGUGCAAGGUUUCCAGUUUCAACUUCUAAGAGAUUGCAAAUGAUUUUUAUGACAAUUGUGGUAAUUGUAGGAUUAUAUAUUUCAUUCAUUACUUCAUAAUUCAACCACUAAACUUUCCCUGAGGUUGCAAACUUUUGAAUCACACCAACUAUACUUACCAAAAGGUAUCGAUGCUUUUGUUAAUCUCAUAUUUGAAACUUACGAUAAUAGAAUCCAUAUUACAACAUUUUUUAAAUUAAAAGUAGUAGUUCUAUUAAUAUCAUUAAAUUUGAUGUAUUCUUAAUCUGCCAAACAAUUGGUUUCAUAAUAUGUUAAUGAACUUUAACAAUUUAUUUUAUCAAUAUUUUCAUGAUUUUUGGAUACAUCUAAGUUUGUGCUAUUAUUGGUGGUAUAAACUUUGAAAUUGUGAAUGAACUAGACUGACAUGUUUUCCAAAAAUCACUUUUUAUUUUUCAUGAUUUGGCGUAACUAAUAAUGCAAAUUGGCUUUAACCAAUUAAAGUUUAUUAUUUCCAUAUUUCCAACUCCACUUUUAAUUAGUACUUUGUUAACCUCAAAACAAAAUCACAAAAAUGAAUUUCUAAGAAAAAUAUGUAUUCCCACUUUCAUCACUUAAAAGUUGAUCAAUGGUCAAAUUUUAGCAAUCUUAGAGAAACAAUUUUGAAAAAAAUGACAUUUCCUUUCUAUUACUUUAUUUUUUCUCAAGAAAUCUUUUAAGUCAUCUAAUUUUGAGGGGAGAAAAAAACUCAGUUUACCAUCAAUGGCGAAUUAUUAUUAUUAUUCUUAUGAAUUUAGUUUUAGCAACAUGGCUAGAAUUGGCAUUCAUAGCACAAGAAGAUGUGAUAUAGAACUUAAAAAAUUAAGCUUCACUAGAUAUCAACAAAAAUAACAAUUUACUAUACCAAAAUCUCAAAUUAGUUAGUCACAAAAUAAAUCAAUCAUUCAUAUAUAAAUAAACACAAUUAACAUGCAUGAUCCCUAUACAAAAUAAUAAAUCGUUUUAUUAAUAGAUGUUUAAAGACAACGAAUUACCUAAAGAAAUCUCUAUCAUAUAAUAUGAUAGUCUUUCUUUUUUCACAAAAACUCUGCAUAGUUCUAAUUUUUAUCACCGAAUAGAUCACAUAUCAUCCGUGCUAGUUGUUUAUCCUUAUAAAUUCAUAACAUCACGUACAUCUUCUUAUCUAAUCGAAUACAAGACUUUACUUUGAUCUCAUUCUCUAACCUAUUAUUAUAAUCAUUUAUUUGUGUGUCAAUGAAAUCGUUAAAGGCCAAACAAAAACAUGAUUUUGUGGACCUAAUUAAAAUCAAAAGCAAAGCUAUGGAAACUUACAGAAAAGAUGCAUAAAAAAUUCGAAUAAAAAAUCUCCCCUAAACACCAUUUUGAGAAUACUUUGAUUGAAAAAAAAAGUAGAGAUGUUACAUCUCUAUUUCAUGCAAGAAGAGAAAGAAGAAAAAAAGGAACAAUUUUAGAAAACAUGGAAAACUAUCAAAGAUUAGCAUCUCAAUGUUGUGUUUUCUUUUGUUUUCUCUUUUACUCUACAAAGUAAACAAUAUUCAAAUGUAGUAAAACAAUAACAACUUUUUCAAUAGACAUACUGUGUUUCCAAAAUUUUGAAGAAUUAUAUAUACUCCAACGCGUCUUGCCAACUUUCUUAAUAUUAUCCAACUUGGAUUCUUCUUCUUGUUUCAUAGUAACAAUUUUCUCUUUUUUCUCUUUUCUAUUUAUUCCUAUAUAUAUAACCUCAAUUGAACAACGUCCUCUAGUACUGUUCACACAACCCUUGAUAGCAUAUAUAUGUAUGUGAACCUAACCCCACUUUUCAACUAUUGCUCACAAAUAUAUACACGAUUGUGACAACUUAACGUUUAGAUGAAUCAAUAUGUCCUCUCUCUUAAAAGAAUCUUCAUCAUCUCAUUCCAUUUCAUGUGUGCCUAAACAUAACCCCUUUGGGUAAAAAUAAUUCAGUGUUAAUUUUUUUUAAAAAAAAUAUCCCUUUUGUGUCUCCUAAUCUUCAUUUAUGUUAAGUUAGGAAGAUGGUGUAAGAUAAAAUGUACUAUGUUUAGAGAGUGAAAAACAAAAUGCAACCUACUUUUUUAUAAAAGAAAAAACCUAACUAAAACCCUUAACAUAAAAGAAAAUCAAUGAUUAACUAUAAUAGAUAGUAAAUGAUAGAGAAAGGUUAGAAGUUUAAACAAUGCACCAAACACUUUUGAAAUACAGUGAAUGAAAAAGAAUUUGAGCAACACAUCUUGAAAGACUUCAUAUUUUUUGGGAAUGCAUUUAUGAAAGAUUGACGAGGAAAGGAUGUUAAGUUUAGAAAAGUUGAGUAAGAUUAUAGAGAGUGUCAAAUUUGACUAUAUAUAAAAAGAUAGAAGAGAAAGAGUUUAUUAAAUACGACAAGAGAUGAUUUUGAUGAAAACGUGUGGGGUUGGGAGAGAGAGUAGAUUUUUACUACAAAUUCAAACUCAUUUUUUUAUGAAGAGAGAAUCCAAAAAGAUGGCUUUUUUAAAAUGAAGAAAAAAGAAGCAAAGUCUACACACAACUUGGUACUCUUACUAAUACUCAUAUGCUGGACAUUGUGUUCAUUUCUUCCAUUUUGCUAUAUCUAUAUCACAUCCCUACUCUUUCCUUUUUAUUAUUAUCGUAAUCUAAUUUCAAAACAAAGUAGAUUUAGAGGAACAUUACACUAAUGUUAACAUCGACCUCCAAAACAAUAAUGCAUUCUUUGAUAAAACCUUGAUACUAAGGUUAAGAUUAUUUUUCUAUAAAAGAUACUAUUUUGUCUUUAAAAUUUGGGUUUAGUUUUCAACUUGCUCCGUAGAUUUUAAAAUGAAAACUACUGUAAACGAUAAUACCGUUAAAAAUAUUUACAAAUAUAGCAACCUUUUAAAAUCUAUACACGGAUGGAAAUGUAUCAAUGUCUAUCGUGAUUUGAUAAACUGUGAUUUUUUUUGCUACAAUAGUAAAUAUAUUUUAAGCAUCUUGACCUUUAAAAUAAAAUUUUUAUUUAUUAUAUUUAAAAAUAUUCUACACCAAUAAAAUGUUAAAUUAUCUUUUAAUUUUUGUUUAGAGUUGAAAUUAAUUGAGAGGGUAUGGUAUGAUUAAGUUGGUGGCUUCUACGCGCAUUCACCUAACUUUAGAUUCAUCUUUACCCUUUUUGUAUAUCUUCAAUUACUUUGACAUUUUUGUUUUCUUAUUAUUCAAAAGUUUUUAGAAUAAUCCUUUUUUUAUUGGGUGUAAAAGGAAGAACACAACACAUCUUUCUGUCCAUCUUCUUUGUCCAUUAUUCUAAAAGAUUUGAUUCCAUUUUCCAUGAAUUCUCAUACUUUUUCCUUGCAUUAUUAAGCUUUCAAUUACAACAAUAACCAUCCAUUUAUUAUUAUUAUUAUUAUUAUUUUCAUUUAAGUCUAUUUGAUUCUAAAUUUUUAAAAAUAUUUUAUAUAUUCAAAGGUCGGAGAUUUAUUGAAAUGCUUUGAAUUCUCGCCGUAUGAACGAUCUAGCUUGCAACACCACCAAGUCUCACCUCAUUCUUAAAAGCAUAUUAACAUGACUAAAAUGUUUUCAUUCUCCCAUAUUAUAAGAUAUUUUUUCAUGUUCAAUCCAUUGAAAUACUAAGUUAUAACUAUAAGUCGCUAUGUCAAUGGACGGUCCUAUCAAAUAUACAUCCAAACAGAGUAAGACAAGAGAAGAAGAAGAAAAAAGGUUUACUCCUUACCAUGAUGGAUUUAUUUGUCCCAUGAUAGGUGAAGACUUGUUGAAGAUCAAACAAAAUUUGAAUUCAUUCUAAUUAACUUUGUUUUCUCAUAAUAUUUCCUUUUUUGUUUUGUUCCCAGUGGAGUCAGCAAAAGUACACAGGUGAAAAAUUCACACUUGCUAAUAUAAUCAUUUAAGGUGCAAAGUAGAUUCUUAUUGUCGAUAUGUGUUAUAAUAAUUUGUGUGUUACUACAAUCUAUGUGUAGAUGCAGAUCCUUAUAGAGUUUGAUUUAUAAUAGUAUACAUAUUUGAGGUGUUGAUUAUUUUAAUAUAUUUUAUAAUACUAUGUAUAUUGAUUGCAUAUUACUAUAGCCAGAAACAUAACGGUAUGUAAAUUAAAUGUAAGUUAUUUUAGAUCAUGUAUAAUUUUUGUAUGAUUUUUUUAUCAUACAAAUAAUUAUGUAUGUGAAAUAUUAUUUUUUCAAAAUAUAAUUAAAACUAUAGUUCUUUAUACCAAAUUAAUUGAAUUUUAAUUUAUGUUAAAAAAAAUUAUGUAUUGUUUUGCCAUUUAUGGAGAUACUUUAGUUAACUCAUAAUGGUAUAAUUAAAAUAUUAUAACAAAGAUGACAAACAAAAAAAAUAUUUCAAACUUAGUUUUCUUAUUUUCAUUUUUUUCUUUUUCUAGAUCAUUUUUAUUUAUCGUUUUCUAAUUAUUACUAAACAGGUUUGAUUCAUUCUCUUGAAAGUUUCAACUCAACAUAAAAUAUGUAGAGUUUGUUUUAAAAACAGAUGAUUAUACGUUUGACUGAAUUGUCAUGAAUAACUUCAAGUUAUACACUCAUGAUUUUUCUUUUUGUUAAAUUACAAAAGUACUUCCUUUAACUUUCUCAUUUGGAAGAAAAAUGAAUAUUUAUUUUCUUCUUAAAUUAACUUCAAUACCAUUGAAAUUCUCACUAGUUCUAGUCUUCUAGAUCACCACCAUAUUAUUUAAAAUCCCAAAUUUAUAUUUAGAAUUUUAAAAAAUUACUGUUUAAAGGUAUUUGGAAAACAUUUACAAAAGAUAUAUAUUAUAAAAAAAAUAGAAAUAUUUAAUUAAAUAAUAAUAUAAUAAAAUUUCAUUUUUGUUUACAUAUGGUAAUACAACUAGUGAAGAUGUAGAUACAUGUUGAAUAGAAAAAAUCUAAUUUUUUUUUAUAGAAAAAUCUCACUAACCUUAUGCAUUCAUUAACCACCCCAAUAAAUAAACUCAAAUUGAUCUCACAAAUAUCAUUAAUUGCACAUUAGAAUCAUUUUUUAGUAAAGAAAAAGCAAGACGACCAAUUUGAGAAAGUAAAAUAAAACAAGGGAAAAUGCAUGCCAGCUUAUUAAUGAGGACAUUAGCAACCUUAGUUUAAAUAAUCAAUUAAUUAAUUGCUUCAUGUUUUUGAGAUCUAACAAAAGCAUAGUUGUUGUAAGAUAUUACUAAAAUAUAAGAACAUUCCAAUGACAAAAAAAUAAAAAAAGAAAAGAAAGAAAGAAAAAAAUAGUGCAUGCUUUGAUGUAAUAAGCUUUUAAUCAAUCAAUUUUUUAUUCAUUUAUUUACUUUUGAGAAGAGACUUUGAAAUAAUGCCACAAAAUUGUCUCAUAAUUUUAUAUAAAGUUGACUUUGAAAUUAUAAGGUUGCUAGAAAAUUAAUUUGGAGGAAGAUUAAUAAUUACAUUAUUUUAUUCUUCUCACAUGGGGAAUGUUUCAUUCAUCUCUAACAAGUGUUUUUCUUUCAGAAAAAAUAAAUGCAAGUUCAAAAAUAUUUGUCAAUCUACAAAUUUUGUUUGCAGACAACUUUGUAUCAAAAAAAUUUAUACAAUUAUUUAUUUAGUAUCUCCAUGUAUUUGAUAGAAAUAGUAUGAAGUUUGAAGACUAAGUGAUUCUAUCGGUGUUUAAACUAAUAGGUGAGAACAACCAUAAAUUUAAUCACUCCCUUCAAAUUUUAUAAUAUAAAGAAUCUAACUCACUAGUGCACAUCAUCAAUUAUCAAAAAUUGGAUUCUCUUAUUGUUUCUUUCCUUUUUUUUUGUUACUAUUAUUUUUAUUUCCAUUCACAUCUUCAAUAGUCAAUUCUAUUUUAAUUGUCACAUGUCACUAAAAUACUUAUUGCCUAUCUCUACCAUAUUGGUGGAAAAAAUGUAAGAAAUCUUCUAACAUUUUAUAAAUACAUGACAUGUUUAAGAGGGUUUAACUAAUGCAUAAAUUUAUAAUAAAAAAUAGAUCAUAAAUAUCUAGUUAUUAUAGUGAAAUAAAACCCCUAGUGUAAGACAUCAAAUUAUUAUUAGGACUAAAUUUUAAUUAUAAUCUAUAAAUGUAGAUGUUGAAUAAAAUUUAAAAUUUAAUCUAAAAAAUUAGGAAUCAAUAAGAAUGAAUGCUUUCAUCUAAUGUUGAGCUAAAAACAAAGGUAAUAUAAAGUUUAAAAUGGUAAUUUAACUUGAAAAUUUAAAACUAUAAAAAGGAAUUAAUUACGGGGUUAUUUAUUUAAACUUUUUGAAUUUGGUAGAAAAUUAGGAAUUAGUAUAGUGACGUUUGGGUUUGCAAUAGAAUAAUGAUUAAUCAAUGAGUCCCAAACUUCAUUGCAAUUAUUGUGGGUGGGUCUCUUAUGAUUGGAUCGACCAUAUAUUAAAAUAGAAUUAGAAGUGUGUUUAAUUUAUGUCAUAAGAAGAAACAUUAUAUUAUUUUUCCUAACACAUUGACCCAUGCAAACUUUGAUAAAUAGGCCUCACCAGCCUUACACCUAUAUUUGUCGCUCUAUUCAACUUAAUUAGUAUACUUUUUGUUAAAAUUUUCUUUUCACACAUAUCAAUUAUUUAAACAUACUUUACCUCUUUAACAUCACGUUUUACCCAAUCUAUAAUCAAAAGUUGUAUUAUCAUCCUCAUUUUCUAUCCACGAAUCUAUCUAAAUAUUUUGCAUUACCUUUGUCGUUAUCGUUUAGAUCAUUCAAUAACGAUAAUAGCAAAUAUGACAUUUUCAUACUUCUUCCAUUGAUUUUAUUUUACAUAUAUUAUAAUAUUUUCAUGUAAUUAUCAACCAUAAUUGUAUUGAGCAUCCCUUCCUACACAAAAUCGUUAUUGAUUGUUCGUCAAAAUUGAGUAUUUUUUGGUUGGGAGCAUACCAUAUAUAAGACUUCCAUUUUAAUGAGAUUGAGAUAAUAUGAUCUCCAUGUGCUUAUAAAUUUCUUAUACUUUUCUUCUCACAAUUAAUCUCUACUUUAAAAAUAUAUAGAAAUACUAACAUUUAAUAAAAAAAACAUUUAAUUAUUUAAUCAUGAUGCAAUAUACAUAUAUAGUUGAACAUUAGUCAAGUUUUUAAUAAAGGUAAUUAUUAUUGGAUAUUUGAAUGUCUAUUGUCUCUAAUAGUUUGAAAUGUUUAACUUCAAAUAUUUACUAUACACACCCUUUGUUUCAACUAAAAGAAGUCUUAGAUUUUGAAAAGUGAUUAGGUUAAUAAUUAGGUUAAUAAUUAGGUUAAUUUUGAAUGGAGGUCUUAUCAAACGACUAAACAAAGAGAAGGAAUUGAAAGAUUUGAUAAUGAAAAGAGAGCAACACUUAACUACGAUCUACUCUCUCGUCACAAAAAAGAAAAAUUAUGUAGUUGAAUAAUUAAGUGGAACAUAGAAAAUAGAACUAACUGUUGUUAUAUUUGUGUAAUGAGAAAUUAAAAGUGAUGAAAAUGCAUUUAUUAAGCUAUUAAGUAUAGCACAACCUCUGCUUUGAGCAAAAAAGGAUGAGCUAAGAUUCAUUACAGAUAAAGACAGUACAUGAGAAGUAAAGCCGUUUUACAAAGCAAAUACAUGUGAUUUGAUUUAAAACCUGCAAUAAUAAUAUUGGAAAGCUGUAAUAUAAUAAUAUCAAUAGUAAUAUAUGAAAAAGAAACACCAAAUAUACUAUAGAGAUUGAUUCCUUUCAUUUC
rnacentral:lncRNA from 1 species